GCUUCUUGAAUGUCGGAAUGGGUGGAGGAAGAGACCUACUUGAAAACAGGAGGGGGAAAUGGUCUCGUCGGAUAUUCUGGAAUCCGAUAUCCUGGAUCCCCAUUUUUUCGUUCCACAACUGGCACCGGCGGAUGACCCAGCUUCUUAAAGGGUGGAAUCUUGAAGAUUGGAACUGGUGGAGCGAGUGGCUUCUUGAAGAUUGGAACUGGGGGUGGAAAUGGCUUCUUUACAGUGGGAAUCUUACGUAGAGGUGGUUUCUUGAAGGAGGGCUUCGGUGGAAAUGGCUUCUUUACAAAGGGAAUCUUAUGUACAGGUGGUUUCUUGAAGAAGGGUUUUGGUGGAAGCACUGCAAACUUCCUUUCUUCAUUGAGCUCUGCAGCCUCUGUUUGGAGCUCUUCAAUUUGGACAUGCAGGUGCACAAGAGAUGCAGAAGAAUGUCAUUAUGUGAUCUCAAGACUAAUAUAUAAUAACACACAUAUAAAUAUAUAUCUCACCUGAAAAAGCUUUGUCUGGUACUACUUUCUCCAGCGACCUCAACAGUCUCUCCAUUGCUGUAGCAGAAGCUUACUGCAAACAAGCAGAACCAGAGCCCCAGAAGAGCUCCUUGGAAAGCAGGACGGGUCUGCAUUGAAACCCUUCUUAAUAAGCUGCCACUUAUAGAAGUGCUUAAUCCAACUUUUAAAAUUUGGUUAAGCUAGCUUUGGUGCUUUUUAUCAGUUGCAGCAGGCAUGCUAUAAAUAGUAAGUUUAGGAGGCUUAGGUCUGCUUGCACUUAAUUAUUAAUUAAGGGGUUGAUAUCAAGGUCAUUAAGAUUGAAAAGGAUUUUAGUACAUAGAGGCAAACAUGUCACUGGCUUUGCAGCUCAAAUGGUAUUUAUUUCAUCCAAUGACAACUGCUACGUACCAGCACAGCUGUUCUGAUAGUUCAAGUUUGUCAAAUGGCAUCAAUGCUGACUAAGAAGUAUCAAAGGAUGCCAUCACUAACUAUGAAGUCACACAUUUUGUCAUUUGGAUACUAACCAAAGCUUAAUUUGUCAUGUCAUGCUUUUGGGGGUAUAUUUGGUGAUCCUUUAGAAUCAUAAAAUCCAAGCUCUUACGUACUCCAUGUGAGAAAUGACAUUUUUACUAAUUUGUAAUCGGAACGAGAGUGAGGAGUCGGAAUCAGUCAUUCCCACUAGAGUCACCAUUAUUUGUUUCCAAUUUUUCUUCACCUAGUAUACUGUUGGGAAUAAAUAUUAUUUUUAUUAUUAUUUAUGUUUACUCUAAAAUAUCCAAGCUUUAGAGAUGGGCUUGAGAAUGAAUGAGUUGCAAACGUGCCACUAUUAGUAGUGUAAAAAUCCUAAUAAACUUGAAAGAAUUAAGUAUAUUACGCACUAAGAAACUGACUUAAAAUCAAAUGAUUGUGAAUUGGAAGGGAAACUAAUCAAUGAAGAUUGAUAGAAAUAUGUUUUGGACACUUUUAUGUACAUAACCCCUUACUCUUUUCCUCACACAUAAGAAUGAGUUUAGUAAUUAAAUAUCAGGCAAAUAAAAUUACUUAUGCAUAACUACAAAUUAUGGCAAGGCAAAUUUGUAUUAAGUUUGACUUGUGAGCAUGGAAAUAUCAAUUGGAAGUUGGUUUAGUUAGACAUCAGACUUUGACUAAUCAAAUUGAAAGUGAACUGCAUUAGUAACCGGUGACAUUAUUGAGGCACGUCCUCUUCUUGGAACUAUAUGGUCCCCAAGUUCUAUUAUUGAGGCACGUCCUCUUCUUGGAACUAUAUGGUCCCCAAUUGAGGCAUGUCCUCUUCUUGGAACCAUAUGGUCCACAAGUUCUAUUAUUGAGGCAUCUCCUCUGUCCUCUUCUUGGAACCAUAUGGUCCCCAAGUUCUAUUAUUGAGGCAUGUCCUCUUCUUGGAAUCAUAUGGUCCCUAAUUGAGGCAUGUCCUCUUCUUGGAACCAUAUGGUCCACAAGUUCUAUUAUUGAGGCAUGUCCUCUGUCCUCUUCUUGGAACCAUAUGGUCCCCAAGUUCUAUUAUUGAGGCCUGUCCUCUUCUUGGAACUAGGAAAACCGGUGCAUAAUUACCAGUUGAGCUUGAGAAAUAGUAACGUCAUUGAGCCUGGUCUUGACGAAUUUUGGGUUGCAAGAUUAAAUCUUCAAGUCAUAUUCAAUUUGUAAAGUUUGUUAGAUUUUUUUAUAUGCGUGCUCAGGAUCUUUCACACAAUUUGAAAUACGUAAAGACAUACCUGGCGCCAUCAUUCUUGAGUACACAACCUCUGAACUCAUUCAACCGUAGCAGCAACAAUCCCAGCAAGAACAGGAACGGCUCAAGACUUCUGCUCUCUCUCAGAAUCUGUUUCAACUAUCUCUUUAUGAUGAAAUUAGGGUUAGAGAACGUGUCUGACGAGAGCAGGGCCUUAAGCUUAUAUAGACUAGGUCAAGUCGUCUCUACUCAUCACCAAGGGCCGGCUUAACUAAUCUUCCAAGCCCACCAAGCAACGGUUCACGCAAAAGGAAAUAAAUAGGACCCCUUAAUAGGCUUCAAAACCUUUCCUUAUUCCACAAGGUUUUGGGCCUUAAGAUAUAACCUAAUUUAAACUCUUAUCAAAACUUGAUAUAACUUAGUAUCUAGUGUACCGAUCUAAAUAGGAAACAUAACAUUCUCCCACUAGAUCAAGCACUAGAGCACUACGCUUCUGUAUUCCAAAAGGCUUGAUAAUUUUUAUUGGCCAUGAGUUUAAAUUAGUUAAGUCAUUUCCUUCAAGCUACAGUGAAAAGUGAUUAGACAAAACGAACUAUAGACAUGCACUGCUCUCUUUAUUGAAAACAGGCCAUCUAUAAUCACAUAAUGCAAUCUCAAAACACAUGAAGCAGCUACCAACGCGAACCUUAAUAUGUACUGAUCCGUAAUGUGAAUCUUUAUGCUUUCAGUACAUGUACCCCUUUACGACUUAGCAAUAGUCAACCUGCAAUGUUAUUAAAACAAUAGUAUCUCAAAAGAGACCAUAAACUCACAUGCAUAAACAAAAUUACGUAUUAAGUUUAAACAGCUAAAUAGUCAAAAUGGUAGAAUUUAUUCAAUAAUAAAUAAAAUUGUCAACCAAAUUAACAUUCUUAAAUGCAAAUCCCUUAAUCCAGAAAACAGCAAAAAUAAACAUACUAGUAAAAUAUCAGAAUGGAAACAAGACUCCAACUAAAUUGUAGCAUCAAAGCUAGGAAAUAAUCCCAUGCUCUCAACAUGUCUUGGAAAAGUUUCUGAAGGCAAAAACUUUGUGAACAGAUCUGCAAUCAUAUCUUGAGUUCUGAUACGAUCAAAUAUGACUAGUUUGUCUACUACCUCCUCCUUCACUGUUAAAUAUUUUCUAUCAAUAUGUUGAAGUCCAGACGACAUCUUAUUGUUCAUGCAGUGAAAAACAGCCAUAGUGUUGUCAUUAUAUAUCAGUAUUGGUCUAGAAAUCGAGUCCCCGACCUUAAUGUCUUUAAUAAAAUUCCUUAGCCAUACUGCAUGAGAAGUGGCUUCAUAGCAAGCUACGUAUUCUGAAAACAUGGUUGAACUCGAAAACCAUAUUGUUUAGCACUCUUCCAAGCAAUAGCUGCUCCUGCUAUCUUGAAAAGAAAACCUGAAGUAGAGAUGUAAUCAUCCUAUGCUUUUCUAAGAUUCGCAUCAGCAUAACCAACAAGCUCUAAAUUCUUCGUGCAUUUGUAAAUCAACAUAUAAACCUUUGUUUUAUGCAUGUACCUCAAAAUCUUCUUUCCAGCUAUCCAAUAUUGCAUUCCCGGAUUUGACUGAAAUAUCCCCAUUUUGCUAAUGCACAAGGCUAGGUUUGGCAUUGUACACACUUUUGCGUACAAAAUGCUUCCAACUAGAGAAGCGUACUGCUUGUUCCUCAUCUCAUCUUCUUCUUCUUCUUUAUUCUUGGGGCAAUACUCCUUCUUUAAAUCUCCUUUAGCUAAAGGAACUUUCUGUCCAGAACACAUUCUCAUGUCAAAACUAUCCUUUCAAUGUAUGUUUUCUGUGACACGCCUAGUAGGCCUUAAGCUCGGUCUCUCUGAAUUUCAAUGCCUAACACAAAAGCGGCUUCUCAAAAUUGUUUGAAAGUAGCUCCUUAGUGUGUUUCAGUAAAUUGUGGUCAUUUGUAGCCAAAAGUAUAUCGUCAACAUACAGCAUUAUAAAAAUAAAUCGGCUCCCACACUUCUUCAGAUCAAUCCAUUGAUCGGCUAUGUUAUCUUCAAAACCAUAAGAUGAAACAGUUUGAUGGAAUUUGAAAUACCACAUCCUGCUUGCUUGCUUCAGUCCUUAAAUUGCCUUGUCAAGUUUGCAAACCAUAUGUUCUUUUCUCUCCUUUGCAAACUCUUCAGGUUGCCUUAUAAAAUUUUCUUCUUUGAGUUCACUAUUCAGGAAAGCAGUUUUUACAUCCAUUUGAUGUAAAAGUAGGUCACAAUGCACCACCAAAGCCAUAAUGAUGCGGAAAGAAUCUUUGGUGGAAACUAGAGAAAAUGUCUCAGUGUAGUCAAUUCCCCCCCUUUGGUGAGUCCUUUUGCUACCAAUCUAGCCUAAAAUCCUUCGAUUCUUCCAUCCUUAUCCUUCUUUGUUUUGAAUACCCAUUUCGAGCCUACCAAUUUCUGGCUCUUGUGAGGUUCAACUAAUUCCCAUACUUGAUUAUUCUUCAUGCUUUCGAGUUCAUUCAACAUUGCUUUUCUCCAUUUGUCUGCAUUCAUUCGAGUUCAUUCAACAUUGCUUUUCUCCAUUUGUCUGCAUUCAGACUCUCCAUAGCUUCUUUAAAACUUGUUGGAUCAGCCUCAUCUCCAAUGUCAAAAUCUGCUUCCUGUAAGUACACAUAAUCCGAAAUUGUUGUGGAUUUUCUUGUUCUAUCAGAUCUCCUUAAUUGCAUUGGUUCAUGUGAAUUUUCUUGUUGUGGGUUUUUUGCAGUUUGUUCUUCUUGUUGUUGAUCAACUAGUUCUUCAUACUGAACAACCAGUCCCAAUAAUCCGAGUAUUAUAAUUUGGACAGUAUAAUUAUAAAUUUUUUAAAAAAAACUUAAAAUCUAAUUCAGGUACCAUAAUUUGGAUGGUAAAAUCUAGAACCAUUUGACCUUGUAGGAUAACCAAUAAAAUGACAGCAAAUCAUUUCAGGAUCAAGCUUCUUCUCUUGAGGGUUAUAGAUUCUAACUUUAACUUUGCAACCCCAUACAUGAAGGUGCUGCAGGUUAGGCUUUCUGGAAGUCGAAAUUUCAAAAAAAUGUCUUAGGUACGACGUUAUUAGGCACUCUAUAGUUUCUUGUUUUGAUCGCCUCUCUUAAAAGCGUAGGCAAAUCAGCUUUGGAAAUCUUCCUAAAAACCAUGUCCUUCAAAGCUCUAAUACCAACUGUUAGAUUUCUUUAUCUGAAAUACAUAAAGGCAUACCUGGCACCAUCUUUCAUGAGUACAUGACCUCUAAACUCAUUCAACCGCAACAGCAACAAUCCUAGUAAGAAUAGAAACGGCUCAAGACUUCUGCUCUCUCUCAGAAUCUGUUUCAGCUCUCUCUUUAUAAUGAGAUUAGGGUUAGAGAACGUAUCAGACGAGAGCAGGGCCUUAAGCUUAUAUAGGCUAGGUCAAGUCGUCUCUGCUCAUUACCAAGGGUCGACUUGACUAAUCUUCUAAGCCCAUCAAGCAACGGUUCAUGCAAAAGGAAAUAAAUAGGACCCCUUAAUAGGCUUCAAAACAUUUUCUUAUUCCACAAGGUUUUGGGCCUCAAGGUAUAACCUAAUUUAAAUUCUUAUCAAAACCUGAUAUAACUUAGUAUCUAGUGCACCGAUCUAAAUAGGAAACAUAACAAAGUUUUCAUAUUCCCACAUGAAAUGAUAUCAUUCUUUUCCAUAAUGAAGGGCAAAGUACAAAUGGUUGUCAGAUGCCAAGAUUCAGAGCACCGCUUCACUAAGGACUUAGAAUUAGGGUAAUGAUUAAACUGGUCCUUAAUUAAGUACAUUUAGUGUGGUUCUUUUCCUUUGACAAUUCACCAUUUUUUUGUUGUCAAAGUUUGGAAGGGGGAGGUGCCAUUUGGUUUAGGGUUCGAACUUGAGGCCACUGAUCUACAAACACUACUACAAAAAGUGAAAAAGACGACCAGAAAACAACGACGGUCUAAGUGAAAACCGUCGUGGUUUAUAAAAAGACGACGGUUCUAAAAACACCGUCGUGUAAUACAACCUUAGACAACUAAAAAAUGGAGAUUCAAAUGGCUGUUCAAAAACAACGACGUACAUAAUUAAACAACCGACGUCUAUUUGAAACAGAUUUCCGCAGUGUAAAAUCAAUGCCAACAAAGAACGGCAGAAGUUAUGAAUCGACCGACGUAGAAAGUAAAGACGACGAUUUCAAUAAAAACUGCCGUUUUUACUCAUAAAAUAACACGACGAGGUUUUCGUAUAAGACGCCGUAUAAUUACAAACAAAUCCACGGCUUUAAAAUACAAAAUAUCGCCGUAUUAAAUUAAUUUACAACGACGGAAAAUAUAAAUAUAUCGACGUCAUUCUCGUAUAGUUCUACGACGUUAUCUUUAAAUCGUACAAUAAAAUUUAACGUCGUAUUUAUUCAUUUUAUACGUCGUACCUUUAAUUUUAACGGUCGUCUUAAUAAGAAUUUUUGUUAACAAUUUUUUUCUUUGAUUUUCUUAUCCUACGUCGGUAGAUCUACUUAAUGACAAGAAUUGAAAUAACCACGACGGUUUAUAUAGAACACCGCCGACAUAAUCAGAUUUGUCUGAGAUCCCAAGGGUUACGAAAUCUUACCAGAUGGAACUCUGUUCCACAUCAUAAUCUUAACAGAUGACACAGAUUUGCAAAUAUUGCGUCGUGUUAGUUUACAAAUUCUAGAACAUUAAUUUCCCUCAUUUAAAUUUCCUCGGGAAAGAAAAAUCUAUUUAUCACGCUUUGUAAUUGAAAACUAAAACUGAAAGAAUACGGGAAAAAAAACUCUAUUUAUAAUUUAAAAAUAAAAUCCACGUCGGUUGUAGUACACUUAACGACGUUUAACAAAAUAAUCUACGUCGGUAAUUAUAAAUCUACCGCCAUCUUAACUUAAUAUAGACGACGAGAAAAGACGACGGUAGAACAGAAAACCGCCGUUGUUUCAGUUUCUUUGACAGUUUGGUCCUUUUCUUUCUGCAGGACUUGUAUAGUUCAAAGCAUUGACAAUGUCUUCAUCAUAUCUCCCAGAAACUACUGAUUCAAUUGCUCAUGCUUUAGAGGCCAUCUGAAGCCAUUUCUAUUCUUUAUCGCAUUCUUGAAACCCAUCUUCUUCUUCUGAAGCUCUACGGAUAAAGGAAGAGGCUAUCACAAAUCCGACGGAUCUUCUUAGGCAAGAAAAUCAAGCAGAGGAUCAGGCACAUCUGAUCUUCAGAUUUCCCUGAGAAGUGAUCUUUCCUUCGACAGCGAGUGGAGGCCAGGCUUGCAUCUCUUUUGAUGGAAAGCAAGGAGUAUUCAGAAGCACUAAGUGUCCUAUCAGGCUUGAUCAAGGAAGUGAGAAGGCUAGUUGACAAGCUUCUUCUUGUGGACAUAUAUUUGAUGCGAGUAAGCUCAAUUUCUCUUUGAGAAAGACAUCCAAAUUAUUGUCUUUGAGACGUGAGAGACUGAGAGAGGAAGAACUUGGAACCUUAAAUGUAAACCGAAAAUGAAUGAAAGCGACAAAUUUAUAGAAUAAAUUUUUAAAACCAACGGCGGUCCUUACAAAAAAACCGCCGUUUAAAUUGUAAAAUCAACGUUGGUAUUAUCGACGUAUAUUACAGAAAUCCAUGUCGGUAAAUUAAUAAAAACGACGUGUUAAAUAAUCUACCAUGACGCGAGUUAUUACUUAUGUACUUUAAUUUUUGAGUUUACUACGACGGUACCUACAACACUACUGUCGUAUUUAUUUACCACGUUCGAAGUUAAAUGUACCGUCGUAGUUUGUAAUUUAUACGUCGUAGUUAUAUGUAACCGCCGUAUUAUUUUUUUGAAAUGGUUUUAUAUGUAAGCAACUUUUCGUCUACCUGACAUACACAUGCGCUGUUUCCAAACCCGAUUAAAAAGUUCAAUCUCCCAGAGAAAACUUGUAGACUUUUUUUUCUUGUCAGAGCACUGUCAGAGUAUCUCAUCGUCUUCCUCUCUUCUUCUUCAUCGUCUCUGAACAUAAACAUAAUCUUCCUCUUGCUUUCAUUGCACGCAAAAGGUAAGCUUUCAUUUUCACUAUUUUGUUUGCUGUUUUGCAUGCUCAUACGUUUUUUGUUUGAAAAAUCUUUUUACCUUUUUUCUGGCCAAAAUCAUUUUACUUCUUUUCAAGUUCGAUAAAAUAUACAGACAAAGAGGGAAAGUUUCCAACUUUGAAGACAACUACCUCAACUAAAUAAGACGACGGUAGCUUCUUAUGUACGUGGUUAAAUAUGUAGACCACGACGGUUCGUCAGUCGUUCUAGCGUCGUCUGAAAAUUGACAAAGUUGUUUUUAAAAUUAUAGUCUUUUUUUUAUUUGCUUGUUUAAUUGCAGGUUUGAUUUCUCUGAACAAUGGUUUUUGUUUUUCCCUAAUUUGAUAAAAUAUAAAGAAAAAGAAAGUAGGGUUGGUAUCUAAUAUAGACGACAGUAUCUUAUUGUUUUACGUCGUGUGAAUGUUAAUACCACGACGUCAUAUUAAAAUACCGUCGUCUAUAUAAGAUUCCAAAACUUUCUUUCUUGGCCUUAUAUUUUAUCAAAUUAGAAAACAAAAACCAUGGUUCAGAAAAAUCAAAUCUGCAAUCAAACAUUCACAGAGAAAGAAAGAAGGGUUUUGGAUCCUUAUAUAGACGACGGUAUAUUACGACUGACGUCGUGUGAACAUCAAUACCACGACGUUAUAUAAAUAUUUCGUCGUUUAUAGUUAAUUAUCACGUCGUUUAUAGUUAAUUAUUUCGUCGUUGUUUAAUUACCUUGGUUUUAAACAUUUAUUACGUCUGAGAUUAUUUCAUUGCGUCGUUUAAAAUCAUAUCAUACGUCGUAUUUUAUUAAUAACUGUCGUUUGUGUUCUUAAUCUUUUCCUGAAAUAUUUUCACUUGAAGUUUUGUCUGUAAAAAUGGUUUCUCACCAAGACCAAAGUAAGGAUUCUGGCUCCAAGAAAAAUGGAGGUAAGGACCUUGGAAUGUUACCUCCUCAAGUGAAGCCUUCGAAGAAGAUGAAGUUUGCUUCAUCAUCUGCUGAGACAAAACGAACCAGCACGACAACAAUCUCUGAUGAUUCAAAGUCUGGUCGAGGUAUGAGCACAAUGCCUCAUGUUGUGAAGAGAAAACUUCAGAAACUGAAGCCAAUUGUUGAGUACAAUAAAAGGGGGAAAGGAAUUGGCCAAGCACAUAGUGAGAUGCAGUCCUACAUUGGUGUGUUGGCACGCUCCAGAGUUCCACUUGUGGACAUGAAAUGGGCUCAAAUCCCCAAGGAUAUAAAGGAGCAGAUUUGGGAAGCAGUUGACAUUGCUUUUGUGGUAGGUCAAGGGGGCAAGAGCUCUGUGUUAGCUUCUGCUGCCAAGAAAUGGAAGGAUUUCAAGUCUACACUAACGAGGCAAUAUAUCCUUCCAUACACCAAUGACAGGGAGAGAUUAAGCCAACCCCCUGAAACAUAUAAAUUCAUAGAGAAAGCACAAUGGGAUGCCUUUGUAGCUUCAAGGUUAUCCAAAGAUUUUGAGUCUGUGCAUUCUCAACAUGCACAGAUUAGGGAGAAACUUGAGUACAAUCAUCGAUUGUCUCGAAAAGGAUAUGCUGGUUUGGAGGAUCAAUUGGAGGAAACCAUGCCUGGGGUAGAAAUUGAUCGAUCUACCUUAUGGAAGAGAGCUAGACAGGACAAACAUGGUAACAUCCCGGAUCCAAAGGUGGCAGAGAAAGCAAAAUUAAUUGUAAGCCUACUCACUCUGUUUUAAAUUUUUAUUAAACUGUGAAUAAUUCUUAUUACGUCUUAUGUUAUAUUUUGUGUCGUGUGAAUGAUAUUACCACGUCGUUAAAGGUCUAAAUCAGGAAUCACUACUCUGUUUUCUGUAAUUAUAGCAUAAGAUGUCGGUGGUUCAUUUUCGCGUUGUUUGUAUUGAAUUACUACGUCGAAAUGUUUUAAACAAGGUCGUUAAAGGUGUGAAUAUUGAAUCAUCCCUCUGUUAUCUGUAAAUAAAGCAUAAGACGUCGGUGGUUUAUUCAUUUCGUCGUUUUAAAAACUAACCACGUCGAUUUAUAUGUUAUUGCGUCGUGUGAAAUUAUAUAAUACGUCGUUUGUAUAUAAAUAACCGUCGUGUGUUUUUGUUCUUACUUUUUUAUAUAUCUUUGUUUUAGGAUGAAUUGCAAAAACAAGUCUCGGAAGGCAAAGUCACUGUUUCUGGCAGCAAUGAUGUGCUGACCAUGGCUUUGGGCCCCGAGCAUCCAGGCAGAGUGAGAGGAGUAGGUGCUGGGAUCUCACCAAGGCAAUAUUUCAAUUUACCCAAACCACAGAGAGUGAGCUUUGACGACCGUUUGAAGGACAGUUUAAGAGUUCUCCUUCAAGAAGAGACUAAAAAGAUGGAAGCUAAGGCAAGGGAAGAGGCUUUAAGGAUGGAGGCUAGAACGAAACAAUUGGUAGAGGCUGAGAGGGAGCAUUUCCUGAGUCAGCUUUCCCAAUUAAUUCCCAAUUUUGAUCCAAGCAUGCUUAAACCCAGAAUUAGCCAAAGUCCCAAAAAUCCAAUGUCUGACAAAGCAAGCUGCUCUGGAGGUGAUGUGAGAUCCCAGCAUUUUGAGGAUGAUACUGCCAAAAAUGGGAAACAUCAGGAAGAAAAGGUAACAUAUCUGAACUUUGAAUUCUCUGUUUUUUUAAAAACCAUUAGACGUCGUUAUUAUUAAUAAAACCGUCGUUUGAAAUACAUACCACGACGAUUUUAAACAUAAACCGUCGUUUGUAUUUCAAUACCACGUCGUAUUUAGUUUACUUGUUUUACACGCCAUUAAACGUCGUUAUUUUAAAACUUUGUGGUUUUUAGACGACGGAGUUAGUCAUUCUCGACGUAAUAGAUGAAGGGAAGACAGAAGAAAAACAUGAUGAAAAGGAGAAAGAAGAUGACGACCAGGUAUGUUCACAUAACUUUGCCUUUUUUAUUUGUUUUUCAAAAUUCCAGACGUCGAUAUUUUUCUUUAAACCGUCGUUUGUUUACAACUUAGACGGCGGAAUUUUUUUUAAGACGUAAUAAAUUAUUCACCACAACGGUUUCUUCAGACGACGUUUAAAUUCUUUUCAGACGACGUAUUAUUCCUUAAACCGUCGUUUUUAUUGAAUUACCACGUCAUUUUUUUUAUUUCUUUAAACAGGUUAUUAAAGUUGUUGAUUAUUCAAAUAUGGAGGCGCCAUCUUCUUUAAACUCCCUUUGUCGUUAUGUGGAAACGACACUCGUGCCUCAGGAUAAGACCCUGCACUUUACAAUUGAUAAGGAGGUGUUUGGUCUAGAGCGCGAUACCUUCCUCCUGCCUGAAGAUAUUACACAAUUUGCAGGCAUGGAAGAAAUAGGAGCCACUGUCAUUGCUGUAUAUAUGAGGUUUGUCAUUCUAAAAUAAUACGUCGUUGGUGUAUUUAUUGCGUCGUCUUAACCAACUAACCACGUCGUUAGUAUAUCAUAACGUCGUUGUCUAUUUCAGUACGUCGUGUGAAAUUUUAUAAUACGUCGUUUUGUUAUACAUAACCGUCGUGUUUUUUUGUAUAUAUGAGGUUUGUCAUUCUAAAAUAAUACGUCGUUGGUUUAUUUAUUGCGUCGUCUUAACUAACUAACCACGUCGUUAGUAUUUACCGUCGUGAUAAAUAUAUUAUAACGUCGUUGUCUAUUUCAAUACGUCGUGUGAAAUUUUAUAAUACGUCGUUUUGUUAUACAUAACCGUCGUGUGUUUUUUUGUGCUGACUUGUUUAUAUUAUUUUAUAUAUUUAGGCACUGGCACAAUGUUUUGAAGCGAGCAAAUAUGUGCAAUAUGGUUGGCUUUAUCGACCCUGCUACAGUUAGUGCCAGCUCUGGCACAAUAGCUGAGAGAUCACGCCUACUAGCAGCUCGACUUCAGAAGACUGACGGUGAACAGAUUUUCCUGAUGCCUUACAAUCCAGGGUUAGUCUCCUUAACAGGAUUUUGAUUUUAUGAUUUUCAAUAAAUUACAGCGUAUAAACUAACCACGUCGGUGUUUUAUUUUAUUGAGUCGUUUGAAACUUCUAACCACGUCGGUAGUUAUUUAUCGUCGUGAUAAAUGUAAAAUGUCGUUGAUUGCUACUUUAUUUCGUCGUGUGAAAUAUUAUAAUACGUCGUUAUUGUAAAUAACCGUCGUUUUUAUAUUAAUUUUGUGCAGCAGUCAUUGGAUCUUGCUGAUUGUAAGAGCAAAGAGAGAAAUCGUCUAUUUUCUGGAUCCUCUGUCAGGAAAUCGUGUGGUCGAUGAAGAGGCCAAAAACAUUGUGAACAGUGCUAUAAAAAUUUAUUAUUCUCACAUAGCCAGACCAGGCCGUAAGGCAGUCAUUUGGAAAACUCUGUCAGGCACACCAAAGCAACCCAGCAAUGUCGAAUGCGGGUAUUAUGUGAUGCGCUUCAUGAGGGACAUCAUCAUGGAUACUUCCUUGGGGUUUGAGAAGAAAGGUAAGAAGAAAUUACCUUCAUACAUUUUACGUCGUUUUUUGUAUUAUCAACGACGGUCAUGUAAAAUUACAGUCGUUGAAUAGAUAUAGUACGUCGGUUAUGAAAAAUAUCGUCGUCUGUGAUUGAAUUUCUUUUUAUUUAUAAACCCUAAUAGUCAUUGUUUAUGCAGUAUGCCAAGGGAAAACAGGAAGAGCCAUACCCCCAAGAAGCAAUUGAUGAAGUCCGGAAUGAAUGGGCAGAGUUUGUUUGCCUUAACCUGGAAUAGGGGAAUUAUUGAACACUUGAUAUUUAUGUAUAAUGUACAAAUUUUGUCUAUAAUAUAUAAUGUAAAAAUUUGUUGAGGUUUUCUUAAAUUAAAAAAAAAAAAAACAAACAUACAAAUUGCGUAACCGACGUGUAAUACUUUUCCAACGACGUAAUAAAGUCAAAAGCCGUCGUUUUUUGUUGUUUCGUUUUAACCAAAUCCGACGUAAAAGGAUAUUCAGACGACGUUCUUUGAACAAUUGAGUCGUUUAUGGUUUACAACGUCUUCAAUUUCUUAAGGGUUCAGGGUGGUACUUUGUAACGACAGCGGUUAAGUCGUGGAAUAUAUAUUUUACGUCGGAUAGUUAAAUAUCCGCCAUGGUUUCUCAUUUAAACGACGUCAUUUUAACAACUUAGUCGUCUAUUACAAUUUACAACGUCUAAAAUUUAUUAACACCGACGUGGUUUGUUGUUGUGAUAAGAAUAUUUUAUUAUUUUUAUAUCAAAAUAUUCAAAAUAAAUUUAAAAUAAAUCAGAAAAAUGCAAAGUCAACUCCUAUGAAGUCAUUGAUAUAUUUUCUUCCCCCUAAACCUUGAAAAAAUUCAUUUUGAAUAACAAAAAUUUAAAAUGACCAUCCAAAACAAAAUUGUUUUGAUGAGUCAUAAAAUCACUUCUAGUUUUAUGGUUUAGGGUUUAGAGUCUAGGGUUUAGAGAUUAGGGUUGUUAUUUAUUGGGGUUUAUUUUUAAAGUAUAAUUUUUGGGUAGUAUAGGGUAUAUAUUAGGCUGUAAAACCAUAAACCCUUUUAUAAACUUAAUUUUUAAAAUUAUAUAAUUUAGUUUUAAGGGUUUAGGGUAUUAAUUGUUAACGACGGUGGUUGAGUCGUGGAAUACAUAUGUUACGUCGUGCAGUAAAAUAUCCGACAUGGUUUAUGCUUUAAACGACGUCAUUUUAAUAUGUAAGUCGUCUAUUAUAAUUUACAACGUUUUCAAUUUCUUAACUUCGACGUGGUUUUUCAGUCGUCUUUAUAUCAAAAUAUUCAAAAUAAAUUUAAAAUUAAUCCGAAAAAUGAAGCGUCAAAAUAAACGGCGUUACGUUCAGUGUUUCCGUCGUGGAAUAUUACAUUUACGUCGGUUCUUGUAGAACUUUCGCCAUGAUUUUUCUUUCGACGUUUUAAAGAGCGCGCGCUCUAAAAAUUUUCGCGCGCCCUAAAUUUUUUUAUAUUUGGCUCUUAUUCUUAUACUUCUAACCCUGAACCCUAAAAUUUUCAGAUUUCGCGCAACAUAACAUUCGCUCUCUCACUUCUGCUCUAAUUAAAAGUUGCACUCUCCAGGCUCCGUCGAAUAUGUGAGCUCGUCCAACCUGUAAGUACAAACCCUAUCUUUGUAUAAUCUGCUAUAGUGAUGGUCAUUGCCUGUAUUUUCACUUUAUUAUAGAUAAUAGGUUAUAGUGUCGGAGAUGGAUAAGUCAUGGAUGCACUCGGAUAGAAGAUCGAAGGCAUAUGAGUUUGGGGUGGAAGCAUUUUUGAACUUUGCUGUAGAAAAUCUUCUAACUACAACACAUAUCCGUUGUCCAUGACAAGAUCAAAUAAAGUGUACUUUUGCUGGAGAUGGAUUAAUGUUUCAUGCUAGUAUUUUGGGAAAGUGCUUACUUGCUUGGUUUCAUAUAUAUGUUGUGUUCUUAAUGGGUUUUGUGUUCUUGAAAAUAAACUGAGACACGACGAAUUUUAAGGCAUACGACGACGAUUACACGACGGUUUUUUUAAACUACCGUCGUUGUAUUACUUAUACACGACGGUUUUUUCAUAAACCGUCGUUUGUAUUACUUAUAAUAGACGACGUCUGUUGAAAAUCCGUCGUCUAUAUAUGCCAAAUACGUCUAUUUUUGUUUAAAACCCGUCGUCUCUGUUGUGUAUUACUUGCGAUUAGAUCAUUGUAUAAUCUGCUAUAGUGAUGGUCAUUGCCUGUAUUUUCACUUUAUUAUAGAUAAUAGGUUAUAGUGUCGGAGAUGGAUAAGUCAUGGAUGCACUCGGAUAGAAGAUCGAAGGCAUAUGAAUUUGGGGUGGAAGCAUUUUUGAACUUUGCUGUAGAAAAUCUUCUAACUACAACACAUAUCCGUUGUCCAUGUGUUAAAUGUGUUAAUUUGAAGUUGUUUGGGGUUGGAAUUAUAAGGGAUCACUUAUACUUUAAUGGAAUUGACCAAAGCUAUAAGAAUUGGACAUUUCACGGAGAACCUUGGGAAGCAACUACUAAUGCUAGUAGAAAUGUUGAAGAAGAUGAUGGCCAUAGUAGGUACAGUUUUGUGUCUGAAGAAAUUGAUAUGGAUGAUAAUGAUUUUGGUGAUUUUGGUUCGGAUCCGUAUGAGUUUGCCAAUGUGAUUGGGGAUGGAGAUCAACCAGUGUACCCUGGUUGUAGAAAGUACACGAAGUUAUCGGCAUUAGUGAAGUUGUAUAAUUUGAAGGCAAAACAUGGGAUGAGUGAUGUCUGUUUUACAGAAUUAUUGAUACUUCAAGGCGAUUUGCUUACAGAAGGAAAUACAAUACCAACCUCCAUGUAUGAGGCUAAAAAGACUUUGUGUGCAUUGGGGCUGAGUUAUGAGAAAAUGCACGCAUGCCUCAAUGAUUGCAUCUUGUAUAGGAAGGAGUAUGAGGAUUCAACUAAUUGUCCUACUUGUGGUAUCUCAAGGUGGAAGGAAGGCAAAGAUUCAAUCUUGAAAGAGGGUGUGCCAGCGAAGGUGGUGUGGUAUUUUCCCCCAAUUCCAAGGUUUAAAAGGAUGUUUCAAUCACAUGAGACAGCUAAGAGUUUGACUUGGUGGCAUGUUGCUAGAAAAUCAAUUGACGGUCAGAUGUCUCAUCCGGCGGAUUCCCCGUCUUGGAAACUUCUUGAUGAUAAAUGGCCUGAGUUUGGUAAUGAGCCGAGAAACUUGAGAUUGGCUCUUUCAUCUGAUGGAUUCAAUCCCCACAGUUCUCUAAGUAGCAGAUAUAGUUGUUGGCCGGUUAUCUUAGUUACAUAUAAUCUCCCUCCAUGGCUGUGCAUGAAACGAAAGUUCAUGAUGUUAACCUUAUUGAUUUCCGGUCCUAAACAACCCGGAAAUGAUAUAGACGUCUACUUGGAGCCUUUGAUUGAUGAUUUAAAAUUCUUGUGGGUUGGGAUUAGAGGAGUGUAUGAUGCACAUAAUGGAGAAUACUUUACACUCAGAGCUGCAUUAAUGUGGACAAUUAAUGAUUUCCCCGCCUAUGGAAACUUAUCUGGUUGUGUUGUUAAAGGAUAUAAAGCUUGUCCAAUAUGCGGCGAUGAUACACCUAGUCACAGGUUGAAAAAUGGCCACAAAAUUUGUUACAUUGGGCAUAGAAAAUGGUUACCAAUCAAUCAUCCAUAUAGGAGGCAACGUGCAGCUUUUAAUGGAAAACCUGAAUAUGGCAUACCUCCCGAGCCAUUAACCGGAGAAGAAGUGCUGCAUAUGGUUGAAAAUGGUGACAGAGUUUGUUGGAAGAAGAAAUCAAUAUUCUUUGAUCUCGAGUAUUGGAAAUACCUUCCUGUGAGGCAUGCCCUAGAUGUUAUGCACAUUGAGAAGAAUGUUUGCGAUAGUAUCAUUGGUACAUUGCUGGAGAUCCCUGGAAAAAAUAAAGAUGGGAUUGCUGCUCGAUUAGAUUUAUUGAACAUGGGGGUCAAAACUGAUUUGCAACCCGAGUAUGGAGAAAGACGUACUCGUUUGCCUCCUGGGCCUUGGAAUUUGUCAAGAGCAGAGAAGAGAGAGGUUUGCAAUUCUUUCUAUGGUAUGAAGGUCCCUGAAGGUUAUUCUUCAAAUAUUAAAAAUCUUGUAUCUUUACAAGAUUCAAGACUUCUUGGCCUUAAAUCACAUGAUUGUCAUACCUUAAUGCAACAAUUGCUCCCUGUGGCAAUUCGUUCUGUUUUGGAGAAGCCUGCAAGGUAUGCAAUAACUCGUUUGUGCUUCUUCUUCAAUGCUAUAUGUGCAAAGACUGUUGAUGUUUCCAAGCUAGAUAAGUUGGAAGAAGAUGUAGUAGUUACUCUGUGUUUGCUUGAGAAGUACUUUCCCCCUUCAUUCUUUGAUAUCAUGGUUCAUCUAGUAGUACAUCUUGUCAGAGAAGUUCGUCUAUGUGGGCCAGUAUAUUUUAGGUGGAUGUAUCCGUUUGAAAGAUAUAUGAAAGUGCUGAAGGGGUAUGUUCAGAAUCGUACUCGUCCCGAAGGUUGCAUUGCUGAGCGGUAUAUAGCUGAAGAAGCGGUAGAGUUUUGUACUCAGCAUUUAUCUGAUGUUAGUACAGUUGGAGUGCCUUCAAGCCAAAAGAUGGGACUUUCAAAGCCAUUAUCAGGUUGCACAGUGAGCGUAGUUGAUCAGGACCUGUUGAAUCAAGCACAUCUAUAUGUCUUGGAGAAUACGGAGGAAGUCCUACCUUAUAUCGAGUACGUAUGAGCUUUAUUCUUUAAGUUUCCAUUUUAAAUUAUUUCUUAUGUUUAUCUUCUAUAUUUAGGACCGUAAUGCUUGAAUUUUUCGUGUCAUGUAGGCAACAUAUGAUCCACAUCAAGAUUGCUUAUCCAAAAUUUAGAAAGAGAACAAAGUGGCUGCAGGAUAAGCACAAUAGCACUUUCAUUUAAUGGCUACGCUUCAAGGUAUAUGUUGUUGAAUAACAUAUUUCUCUUUUAAUUUUCUUCUUAUUUAUAUGUUAGAUUGAAUUAAGAUAUGAUUAAUUUGCAGGUUCAAAGUGAACUUGAGGAAGACAAUCAUGGCGUAUCAGAAAAUUUAAGGUGGCUAGCAGCUGGUCCAAACAUGUCAGUGCCAUUAUAUAGGAGCUAUCUUAUUAAAGGUAUUAAAUUCAAUAUCAAGGCACAAGAUGAUGUGCGGACAACUCAAAAUAGUGGAGUUUAUUUACUUGCACAUACCAUGCAAGUUGCUAGUACCAAGGAUAAAAACCCAAUUCUCUCAAAUAUGGGUUUCUAUGGUGUCAUUCAAGAAAUUUGGGACCUUGACUACCAAAAGUUUACAAUCCCAGUCUUUAGGUGUGAUUGGAUAGAUAGUUCUGGUCUUGUAGUCGACGAACUUGGAUUUACCCUUGUAGAUUUGAGUAAAAUUGGACAUAGGAAUGACCAAUUUGUUUUGGCUUCUCAAGUCAAACAAAUAUUUUUUGUUGACGACCCGAUGCAUCGUGGUUGGUCGGUAGUGUUAUCAAUGCCUAAUAGAGAAUAUAAUGAUGUUAUUGGUGAUGAAGUCUUAGGUGAUGUGAUAAUUGAGUGUGAGCCAUUUACUAGAGGGAUGCCAAAUGUUGACACAUUUGAUGAACUGGUGGCUGAGUUAGGCGGUCAAAAUAUUCGAGAUGGGUGUGAAGAUAUAUGGAUUGAAUGAUGCUUAUGUAAUUGGCAGUGUAUGACAUUAAUUUUGUAAUAUAUUGUAAUGUGAUUUCUUCACUUUCUACGUUCAAAUAAAACACGACGUUAUUGUGAACCAGUUAUUCAGCAUAUUUACCGACGUCUUAAAGCAACGUGACAAUGAAGAAUCACGACGCUAUUGUGAAGCAAUUAUUCAGGAUAUCACGUCGGGGAAGGAUUAAGAACCGCCAUGUAAUUCAAAAUAACACGACUCCAAUCCCAUAAUACCGACGUCUAAAAAACGAGAUAUAUAAUCUGAACGUUAAAAAAUACGACGUCAUCAUACAUUUUUCACGUCGCAAGUUCUUUUAUAAACGAAGAGGAACGAAAUGAAUUCCGACGGAAAUUCAUUAUAACCGCCGUCUAAUAACAAUUAAACGACGUUAUUUGUAAUACGGCUCUCAUCAUAAUCAACGCCGUCUAUAUGUUCUGUAAUACGGCUCUCAUUUAUUUAAAACCGACGUUGUUUAGAAGUUCAACGUCGUCUAUAUUAUUAAGUGCGUCGUGAGUAAUGACGAUAGAUAUAAAUACAACGUCGACUAUAUAAAUGACACCGACGUUGUUUCGCAUUUCAACGUCAACUGUAUAAAUACAUACGUCGUAAAUAAUGACACUGACAACUAUUUCCACGUCAUCUUUUUUAGAAAAAUCGAAGUGGAAAAUUUAUUUCACGACGGUUGUUUGUAAAUAAGAGACGUAGUAUAUUUCAAUAACGUCGUCUUCUCAUGUAUUUAAAGACGUCAUAUUUUUUCUUGUCGUGUAAAUUAUAUUUAACGGCGUUGUAUUUUAGUUGUCGUCGUUGUAUGUAUAUCUUGCGGCCUUGUUCUUUUAACAUGUGUCAUAUUUUUCCUUUUUAACGACGGUGAUUUGUUUGAGUUGGUCGUCUAUUCUCAUCCUCGACUAUUUUCUAGAACUUUAGCAGACUAAACACGUCUGUUUUUAUUGUUUGCCGACGUUGUUUUAUUUAACAACGUCUAAUAUUUAUCGUCGUUGUUUGUUUCUGAAAAUAUGACGUAUAAAUUUUGUAAUACGACUCUCAUAUAUGUGUAACCGACGUUGUUUCGUUUUUCAACGUCUACUCUAUAAAUACAUACGUCGUAAAUAAUGACACUGACAACUAUUUCCACGUCAUCUUUUAUCGAAAAAUCGAAGUGGAAAAUUAAUUUUACGACGGCUGUUUUUAUAUAUGCGACGUAGUAGGUUUCAAUAACGUCGUCUUCUAAUGUAUUUAAAGACGUCAAAUUUUUUAUUGUCGUGAAAAUGAUAUUUAACGGCGUCGUAUUUUUAUUUUCGUCGUUGUAUGUCUAUCUUGCGGCCUUGUUCUCUUAAUAUGUGUCAUAUUUUUCCUUUUUAACGACGGUUUUUUUAGAGAGUUGGUCGUCUAUUCUCAUCCUCGACUGCUUUUUUAGAUCUUUUUGCAGUACAAAGACGUCGUUUUGUAUUUGUUGAUGACGUUGUAUAUUUUAACAACGACGGUGAUUUAGCGUCGUGGUUUAUCAGGGAAAAGAUGACGGUGGAUUCCACCACCAUUGAAAAACCGAAUACACGACGGUGAUUUACCGUCGUCUUUUUGCUUUUUUGUAGUAGUGAAACAAGUGCUCAACCAUUGAGCUGUGGACCCGUUGGCUUGACAAUUCACCAUUUGAGUCUAAUUAGUCCAGAAAAAGUCUUAUGUGCUGAGGGCUUGAGGUUGAUUCUUUGGAAUUAAUGAAAAAUAUUUUCUUCAACUGAUAAGAUGCAAAUUUACUAUCACACAGUAGCCAUAUAACAGCAAGAACAAGCAGAAAUAUUACAAUGCAAAAGUUGAUAGUAAAGUUCCAACUUCCAAGAACAGUCUCUUCUUUCAUUGUCAUCUUUCUUCUCUCUCUCUCCUUUCAUCCCUUAACAAUAUGGGCUUAGGUGAAAGAACACUAGGCUAGCAUUAGGGAACCAGAGGAGGGAGUGGUUUCCCAAGGAAAGGAUGUGGAGGAAAUGUUGGAAUGGGUGGAGGAAGAGGAUUCUUGAAAAUAGGAUGGGGAAAUGGUUUCUUGUAUACAGGAAUUAGUGGAGGAAGUGGCUUCUUAUAGAUUGGAACAGGAGGUAGAGAUGGCUUCUUGAAUUUUGGAAGGUAAUGAAAAAAUGGCUUCUUUACAAAUGGUUUUCCUUCCACAACUGGUACCGGCGGAUGACCCGGCUUCUUGAAGGGUGGAAUCUUGAAGACUGGAACAGGUGGAGGGAGUGGCUUCUUGAAGAAGGGCUUUGGUGGAAAUGGCUUCUUUACAAUGGGAAUCUUAGGUGAAGGAUGUUUCUUAAAGACAAACUUCCCUUCUUCAUUGAGCUCUGCAGACUCUGUUUGCAGCUCUUCAAUUCUACAUGUGCACAAAGAGAUGCAGAAGAAUGUUACUCAUCAGAAAAACAAUUAACAAAAAAAUAACAUACCUAGAGAUUUCAGUAAGUAAUUCAAAAUAAUGAGGAGCAAUGAAGGGGUCUGUUUUGUAACUUUUGUUAUUGUAUUGUGCUACAUUGCUAGAGCUGUCAAGUAGCCUAAGUAGCUUCCUUCUAAAAGAAAAUUUGUAGUGUAAUCAAGUAGCCUAAAAGAACUAUUUGAUCACACUAAGACUAAUAGCUUCCCCUCUAGACGUUAUUACCGUGCGUAUGCCAUGUAUUUUCUACUACCCCUCUUUGUUCUCCUCCGUGUUUACAAUGGCAUCCACAAGGUAAUAAUGUGUGGACGUCCGAUGAAAGAAGAACUCUAUAUAUAUAUAUAUAUAUAUUAUAUAUCUCACCUGAAUUAGCUUUGUCUAGUGCUUGUUCUCCAGCUUCCUCAAUAGUCUCUGCAUUGCUGUAGCAGAAGCUUACAGCAAACAAGCACAACCAGAGACCCAGAAGGGCCCCUUGGAAAAUAAGACGGGUCUGCAUUGAAAAAUCCUGCAACACUAAAAUGGUAUAAAAGUAGUAGAUCCAACUUUUACACGUUGGUUAAGCUGGGUUUGAUGCUCUUUAUCAGUUCCAGCAACCUUGUUAUUUAUAGUAAAUUAGAUGAACUGUUUAGGAGGCUCAUGUGCUUGCACUUAAUAAUUAAUUGAAGGAUUGAUGUCAACUUCAUUAAGAUUGAAAAGGAUCUCAGUACAAAGAGGCAACAUGCUCACCGGCUUUGCAGUUCAAAUGGUAUUUAUUUUCAUUCACUGACUUUCCACUUCCCUAACUUCUACCAGCAUAAUUGAGCCUUCUGACUAUCAGAGGAUAUGCUACUAACUAUGAAGUCACAUUUUGGCAUUUGGGUACUAAUCAGUGGCGAAGCUAGAAUUUCAUGUGUGUGGGGCCUCUCACAAAUAUAAACAAUAAAAAAUUUGAACUCACAUGACAUACCAAAACAUCAAAAAUCAUAUUGUGUAUUCAUUACAAUCAUCAUCGUUCUUGACGAGUUUUCAUAUUUUGAAAUCGUUGCAUAACAACCUCGUCAUCUAUACUAUUGGAAAUGUCUCUCUCAAUAUAUGCAACGAAGCAAUCAUUUAUACAUAAAUUGAAAGAUCAAUUAAAAUCAAUAAAAAGAAGGAAAAAAAUCAAAAUUUUAUGAACUAAAAAUAAAUAAAUAAAGAAAAAAAAUAAAAAAGUGAACUACUAAAAAAACUUUAAUUGAAUAAAUUAACCUAAUUAAAACUUGAUAUUGAAUAAAUUAACCUUAUUAAAACUUGAUAGUUUAAUAUGGAGUUUGAGAGAAAAACUCACAGGCAAUGCAUUGAGAAAGUCUGCUUUGCUGCUUGUGUAUCUCCAAGAAAGGAGAAAAAUGGUUAGGAUUUUAUCAAUUUUUGUAAAAGGGUAAAUAUAUAAUAAUAAGAGCCAUAAACCUUUGGAAAAAGGAAAGAAAAGUGGAGUUUGGUGGAAAGGAAAACAGGAUUUGGCUGCUGGCCCACGUGAUAAAAUAAACAUAUUAAUUAAUAUAGAUUAUUCAAUAACAGCAAUACAUAUUACAUUUUUAAAAAAAGAAAAAAAGUUGAGUAGGGGCCUGUGACAGCCCUGGUCCUUACUUGCCUCCGCCCCUGGUACUAAUCCCAAGCUUAAUUUGUCAUGACAUGUUGCCGGAAUAAUAUUUAGUGAUCCUUUAGAUUGUAAUGAGAUGUUUACUAACUUGUAAUCAAAACAACAAGAAUGAACCAGAAGGAGUGAGAGUCGGAAUCAAUCAUUUCCACGAUGAUUUUCUUCCAAUAUUUAUUCACCUAGUUGAUAUAUGACAACGACAUGCUAGUAUCUUGUUGGAAAUACAAUUUUUUUUUCUCUUAAGAAAUAAAAGAAAUUAAAAAUAUGCUUAAAUAUACGAAAAAAAAAUUAUAACUUAUUCUGAUGUCCACAGCAUAUAUACUCAGUAAAAAAUAAUAAUAAUAAUAAAAUAAAAAAUAAAAAAUUACUCACAUUACUUGUUUCCUUAUACUGCAGGACUUCAGACAAAGCCAAUGAUUUGCGCCUCUUCAACUCUUGAGCAAUAUUAAUAAUGUACGUUGAUUUUCUAGAACUACCAAAUAUAAUCUAGACGUCUAAGCAUCCAGGUUCUCUCAAAUUGCUCAUUAAAAUUUUCAUUAAAUAGCGUGUGGGAAAAUAUGACAAGGAGGUAUGAAUGGACGCAUUCUUAUUUAAUACUAUACCCUAGGUCCCUAAUAAAUUAAUCAUGUUGUUCACCAUUUAUAACAUGUGAACUAGUAACACAAUGUUUCGACAAAAAAAGAAAAGAAAAGAAGUAGUAACACAAGGAGGUGUGAGGUGAGGAACACAUUGAGAAAACUUUCUUAUAUAUGCUACCAAGGUACUAGCUACGAGGUUAUAUUUUUUAGAAAUUCUUCGGUGUGACGAUUAUCACUUGAGCUACAAGCCCUUGCAUGUUACCAAUCUAUUUAUAUUAUAACACCUAUAUCUAUUAAUUAAUACUAUACCUUUUUUUUUUUACAAUUAAUACUACACCAUAUUCAUGACUUAUCAAUUAUGACACACACUCAUAUUAUAAUAUGUUUUUUUUUCUUUUCCAGAAAUUCUAGAAUUGCAUUCAUAAUUCAACCAAAAAAGUCAUUAGCCACAAUGGGCAUUACAAUAACGGAACGAUCUAAAAUCAAAAUUAGGACAAAAUGAUCACACAUGAUCGAAGAAACUUUGGCAUAAGCAUCCCAAUUAAGUGCAAACUCAGAAUAACAAAAAGAGUGUUGCUAUUUCCACCCUCCUGUCCUAUUUCCCCACCCACCUUAUCUUCACACCCAUCAUGUAAAUUUGAAAAAACACAAUUUUAUCUUUCUACCCACCAUUAUUCCAAACAUACCCUUUAAUUAUUAAUUCAAACAAUUUCUCUCUGUCAUUUGUUUCUUGAUGAGAUACUAACUUGCCAAGACAGAUAAAUUGGAAAUAAAUUAAGAAUUGAUGAGGGUAUUGCUUUUGUGAUGGCACUUUUUAAUUACUGUGGUUUCUUCUGGGCAUAGUUAUAACAUGAGAGAAGAUGAAUAAUCAAGGGAUAGCCUGUAAUAUUGUCUUCUUUUUAUAUUAGUUUGAUUUAGGUAUCUAUUUCACUCGUGGAAUCAUUUGCUCUGUUCAUUAACCUGAAUGAAAAUUAGACAACUUUAUAGCUGCAUGUCGCAUGACUUAAUAUAAUCAUGUCAAUCAAUAACAUCAGAGCGUUCUAGUAUUCUCUUGAAAUAUAUUUUGAAACGUAUAGGAUAGGGGUAAAUUUGAAGAGAGCCAAGUCCUUAGAAGUAAUUUUACAAAGGGAUAAAUUUGUUUUUAAAAUGUUGAAGACAAGGUAGGUGGGAAAAUAGGACAUGUGGGUGGAAAUAACAGCACUCUAACAAAAAAUAGAUAAAACUUGAAAACACCAGGCCAUAACAACACAAAGAAUGAUAGGAAAUUAGCUCCAAGGGUCACUCUCUCGCUAAGCAAGGAGAGCCGCACGUCAUAUCUAGGGUACCCCCUCAAGGUCAACCACCGCCGUCAUGCACCCAGCCGUCGUCAUUCCUACUUUGCCCAUGAUAGGUGUCGUCAUUGUCUCUCCUUCUCGCCAUGAGCGACUCGUUUUGUCUCUCCCUUCUCCACUUGGGCUCAUCGCAGGUGCUAAUCGACUGGUCCCUUGAGAUUUUAUUAGGUUGGUCUGGUAUCAAUUGUUAACACGGUCAGAAUUAGGGCUCUCUGCCCUCGUGUCUCACAAGCGCCUCCUACCUAUUGGUUUCAUUGUCUGUGACUCCGGGUCCCUGCCGGUGUUUUCCUAAGCGUGCUAGUGUUGUGGUAAUUCUUUGGAUUUUUUCUCUCCUGUCUCUGUCUUUCUCCUUAGCAUGGUGUGGUUUUUUUUUUCUUCGGCUUGGCUCAAUGGUUAGAGUGGAAAUUCUGGUCUCUGCUAUGUCUGUAUUAAGCUAGAACAUGCGGGAGCUUGGCAACCGUCAUAUGUUCCGUGAUCUCAGAAACCUCUUACAUGACAAAACACCAGAUAUUGUUUUCCUUACUGAGACUCAUAUGACCGUUGUCCAGAUGGGCGGAUUGGUUCGAAGACUUGGGGUGGUUGGAGUCCUCUGUGUUCCCCGUGAAGGGUUCUCUGGUGGUCUCUGUAUUCUUUGAAACCCUGGUUUACAGGUUGUGUUGCUCUCAUCCUCUUCGACACAUAUUGAUGCUUGGGUUACCUUUCCUACACUACUACAAAAAGUGAAAAAGACGACCAGAAAACAACGACGGUCAAAGUGAAAACCGUCGUGGUUUUUAAAAAGACGACGGUUCUUAAAACACCGUCGUGUAAUACAACCUUAGACAACUAAAAAAUGGAGAUUCAAAUGGCUGUUCAAAAACAACGACGUACAUAAUUAAACAACCGACGUCUAUUUGAAACAGAUUUCCGCAUUGUAAAAUCAAUGCCAACAAAGAACGGCAGAAGUUAUGAAUCGACCGACGUAGAAAGUAAAGACGACGAUUUCAAUAAAAACUGCCGUUUUUACUCAUAAAAUAACACGACGAGGUUUUCGUAUAAGACGCCGUAUAAUUACAAACAAAUCCACGGCUUUAAAAUACAAAAUAUCACCGUAUUAAAUUAAUGUACAACGACGGAAAAUAUAAAUAUAUCGACGUCAUUCUCGUAUNNNNNNNNNNNNNNNNNNNNNNNNNNNNNNNNNNNNNNNNNNNNNNNNNNNNNNNNNNNNNNNNNNNNNNNNNNNNNNNNNNNNNNNNNNNNNNNNNNNNCGUCGUACCUUUAAUUUUAACCGUCGUCUUAAUAAGAAUUUUUAUUAACAAUUUUUUUCUUUGAUUUUCUUAUCCUACGUCGGUAGAUCUACUUAAUGACAAGAAUUGAAAUAACCACGACGGUUUAUAUAGAAAACCGCCGACAUAAUCAGAUUUGUCUGAGAUCCCAAGGGUUACGAAAUCUUACCAGAUGGAACUCUGUUCCACAUCAUAAUCUUAACAGAUGACACAGAUUUGCAAAUAUUGCGUCGUGUUAGUUUACAAAUUCUAGAACAUUAAUUUCCCUCAUUUUAAAUUUCCUCGGGAAAGAAAAAUCUAUUUAUCACGCUUUGUAAUUGAAAACUAAAACUGAAAGAAUACGGGAAAAAAAACUCUAUUUAUAAUUUAAAAAUAAAAUCCACGUCAGUUGUAGUACACUUAACGACGUUUAACAAAAUAAUCUACGUCGGUAAUUAUAAAUCUACCGCCAUCUUACCUUAAUAUAGACGACGAGAAAAGACGACGGUAGAACAGAAAACCGCCGUUGUUUCAGUUUCUUUAACAGUUUGGUCCUUUCUCUUUCUGCAGGACUUGUAUAGUUCAAAGCAUUGACAAUGUCUUCAUCAUAUCUCCCAGCAACUACUGAUUCGAUUGCUCAUGCUUUAGACGCCCUCUGAAGCCAUUUCUAUUCUUUAUCGCAUUCUUGAAACCCAUCUUCUUCUUCUGAAGCUCUACGGAUAAAGGAAGAGGCUACCACAAAUCUGAUGGAUCUUCUUAGCCAAGAAAAUCAAGAAGAUUUCCCUGAGAAGCGAACUUUCCUUCAACAGCGAGUGGAGGCCAGGCUUGCAUCUCUUUUGAUGGAAAGCAAGGAGUAUUCAGAAGCACUAAGUGUCCUAUCAGGCUUGAUCAAGGAAGUGAGAAGGCUAGUUGACAAGCUUCUUCUUGUGGACAUAUAUUUGAUGCGAGUAAGCUCAAUUUCUCUUUGAGAAAGACAUCCAAAUUAUUGUCUUUGAGACGUGAGAGACUGAGAGAGGAAGAACUUGGAACCUUAAAUGUAAACCGAAAAUGAAUGAAAGCGACAAAUUUAUAGAAUAAAUUUUUAAAACCAACGGCGGUCCUUACAAAAAAACCGCCGUUUAAAUUGUAAAAUCAACGUCGGUAUUAUCGACGUAUAUUACAGAAAUCCACGUCGGUAAAUUAAUAAAAACGACGUGUUAAAUAAUCUACCAUGACGCGAGUUAUUACUUAUGUACUUUAAUUUUUGAGUUUACUACGACGGUACCUACAACACUACUGUCGUAUUUAUUUACCACGUCCGAAGUUAAAUGUACCGUCGUAGUUUGUAAUUUAUACGUCGUAGUUAUAUGUAACCGCCGUAUUAUUUUUUUGAAAUGGUUUUAUAUGUAAGCAACUUUUCGUCUACCUGACAUACACAUGCGCUGUUUCCAAACCCGAUUAAAAAGUUCAAUCUCCCAGAGAAAACUUUUAGACUUUUUUUCUUGCCAGAGCACUGUCAGAGUAUCUCAUCGUCUUCCUCUCUUCUUCUUCAUCGUCUCUGAACAUAAACAUAAUAUUCCUCUUGCUUUCAUUGCACGCAAAAGGUAAGCUUUCAUUUUCACUAUUUUGUUUGCUGUUUUGCAUGCUCAUACGUUUUUUGUUUGAAAAAUCUUUUUACCUUUUUUCUGGCCAAAAUCAUUUUACUUCUUUCCAAGUUCGAUAAAAUAUACAGACAAAGAGGGAAAGUUUCUAACUUUGAAGACAACUACCUCAACUAAAUAAGACGACGGUAGCUUCUUAUGUACGUGGUUAAAUAUGUAGACCACGACGGUUCGUCAGUCGUUCUAGCGUCGUCUGAAAAUUGACAAAGUUGUUUUUAAAAUUAUAGUCUUUUUUUUAUUUGCUUGUUUAAUUGUAGGUUUGAUUUCUCUGAACAAUGGUUUUUGUUUUUCCCUAAUUUGAUAAAAUAUAAAGAAAAAGAAAGUAGGGUUGGUAUCUAAUAUAGACAACAGUAUCUUAUUGUUUUACGUCGUGUGAAUGUUAAUACCACGACGUCAUAUUAAAAUACCGUCGUCUAUAUAAGAUUCCAAAACUUUCUUUCUUGGCCUUGUAUUUUAUCAAAUUAGAAAACAAAAACCAUGGUUCAGAAAAAUCAAAUCUGCAAUCAAACAUUCACAGAGAAAGAAAGAAGGGUUUUGGAUCCUUAUAUAGACGACGGUAUAUUACGACUGACGUCGUGUGAACAUCAAUACCACGACGUUAUAUAAAUAUUUCGUCGUUUAUAGUUAAUUAUCACGUCGUUUAUAGUUAAUUAUUUCGUCGUUGUUUAAUUACCUUGGUUUUAAACAUUUAUUACGUCUGAGAUUAUUUCAUUGCGUCGUUUAAAAUCAUAUCAUACGUCGUAUUUUAUUAAUAACUGUCGUUUGUGUUCUUAAUCUUUUCCUGAAAUAUUUUCACUUGAAGUUUUGUCUGUAAAAAUGGUUUCUCACCAAGACCAAAGUAAGGAUUCUGGCUCCAAGAAAAAUGGAGGUAAGGACCUUGGAAUGUUACCUCCUCAAGUGAAGCCUUCGAAGAAGAUGAAGUUUGCUUCAUCAUCUGCUGAGACAAAACGAACCAGCACGACAACAAUCUCUGAUGAUUCAAAGUCUGGUCGAGGUAUGAGCACAAUGCCUCAUGUUGUGAAGAGAAAACUUCAGAAACUGAAGCCAAUUGUUGAGUACAAUAAAAGGGGGAAAGGAAUUGGCCAAGCACAUAGUGAGAUGCAGUCCUACAUUGGUGUGUUGGCACGCUCCAGAGUUCCACUUGUGGACAUGAAAUGGGCUCAAAUCCCUAAGGAUAUAAAGGAGCAGAUUUGGGAAGCAGUUGACAUUGCUUUUGUGGUAGGUCAAGGGGGCAAGAGCUCUGUGUUAGCUUCUGCUGCCAAGAAAUGGAAGGAUUUCAAGUCUACACUAACGAGGCAAUAUAUCCUUCCAUACACCAAUGACAGGGAGAGAUUAAGCCAACCCCCUGAAACAUAUAAAUUCAUAGAGAAAGCACAAUGGGAUGCCUUUGUAGCUUCAAGGUUAUCCAAAGAUUUUGAGUCUGUGCAUUCUCAACAUGCACAGAUUAGGGAGAAACUUGAGUACAAUCAUCGAUUGUCUCGAAAAGGAUAUGCUGGUUUGGAGGAUCAAUUGGAGGAAACCAUGCCUGGGGUAGAAAUUGAUCGAUCUACCUUAUGGAAGAGAGCUAGACAGGACAAACAUGGUAACAUCCCGGAUCCAAAGGUGGCAGAGAAAGCAAAAUUAAUUGUAAGCCUACUCACUCUGUUUUAAAUUUUUAUUAAACUGUGAAUAAUUCUUAUUAUGUCUUAUGUUAUAUUUUGUGUCGUGUGAAUGAUAUUACCACGUCGUUAAAGGUCUAAAUCAGGAAUCACUACUCUGUUUUCUGUAAUUAUAGCAUAAGAUGUCGGUGGUUCAUUUUCGCGUUGUUUGUAUUGAAUUACUACGUCGAAAUGUUUUAAACAAGGUCGUUAAAGGUGUGAAUAUUGAAUCAUCCCUCUGUUAUCUGUAAAUAAAGCAUAAGACGUCGGUGGUUUAUUCAUUUCGUCGUUUUAAAAACUAACCACGUCGGUUUAAAAACUACCGUCGUGAUAAAUUAUAAUAACGUCGAUUUAUAUGUUAUUGCGUCGUGUGAAAUUAUAUAAUACGUCGUUUGUAUAUAAAUAACCGUCAUGUGUUUUUGUUCUUACUUUUUUAUAUAUCUUUGUUUUAGGAUGAAUUGCAAAAACAAGGCUCGGAAGGCAAAGUCACUGUUUCUGGCAGCAAUGAUGUGCUGACCAUGGCUUUGGGCCCCGAGCAUCCAGGCAGAGUGAGAGGAGUAGGUGCUGGGAUCUCACCAAGGCAAUAUUUCAAUUUACCCAAACCACAGAGAGUGAGCUUUGACGACCGUUUGAAGGACAGUUUAAGAGUUCUCCUUCAAGAAGAGACUAAAAAGAUGGAAGCUAAGGCAAGGGAAGAGGCUUUAAGGAUGGAGGCUAGAACGAAACAAUUGGUAGAGGCUGAGAGGGAGCAUUUCCUGAGUCAGCUUUCCCAAUUAAUUCCCAAUUUUGAUCCAAGCAUGCUUAAACCCAGAAUUAGCCAAAGUCCCAAAAAUCCAAUGUCUGACAAAGCAAGCUGCUCUGGAGGUGAUGUGAGAUCCCAGCAUUUUGAGGAUGAUACUGCCAAAAAUGGGAAACAUCAGGAAGAAAAGGUAACAUAUCUGAACUUUGAAUUCUCUGUUUUUUUAAAAACCAUUAGACGUCGUUAUUAUUAAUAAAACCGUCGUUUGAAAUACAUACCACGACGAUUUUAAACAUAAACCGUCGUUUGUAUUUCAAUACCACGUCGUAUUUAGUUUACUUGUUUUACACGCCAUUAAACGUCGUUAUUUUAAAACUUUGUGGUUUUUAGACGACGGAGUUAGUCAUUCCCGACGUAAUAGAUGAAGGGAAGACAGAAGAAAAACAUGAUGAAAAUGAGAAAGAAGAUGACGACCAGGUAUGUUCACAUAACUUUGCCUUUUUUAUUAGUUUUUCAAAAUUCCAGACGUCGAUAUUUUUCUUUAAACCGUCGUUUGUUUACAACUUAGACGGCGGAAUUUUUUUUAAGACGUAAUAAAUUAUUCACCACAACGGUUUCUUCAGACGACGUUUAAAUUCUUUUCAGACGACGUAUUAUUCCUUAAACCGUCGUUUUUAUUGAAUUACCACGUCAUUUUUUUUAUUUCUUUAAACAUGUUAUUAAAGUUGUUGAUUAUUCAAAUAUGGAGGCGCCAUCUUCUUUAAACUCCCUUUGUCGUUAUGUGGAAACGACACUCGUGCCUCAGGAUAAGACCCUGCACUUUACAAUUGAUAAGGAGGUGUUUGGUCUAGAGCGCGAUACCUUCCUCCUGCCUGAAGAUAUUACACAAUUUGCAGGCAUGGAAGAAAUAGGAGCCACUGUCAUUGCUGUAUAUAUGAGGUUUGUCAUUCUAAAAUAAUACGUCGUUGGUGUAUUUAUUGCGUCGUCUUAACCAACUAACCACGUCGUUAGUAUAUCAUAACGUCGUUGUCUAUUUCAGUACGUCGUGUGAAAUUUUAUAAUACGUCGUUUUGUUAUACAUAACCGUCGUGUUUUUUUGUAUAUAUGAGGUUUGUCAUUCUAAAAUAAUACGUCGUUGGUUUAUUUAUUGCGUUGUCUUAACUAACUAACCACGUCGUUAGUAUUUACCGUCGUGAUAAAUAUAUUAUAACGUCGUUGUCUAUUUCAGUACGUCGUGUGAAAUUUUAUAAUACGUCGUUUUGUUAUACAUAACCGUCGUGUGUUUUUUUGUGCUGACUUGUUUAUAUUAUUUUAUAUAUUUAGGCACUUGCACAAUGUUUUGAAGCGAGCAAAUAUGUGCAAUAUGGUUGGCUUUAUCGACCCUGCUACAGUUAGUGCCAGCUCUGGCACAAUAGCUGAGAGAUCACGCCUACUAGCAGCUCGACUUCAGAAGACUGACGGUGAACAGAUUUUCCUGAUGCCUUACAAUCCAGGGUUAGUCUCCUUAACAGGAUUUUGUUUUUUUGAUUUUCAAUAAAUUACAGCGUAUAAACUAACCACGUCGGUGUUUUAUUUUAUUGAGUCGUUUGAAACUUCUAACCACGUCGGUAGUUAUUUAUCGUCGUGAUAAAUGUAAAAUGUCGUCGAUUGCUACUUUAUUUCGUCGUGUGAAAUAUUAUAAUACGUCGUUAUUGUAAAUAACUGUCGUUUUUAUAUUAAUUUUGUGCAGCAGUCAUUGGAUCUUGCUGAUUGUAAGAGCAAAGAGAGAAACCGUCUAUUUUCUGGAUCCUCUGCCAGGAAAUCGUGUGGUCGAUGAAGAGGCCAAAAACAUUGUGAACAGUGCUAUAAAAAUUUAUAAUUCUCACAUAGCCAGACCAGGCCGUAAGGCAGUCAUUUGGAAAACUCUGUCAGGCACACCAAAGCAACCCAGCAAUGUCGAAUGCGGGUAUUAUGUGAUGCGCUUCAUGAGGGACAUCAUCAUGGAUACUUCCUUGGGGUUUGAGAAGAAGGUAAGAAGAAAUUACCUUCAUACAUUUUACGUCGUUUUUUGUAUUAUCAACGACGGUCAUGUAAAAUUACAGUCGUUGAAUAGAUAUAGUAUGUCGGUUAUGAAAAAUAUCGUCGUCUGUGAUUGAAUUUCUUUUUAUUUAUAAACCCUAAUAGUCAUUGUUUAUGCAGUAUGCCAAGGGAAAAUAGGAAGAGCCAUACCCCCAAGAAGCAAUUGAUGAAGUCCGGAAUGAAUGGGCAGAGUUUGUUUGCCUUAACCUGGAAUAGGGGAAUUAUUGAACACUUGAUAUUUAUGUAUAAUGUACAAAUUUUGUCUAUAAUAUAUAAUGUAAAAAUUUGUUGAGGUUUUCUUAAAUUAAAAAAAAAAAAAAACAAACAUACAAAUUGCGUAACCGACGUGUAAUACUUUUCCAACGACGUAAUAAAGUCAAAAGCCGUCGUUUUUUGUUGUUUCGUUUUAACCAAAUCCGACGUAAAAGGAUAUUUAGACGACGUUCUUUGAACAAUUGAGUCGUUUAUGGUUUACAACGUCUUCAAUUUCUUAAGGGUUCAGGGUGGUACUUUGUAACGACAGCGGUUAAGUCGUGGAAUAUAUAUUUUACGUCGGAUAGUUAAAUAUCCGCCAUGGUUUCUCAUUUAAACGACGUCAUUUUAACAACUUAGUCGUCUAUUACAAUUUACAACGUCUAAAAUUUAUUAACACCGACGUGGUUUGUUGUUGUGAUAAGAAUAUUUUAUUAUUUUUAUAUCAAAAUAUUCAAAAUAAAUUUAAAAUAAAUCAGAAAAAUGCAAAGUCAACUCCUAUGAAGUCAUUGAUAUAUUUUCUUCCCCCUAAACCUUGAAAAAAUUCAUUUUGAAUAACAAAAAUUUAAAAUGACCAUCCAAAACAAAAUUGUUUUGAUGAGUCAUAAAAUCACUUCUAGUUUUAUGGUUUAGGGUUUAGAGUCUAGGGUUUAGAGAUUAGGGUUGUUAUUUAUUGGGGUUUAUUUUUAAAGUAUAAUUUUUGGGUAGUAUAGGGUAUAUAUUAGGCUGUAAAACCAUAAACCCUUUUAUAAACUUAAUUUUUAAAAUUAUAUAAUUUAGUUUUAAGGGUUUAGGGUAUUAAUUGUUAACGACGGUGGUUGAGUCGUGGAAUACAUAUGUUACGUCGUGCAGUAAAAUAUCCGACAUGGUUUAUGCUUUAAACGACGUCAUUUUAAUAUGUAAGUCGUCUAUUAUAAUUUACAACGUUUUCAAUUUCUUAACUUCGACGUGGUUUUUCAGUCGUCUUUAUAUCAAAAUAUUCAAAAUAAAUUUAAAAUUAAUCCGAAAAAUGAAGCGUCAAAAUAAACGGCGUUACGUUCAGUGUUUCCGUCGUGGAAUAUUACAUUUACGUCGGUUCUUGUAGAACUUUCGCCAUGAUUUUUCUUUCGACGUUUUAAAGAGCGCGCGCUCUAAAAAUUUUCGCGCGCCCUAAAUUUUUUUAUAUUUGGCUCUUAUUCUUAUACUUCUAACCCUGAACCCUAAAAUUUUCAGAUUUCGCGCAACAUAACAUUCGCUCUCUCACUUCUGCUCUAAUUAAAAGUUGCACUCUCCAGGCUCCGUCGAAUCUGUGAGCUCGUCCAACCUGUAAGUACAAACCCUAUCUUUGUAUAAUCUGCUAUAGUGAUGGUCAUUGCCUGUAUUUUCACUUUAUUAUAGAUAAUAGGUUAUAGUGUCGGAGAUGGAUAAGUCAUGGAUGCACUCGGAUAGAAGAUCGAAGGCAUAUGAGUUUGGGGUGGAAGCAUUUUUGAACUUUACUGUAGAAAAUCUUCUAACUACAACACAUAUCCGUUGUCCAUGACAAGAUCAAAUAAAGUGUACUUUUGCUGGAAAUCAACACAAAAAGACAUAGAUCACCAACUUCCAAAUGAUUGUCACGCACAACGUCCAUCCAACCACGCCUGAAUCUGGGCCUUCCUUUGCUCAAACCAACAGACCAAGUUCUCCCAUUCGAAACUUGAAGGAUGACUUCACAGGAAUGCUUAAUACUAGGAGAUAGCUUGUAAAGAAAACUGGAGAAACCCCCCUAGCCGUCAAAUCUCUCUACUCGUGAACGAGAGAGCGACCCAAAACCUUCACCAAACACAAGUCUUUUGUAACAAAUUUUAUGCCUAGUUGUUGAUUAUUAUCUUUAUUUGUAUUGUUAUGGCUUGGUUUUUUCAAGCUUUAUCUAUUUUUAGUUAUUCUGAGUUUGCACUCUUAGUUGGGAUGCUUAUGCCAGAGUUACUUCGAUUAUGCAUGAUUGUUAGUGGUGGAGCCCCAAAUUGUCUUAGGGCUAAUUUGACAUUACUGUGUUGUGAAAAUAAUCGAUAUUAGAUGUGCUAUGAGAGAAAUCAUCUGUGAGAGAAAGCAAUUUGGCGUUUGGUAAACUUGUUGUUAAAAGUGUUGUUGGUACUGAUUUAACACAGGAAUGCUUCUCCAUGUCUCUCAGUCUUCUGUGAUUGUCUCUUUGGGUUCUUCUUGGUGAAUUGGGUAUGACUUUUUUUUUGUUCUUUUGUUCUCUGUGGGGUGGUUGCGUUGGCUUCCUUUCUGGGUUCCCAAUGAGUCAGUCGCUGGUGAGGGGUCUCCAUCUUAAUGCUAUGAAGAUGGCCACCGCCUUUUCUGCUCAAGGGGAUGACAAAUAUGCAGCACCAAGCUGGUGUUAGGCAUCUGAUUAUUACUAGCUUGGAUUUUUCUGGUAAGCAUAGUUUUUGUAUCAAGGAUUUUGUUGACAAGGCGGAGGAGACCAACCUCGAGGGGUCUCCAAGAUCUCCCUAAUAAUUCUCCUAUGGAACAUUCGUAGGCUUGGCAACCAAUGAACGUUCCUACUAUGAAGAUCUUUCUUCGGAAUUUUCUUCAGGCUAAGAGGCCAAUCUUGGUCUCCUUCGCUUGUCAGCUGGGGUUUUAGAUCAAGAAAAUUGGAGGUGGUAGUUGGUGUUUGGCUGGAUCUAUUAUGAUACUCACAAUACGUUUUUGACUCUGCACGAAGAACUAUGACGCUUUCUUUAGAUCAUAGGAGGCUUUCUUUGAUAGUAUCUGCACAGUGAUGGGAUGUGUUUCAAUGAUUUUGCGGUUGGGUGAUUGGCUGGAUCUAUUAUGAUACCCAUAAUGAGUUUUUGACUCUGUACGAAUAACUAUGAUGUUUUUUCUAGAUUCUAGGAGGACUUUUUUGACAGUACCUACGUAGUGAUGGGAUGUCGUUUUUAGGGUUUUGUGGUUAGGGUUUUAGGUUGGUUUGUUUCAUAUAAAUUGUUUGACUCUUAUGUUUAGUCAAUAGAAUGGGUGGUACUCUUUCCUACCCCGAGAUUUUGUUUCUCUGGGAAGGUUUUAAUGAGGCCGCUGUUAACAUGCUAGUUCUUACCAUGUAAUGUUCCUUUUCGGUUGAAUGAAAUACCAUCUUUUCUAUAUAAAAAAAUUACAAAUAAAGAUAGGAAAUUAGCCCCCAAGGUCACUCUCUCGCUAAGCGAGGAGAGCCGCACGUCAUAUCUAGGGUUCCUUCUCAAGGUUAGACACAGCCUACACUUCCAGUUGCCGUCAUUCCUCCUUUGCCAGCGAUAGGUGUCGUCGUCAUCUCUCCUUCUCACCUUACGGCUCGCCAUGAAAGACUAUUUUUGUCUCUCCAUUUGCUACUCAGGCUCAUCGCAGGUGCUAAUCAAUUGAUCCCUUGAGAUUUUAUUGGGUUUUGUCAGGUAUCGAUUGUGAGCACAGUCCGAAUUAGCGCUCUCAGCCCUCGUGUCCCCCUCGUGCCGCCCACCAGUUGGUUUCACUCUCUGUGACUCUGGGUCCCUGCCGAUGUUUUCCUAAGCAUGCUAGUGUUAUGGUAAUUCUUUGGAUUUUUGCUUUGCUGUCCUUGUCUUUCUCCUUCACAUGCUGUGGUUUUUUAAUUCGUCUUGGCGCGGUGAUUUGAGUGGAAAUUCUGGUAUCUGCUAUAUCAGUGUUAACGUCGUACGUUCCGUGAUCUCACAAAAAACCUCUUGCAAGACAAAACACUAGAUAUUGUUUUCCUUACUGAGACUCGUAUGACUGCUGUCCAGAUAGGUAGAUUGGUCCAAAGACUUGGUGUGGGUGGAGUCUUCUAUGUUCCUCGUGAAGGGUUCUCUGGUGGUCUAUGUAUUCUUUGGAAGCCUGGUUCACUAGUUGUGUUGCUCUCAUCCUCUUGGGGCAUAUUGACGCUCGGAUUACCAUUCCUAAUUCCUUUGUUACACGGAUUACUAGGGUUCUAUGAUCAUCCUGACCCGACUCGGCAGAUUCAUUCUUGGGAGCUUCUUCGUCAUUUGAGUGAGGUGGAUAUUGGUCCAUGGUUGUGUUGUGGUGACUUCAAUGAAAUUCUGUCUGUGGACAAAAAAAGUGGCCCUCGUCUCGCCUCCGUUGGUCAAAUCGAAGAUUUUCAACGGGUAAUUGAUGCAUGUAAUCUGUUAUCAUUUGAUUUUGUGGGUCAUCCUUUUACCUGGACGAACAACCUCAAAGAUAACGCGAAUGUUCAAGCGUGAUUAGACAGAGGCUUUGGUAAUUUAGCCUUGUUUUAGCAGUGGGUCAAUUUCACCAUCUACCAUCUUUCAACAUAUUCUUCUGAUCAUCACCCAAUUUUUCUCCUCCACGUCGUAUGGCCUGGUGUUGAUGUUUGGCGUCAUCGGAGUCCAUGUCGUUUCCAGUUUGAGGAAUAAUGGACAACUGAUGAAGACUGUUAAAGAAUAAUUCAAGAAGGGUGGCAUUGUCAGGAAUCUCCUAUGAGUAAUCUUGUCGUAUGUGUUAAGUGCCUAUCGAAGUGGAAAUGUCAAAGAUUCAGGCAUAUGAAUUCCAAAAUUCAGUCUUUGCGUACCUCUCUAGCUUCCUUUAAAAUUAUUGCCCCCUCUGAAGCCAUUCUCUAGAGUAAUAAAUUGGUUGUAAAUGAGCUCGACAGGUUACUGGAUCUUGAUGAACUAUAUUGGCGCCAUCGUUCUCCUAUCAAUUAGCUACAAGCUGGUGACUGUUACACUUCCUAUUUUAUGCUAAUAAUGUAUUAAGGAGUGAUUCUAGGAAUAUUGGUGCUGUAUUUCUCGACUACUAAGAUCAUCUUUUUUCUUCUGCAGGCACAACUAUGAGUAAUGAAAUUUUUGAGGCUCUCUUCCCGAGUUCCUCAACUGACUCAACGGUAUCUUUCUCUACUCUUCACUCAAGAGGAAGUUGAAAUUGCCAUCAAAUCUAUGGGGGCCACUAAAGCUCCAGGUCCUGAUGGGAUGACGGCUUUAUUCUAUCAAAGUUACUGGAGUAUUAUUGGCUCGGAUAUCUGUCAACUCUGUUUAUAGAUUCUUAAUGGGAGUUGUGGGGUAGCUAAUUUCAACCAUACAUUGAUCGCCUUAAUAACGAAAGUUCUGUCUCCCUUCUGGGUAAUUGAAUUUCGCCCCAUUAGUCUCUGUAAUGUUUUGUAUAAAAUUAUUUCCAAAGUUUUUGCCAACAGGUUGAAAAAUGCAAUGUCGGAUAUCAUAUCAGAAUAUCAGAGUGCAUUCAUCCCUCACCAUAUGAUCUUAGAUAACGGUCUUGCGGCUUUCGAAACAAUUCAUUGUUUGAAGCGUAGAGGUGAAUCAGGAAAAAAAAAAGGCUAUACUAAAGCUCGAUACUGCCAAGGCCUAUGAUUGGGUGGAAUGGGUAUUUUUGGAGUGGAUGAUGCACACGAUGGAAUUCCCUAAUCGCUUUAUCCAGUUGAUCAUGGGUUGUAUUACUUAUGUUUCUUACUCUCUAUUAAUUCAAGGGCGUCUGCUGGGUCACCUCAUUACUUCUCGGGGUCUAUGCCUAGGAGAUCCUCAUAAAGCUGAUUGGGAUUCUCGAGUCUACAGGAUUUCUAUUGCUCCUUCUCUUAAUCACCUUUUUUUGCAUAUGACAGUCUCUUAUUUUAUGAUUCUGAAGUUACCCAGAUAACGGAAUUGAAGCGCCUUUUUAGUCUUUAUGAAGCAGCCUCGGAACAACAAAUAAAAUUUGCCAAGUCUGCUAUCUAUUUUACCCCAUCCACCCCUGAAUCAGUCCAAGCUCAACUUCUAGCGCUUUUGGGGGUACCGAUCGUCCCUUGCCAUGAACGUUAUUUGGAUCUUCCUACUAUAGCUAGAAAAAAAAAUUAAAAAAAUGUUCCUAGCUAUCAAAGAUCGUGUUUGGAAGAAGAUUUCAGGAUGGGAAGGUAAACUUGUUUAGAAAGCUGGGAAGGAGGUGCUUAUUAAGGCGGUGUGUCAGGCGAUGCCUACCUAUUCUAUGAGUGCCUUUCGUAUGCCAGCUAGCUUAUGCUAUGAAAUUGAGAGUAUUUUUGCUCGUUACUGGUAGUCUAAAGGCAGUGAAAAAGGUAUCCAUUGGAAGACCUGGAAGGCUCUGAGCAAGCACAAGACUGAAGGAGGUCUCAGUUUUCGAGAACUUGUCUACUUUAAUCAAGCGUUGCUUGCCAAACAAAGAUGGCGUCUUCUAGAAUUUCCCAAUUCCCUUAUUGCACAAAUGCUUAAAGCUUAGUAUUUUCCAGAGUUUGAUUUUCUACAUGCUUAAGGGUGUUGGACACCUUUUUUUACCUGGCAGUCGAUAUUAUGGGGUCUUGAACUCCUAUCCCGUAGUCUUCGAUGGCGUAUCGGUGAUGGUCGACUUGUGAACAUCUACAUUGAUCCGUGGGUACCUCACCAUCUUACGUUUACUGUUCAAUCUUCUCUUUGUCUCCUUGUGGAUUCCAGAGGUAGUGCUGUUAUUACUGCUACGUUUUUGAGAUCUACAGCUUAUUCACCUUUCUUGAAGCUGAACUCAUCCUAUCUAUCCCUUUGAAUUGCAAUAUUGGUGAUCACCGUAUUUGGAAUUUUACUUGUAAUGGUAGGUAUAUAGUUAAGAGUGGAUAUUGGUUUGCAUUAGAAUUUCAAGCUCAUAUGGCCUUUUUGUUUGUGUCUAGGUCUUCCUCUUCCUCCUCUCAACAGUUAUGGAAGCAUUUAUGAAAGCUUUAAGUUCCACCGAAAAUGAAACAUUUCCUCUAUUGUCUCGCCCACAACACUCUCCCUACCCGUGAGGUGCUUCUUCAGCGGAAAAUAGUCCAAGAUACCACUUUCUUUUUAGUUGUAUGGGUCCGACUAAAACUACGAUGCAUGCUCUUCAUGACUGCAUUGUCAAUUCUUCUGUUUUGCGCUUAAUGGGUUGGGCUCCACUUCUCGCCACUUUACUCUAUCAUGAUGCUGCAAUUUGGUUUUUGGUUGUAUGGGAUAUCCUCCCUAGCUCACAACACUCGUUUACUAUUACUUUGUGGUUCUUGUGGAAUACCUGAAAUGCAGCUUUGUUUAGUUCUCAUGUCUUGCCCCCUAAUCAAAUAGUUUUUAGUGCAAAGAACUAUGAUGCUGAGUAUCAUAAGGUUUUAUCAAUCAAUCAUAGGCAGUCUUCGUUGGCAAUUCCUGAUAAAAAGUGGCAAUCACCCCCUUCUGGUUAUUUUAAACUUAAUUAACAUUGAUGGUGCACUUAGCUUGAGUUCUAAUUUACGUGGGGUUGGUAUAACGGUCAGAGAUUCCUGCUGUCGUCUUUGUAGAGUGGUAGCGAUGCGUGAUCUUAGCUUGUUGUCAAUCAUGGCUACUGAGUUGUAUGCCCUCAAAAUUGGUAUUUCCUUUGAGGUGGAUGCUUCUCUCACGCCUCUCAUUAUUGAGUAUGACUCUUUGACCUCCAUCCAUUUGAUCCUUCUAGAAGAUCCCUAUUAUGCGAUAGAAGGGGCUCUAGUCGAAGAUAAACGCCGGCUCCUCGCCUCGCUCCCCUGCUACUCGACCCGCUUUGUUCCCCACACAGCUAACAGAGUGGCAAAUCGUCUUGCGCGAUACAGUCUUGGUCAAGAAGCUUUAGCUUAUUGGUUUUCUGACCCACAUCUUUAUUUACAGGAUUGUCUAAAUGAGGACUCUCCUAAGUGUACUAUUGCUUGACUCUCUUGUAGUCUCGGUGUGUGUGGUACUCUUUCCUCUUCUAAGGCUUUGUCCCACCUCAUAGAAGUUUUAACGAGGCCCCUCUAUACAUGCUUUAUCCUUGUAAUACUCUGAUUAUCUAAUGAAAUCUAGGGGUGGGCAUUGCCUCAAAUUAGAACCGAAUCCAGUACUAUUCAUCCGGUUUUGUUUUAACAAAAAAAUUUCAAAAACUGUCCUGUCUAGUUCGGCUUGAAUGGGUUCCAGUCCGGUUCAGUUUUGAACUAGAUUUUUAAAACUAUUUUUUUUCAAAUUAUUUUUUAAUACAAAUGAAAAUGAAAAUUUAUUUUUUUCACUUGAAAAUUAAUAAAUUAUUUAAUUUCAUAUAAAAAUAAAUAUUAAAGCUAGAAAAGAGAGAUGUUUUGAAAUUGAACUUGGAUAAAUAUUAGUUAUGAGAUUAAAAAUAUAGCAUUGAAUAUAAAUAAAUAUUGAAAUUAUAUAUAUUUUAAUUUGACCGGUUCGGUUCGGCUCGAUUUGGUUUUUGAAGGCAUAGAACCGGAUCCAAAAUCGGUCCAAAUCGGUUUGGUUCGUUCUUUGACCCGUUGUUGACUUUUUGGUCAACUCAGUUUUUUUUCGAUUUUUUUCGGUGCUAUUCGGCUCGAAUUUUGGGUUUGCCGGUUUGAAUGCCCACCCCUAAUGAAAUCCAUCAUCUUCUCAACCCCAAAAAAAAAAAAAAAAAAAAAAACCUCUCACAAAGGAGAGGUGGAAAGCCCUCACAAAGGAGAUGUGAAAAACUCUCACAAAAGGAGAGAUGAAACCACACAAAAAACCUAAAGAGUCUCUGCGACUUAUUCCAAACAAAAAGAAAACGCAAAAAUGAUUGUGGUAUAGAUCCAACACCGAAACGCAGGUGGAAAUCUGACGCCAAAACGCAUACGCAUGUGAUGAGUGGAGGAAAAUCAUUACAAAACGAAGAGAAAUACGGGAAACCUUCUGUCUCUUAAAAUUGGGGAAAAGAGGAGAAGGUAGGAAGGGAGAAGGGGAGAGGGGAGGAAGAACAUUGACUCCUAUCCUCUCAAAGUGAAAACGGCUAUAGAGUGUUUUUUGGGAGAGAGGGGACUAGGAUUUUUGGAAAACUGUUUAUAACAUGUGUAGUUAGAUCUAGAAGAUUACAUAAUAAAUCUUAUUUGGUGAUGCUUUUAGGGAAGUAGAACAGUUGGUGAUACUUUAAAAUCGAAUUAUCAAUAUCUAUCCAAUUGAGCCCCAUAAUAUCCUAGCGUCAGAAAGUUGGGAGACAAAUUGAGGAAAAAGAGGUUGGAUGCUAAAGCUUCCCAAUCCCAACAAUAUUCAGAGUCACCAAAAUCUUUCCCAAAGUGUAUUUACUCAGUUAUUUAUAAACAAAAACAAUUACUAUACACAGUCAAAAACAGUUACUUCCAUUAGUAUUUUCCUUCCAGAUGCAUUAAUAGAGAUAGCUCUUGCAGGACUUGAGAUCAGGCAAGAAAAGUCCAGGUUAACAGCUGUGCUAAUAAGUCCAUAAUUCAAGUCUGCACGGUGGUUUGGUUCGCUAUCAUAACAACGCUUAUGCAAAUUCAGUACCCAUUGAUGCUUAUCCCUAUUUAUACAAGCUCUACGUCGAGAGAGUAAUUGCUCACAUUCCUGUACUCAAAAUUGAAAUCUCAAUGAUAAUUAUAUUCCUCAAAUGCAUCUUAGAAUUUUGCCAUAAUGAAGGGCAAAGUACAAAUGGUUGUCAGAGCAUUCACAAUCAUGCUCUCUAUUUUUUAGUUAAAUUUUAGCUAAAAACAUAUAAAAGUUUUUAGGAGCUCUCUAUAAAAUUUAAACUUCAAUCAUGCUCUUUAGUUUAGAGAGUCAUAAAUGCUAUAACUAUUUUUUAAUUGGUCAAUCUCUAUUAAAAAAUAAUAUUAAAAAUAAUAAAUAUUAAUUAAAGAUUUGAAAUACUCAUUAAAUCAAGCAGCAUUAAAUUAUAAGGAGCCACUAUGAGUCAUUUCUCUCUUCUCAAAUUUAGGAGUUCCUAAAAGUCUCCCUAUUUUAGGAGGUGGAUAGGGAGCAUGGUUGGAGAUGUAUUUUCCCAAAUCCUCCCUAAAAUUUGUCUAAGGAGAUAGUUUAGGGAGCCCAUUAUGGAUGCUUUAAGAGCAUCCACAAUCAUACUCUCUAUUUUUUAGUUAAAUUUUAGCUAAAAACAUAUCAAAGUUAUUUUCACUACUACAAAAAGUGAAAAAGACGACCAGAAAACAACGACGGUCUAAGUGAAAACCGUCGUGGUUUAUAAAAAGACGACGGUUCUAAAAACACCGUCGUGUAAUACAACCUUAGACAACUAAAAAAUGGAGUUUCAAAUGGCUGUUCAAAAACAACGACGUACAUAAUUAAACAACCGACGUCUAUUUGAAACAGAUUUCCGCAGUGUAAAAUCAAUGCCAACAAAGAACGGCAGAAGUUAUGAAUCGACCGACGUAGAAAGUAAAGACGACGAUUUUAAUAAAAACUGCCGUUUUUACUCAUAAAAUAAGACGACGAGGUUUUCGUAUAAGACGCCGUAUAAUUACAAACAAAUCCACGGCUUUAAAAUACAAAAUAUCGCCGUAUUAAAUUAAUUUACAACGACGGAAAAUAUAAAUAUAUCGACGUCAUUCUCGUAUAGUUCUACUACGUUAUCUUUAAAUCGUACAAUAAAAUUUAUCGUCGUAUUUAUUCAUUUUAUACGUCGUACCUUUAAUUUUAACGGUCGUCUUAAUAAGAAUUUUUGUUAACAAUUUUUUUCUUUGAUUUUCUUAUCCUACGUCGGUAGAUCUACUUAAUGACAAGAAUUGAAAUAACCACGACGGUUUAUAUAGAACACCGCCGACAUAAUCAGUUUUGUCUGAGAUCCCAAGGGUUACGAAAUCUUACCAGAUGGAACUCUGUUCCACAUCAUAAUCUUAACAGAUGACACAGAUUUGCAAAUAUUGCGUCGUGUUAGUUUACAAAUUCUAGAACAUUAAUUUCCCUCAUUUUAAAUUUCCUCGGGAAAGAAAAAUCUAUUUAUCACGCUUUGGAAUUGAAAACUAAAACUGAAAGAAUACGGGAAAAAAAACUCCAUUUAUAAUUUAAAAUUAAAAUCCACGUCGGUUGUAGUACACUUAACGACGUUUAACAAAAUAAUCUACGUCGGUAAUUAUAAAUCUACCGCCAUCGUAACUUAAUAUAGACGACGAGAAAAGACGACGGUAGAACAGAAAACCGCCGUUGUUUCAGUUUCUUUAACAUAUCUUUCUGCAGGACUUGUGUAGUUCAAAGCAUUGACAAUGUCUUCAUCAUAUCUCCCAGAAACUACUGAUUCAAUUGCUCAUGCUUUAGAGGCCAUCUGAAGCCAUUUCUAUUCUUUAUCGCAUUCUUGAAACCCAUCUUCUUCUUCUGAAGCUCUACGGAUAAAGGAAGAGGCUAUCACAAUAAAUCCGACGGAUCUUCUUAGGCAAGAAAAUCAAGCAGAGGAUCAGGCACAUCUGAUCUUCAGAUUUCCCUGAGAAGCGAACUUUCCUUCGACAGCGAGUGGAGGCCAGGCUUGCAUCUCUUUUGAUGGAAAGCAAGGAGUAUUCAGAAGCACUAAGUGUCCUAUCAGGCUUGAUCAAGGAAGUGAGAAGGCUAGUUGACAAGCUUCUUCUUGUGGACAUAUAUUUGAUGCGAGUAAGCUCAAUUUCUCUUUGAGAAAACAUCCAAAUUAUUAUCUUUGAGACAUGAGAGACUGAGAGAGGAAGAACUUGGAACCUUAAAUGUAAACCGAAAAUGAAUGAAAGCGACAAAUUUAUAGAAUAAAUUUUUAAAACCAACGGCGGUCCUUACAAAAAAACCGCCGUUUAAAUUGUAAAAUCAACGUCGGUAUGAUCGACGUAUAUUACAGAAAUCCACGUCGGUAAAUUAAUAAAAACGACGUGUUAAAUAAUAUACCAUGACGCGAGUUAUUACUUAUGUACUUUAAUUUUUGAGUUUACUACGACGGUACCUACAAACUACUGUCGUAUUUAUUUACCACGUCCGAAGUUAAAUGUACCGUCGUAUUUUGUAAUUUAUACGUCGUAGUUAUAUGUAACCGCCAUAUUAUUUUUUUGAAAUGGUUUUAUAUGUAAGCAACUUUUCGUCUACUUGACUUACACAUUUGUUGUUUUUAUAUUCUUAUUUUAUUUAAAUCUGUCAUCCAAAAAAGAAACUUUACAUAUUGCAGAAUAUUAAUUUCCUUCGUUUUAAAUUUCCUCCGGAAAAAAAACUCUAUUUAUAACGCACUGUAAUUGAAAAAUAAACUGAAAGGUCACGGGAAAAAAAAUUCUAUUCAUAAUUUAAAAAUUAAAAUCCACGUCGGUUAUAUUAAACCUAACGACGUUAAAUGAAAUGAUUCCACGUCGAAUGAAAAAUAUUGCGUCGUUUUAGUUAAAAACGACGUAGUUAAAUGUAACCGCCGUAUUAUUUUUUUGAAAUGGUUUUAUAUGUAAGCAACUUUUCGACUUACACAUGCACUGUUUCCAAACCCGAUUAAAAAUUUCAAUCUCCCAGAGAAACCUUUUCGUCUUUUUUCCUUGUCAGAGCAUUGUCAGAGUUUCUCAUCGUCUUCCUCUCGUCUUCUUCGUCGUCUCUGAACUUAAACAUCGAUCAUCUUCCUCUUGCUUUCAUUGCACGCAAAAGGUAAGCUUUCAUUUUCACUAUUUUGGUUACUGUUUUGCAUGCUCAUACGUUUUUUGUUUGAAAAAUCUUUUUACCUUUUUUCUGGCCAAAAUCAUUUUACUUCUUUCCAAGUUUGAUAAAAUAUACAGACAAAGAGAGAAAGUUUCCAACUUUGAAGACAACUACAUCAACUAAAUAAGACGACGGUAGACCACGACGGUUCGUCAGUUGUUCUAGCGUCGUCUGAAAAUUGACAAAGUUGUUUUUAAAAUAAUAGUCUUUUUUUAUAUGCUUGUUUAAUUGCAGGUUUGAUUUCGCUGAACAAUGGUUUUUGUUUUUCCCUUAUUUGAUAAAAUAUAAAGAAAAAGAAACUAGGGUUGGUAUCUAAUAUAGACGACAAAAUAUCUUAUUGUUUUACGUCGUGUGAAUGUUAAUACCACGACGGUGUAUUACUAUUGACGUCGUAUGAACAUAAAUACCACGACGUUAUAUAAAUAAUAGUUUACCACGACGGUGUAUUACUAUUGACGUCGUGUGAACAUAUAUACCACGACGUUAUAUAAAUAAUGGUUUUAAACAUUUAUUACGUCUGAGAUUAUUUCAUUGCGUCGUCUAAAAUCAUAUCAUACGUCGUAUUUUUUUAAUACCGUCGUUUGUGUUCUUAAUGUUUUCCUGAAAUAUUUUCACUUGCAGUUUUGUCUGUUAAAAUGGUUUCUCAACAACAAACUAAGGAUUCUGGCUCCAAGAAGCUUGGAAUGGUAGCUCCUCAAGAUAAGUCUUCGAAGGAGAUGAAGUCUUCGAAGAAGAUGAAGUUUGCUUCAUCAUCUGCUGAGACAGAACAAACCAGCCAGACAACAAUCUCAGAUGAUUCAAAGACUGGUCGAGGUAUGAGCACAAUGCCUCGUGUUGUGAAGAGAAAGCUUCAGAAACUGAGGCCAAUUGUUGAGUACAAUAAAAGGGGGAAAGGUGUUGGCCAAGCACAUAUUGAGAUGCAGUCGUAUAUUGGUGUGUUGGCACGCUCCAGGAUCCCACUUGUGGACAAGAAAUGGUCCCAAAUCCCCAAGGAUAUAAAGGAGCAGAUUUGGGAAGCAGUUGACAUGGCUUUUGUCGUAGGCCAAGGGGGCAAGACCUCUGUUUUAGCUUCUGCUUCCAAGAAAUGGAAGGAUUUCAAGUCUACACUAACGAGGCAUUAUAUCCUUCCAUACACCAAUGACAGGGAGAAAUUAAGCCAACCCCCUGAAACAUAUAAAUUCAUAGAGAAAGCACAAUGGGAUGCCUUUGUAGCUUCAAGGCUAUCCAAAGAUUUUGAGUCUGUGCAUUCUCAACAUGCACAGAUUAGGGAGAAACUCGAGUACAAUCAUCGAUUGUCUCGAAAAGGAUAUGCUGGAUUGGAGGAUCAAUUGGAGGAAACCAUGCCUGGGGUAGAAAUUGAUCGAUCUACCUUAUGGAAGACAGCUAGACAGGACAAACAUGGUAACAUCCCUGAUCCAAAGGUGGCAGAGAAAGCAAAAUUAAUUGUAAGCCUACUAUCACUCUGUUUUAAAUUUUUAUUAAACUGUGAAUUAUUCUUAUUACGUCGUAUGUUAUAUUUUUCGUCGUGUGAAUGAUAUUACCACGUCGAAAAGUUUUUAAAACGUCGUUAAAGGUCUAAAUAGGAAUCACUACUAUGUUUUCUGUAAUUACAGCAUAAGACGUCGGUGGUUCAUUUUCGCGUCGUGUGAAUGAUAUUACCACGUCGAAAAUUUUUUAAAAACGUCGUUAACGGUCUAAAUAGGAAUCACUACUCUGUUAUCUUUAAUUAUAGCAUAAGACGUCGGUUGUUUAUUCAUUUCGUCGUUUUAAAUAAAUAACCACGUCGGUAUAACUACCGUCGUGAUAAGUUAUAAGAACGUCGGUUUAUACGUUAUUGCGUCGUGUGAAAUUAUAUAAUACGUCGUUUGUACAUAAAUAACCGUCGUGUGUUUUUUUGUUUAUCUUUUUUUAGGAUGAAUUGCAGAAACAAGUCUCGGAAGGCAAAGUCAGAGUAGAUGACAACAAUGAUGUGCUGACCAUGGCUUUGGGCCUCGAGCAUCCAGGCAGACUGAGGGGAGUUGGUGCUGGUGUUUCCCCAAGGCAAUAUUUCAAUUUACCCAAACCACAGAGGGUGAGCUUUGACGACCGUUUGAAGGACAGUUUAAGAGUUCUCCUUCAAGAAGAGACUAAAAAGAUGGAGGCUAAGGCAAGGGAAGAGGCCUUAAGGAUGGAGGCUAGGACAAAACAAUUGGUAGAGGCUGAGAGGGAGCAUUUCCUGAGUCAGCUUUCCCAAUUAAUUCCCAAUUUUGAUCCAAGCAUGCUUAAACCAAGAAUUAGCCAAAGCCCCAAAAAUCCAAUGUCUGACAAAGCUAGCUGCUCUGGAGGUGAUGUGAGAUCCCUACAUUUGGAGGAUGAUACUGCCAAAAUGGGGAAACAUCAGCCAGAUGAAGAGAAGGAAGAAGAAAAAAGAGAUGAAGAGAAGGAAGAAGAAAAGGAGAAAGAAGAUGAAGAAAAGCAUGACGACAAGGUAUGUUCACAUAACUUUGCCUUUUUUAUUUGUUUUUCAAAAUUUCAGACGUCGAUAUUUUUAUUUAAUCCGUCGUUUGUUUAAAACUUAGACGGCGGAAUUUUUUUAAGACGUAAUAAAAUAUUUAAACGACCGUCGUGAUAAAUAUAUUUAAACGACCGUCGUUUAAAUACUUUUAAGACGACGUUUUAUUACUUAAACCGUCGUCUUUAUUGAAUUACCACGUCAUUUUUUUUAUUUCUUUAAACAGGUUAUUGAAGUUGGUGCUUAUUCAAAAAUGGAGGCGCCAUCUUCUUUAAAAACCCUUUGUCGUUUUGUGGAAACGACACUCCUGCCUGAGGAUAAGACAGUCCAAUUUACAAUUGAUAAGGAGGUGUUUGGUGGUGAGCGCGAUACCUUCCUCCUGCCUGAAGAUAUUACACAAUUUGCAGGCAUGGAAGAAAUUGGAGCUACUGUAUUGGCUGUAUAUAUGAGGUUUGUACUUCUAAAAUAAUAACUCGUUGGUUUAUAUAUUGCGUCGUCUUAACUAACUAACCACGUCGUCUUAACUAACAACCGUCGUGAUAAAUAUAUUAUAACGUCCUCAUCUAUUUCAGUACGUCGUGUGAAAUAUUAUAAUACGUCGUUUUUUUAUACAUAACCGUCGUGUUUUGUGUGCUGACUUGUUUAUAUUAUUUUAUUUGUUUAGGUACUUGUUUAUAUUAUUUUAUUUAUUUUAUUUUUUUAUACAUAACCGUCGUGUUUUGUGUGCUGACUUCAGAAGACAGACGGUGAACAGAUUUUCAUGAUGCCUUACAAUCCAGGCUUAGUCUCCUUAGGAUUUUAUUUUUAUGAUUUUCAAUAAAUGACAGCUUAUAAACUAACCACGUCGGUGUUUUAUUUUAUUUAGUCGUUUGAAACUACUAACCACGUCGGUAUUUAUUUAUCGUCGUGAUAAAUAUAUAAUGUCGUCGUUAGCUACUUUACUUCGUCGUGUGAAAUACUAUAAUACGUCGUUUUUGUAAAUAACCGUCGUUUUUAUAUUAAUUUUGUGCAGCCGUCAUUGGAUUUUGCUGAUUGUAAGAGCAAAGAGAGAAACUGUCUAUUUUCUGGAUCCUCUGCCAGGAAAUCGUGUGGUCGAUGAAGAGGCCAAAAACAUCGUGAACAGUGCUUUAAAAAUAUAUAAUACCCACAUAGCCCGAGCAGGACGUAAAAAUGUAAUUUGGAAAACUCUCUCAGGCACACCAAAGCAACCCAGCAAUGUCGAAUGCGGGUAUUAUGUAAUGCGCUUCAUGAGGGACAUCAUCAUGGAUCCUUCAUUGGGGUUUGAGAAUAAGGUAAGAAGAAAUUACCUUCAUACAUUUCACGUCGUUUUUUGUAUUAUCAACGACGGUCGUGUAAAAUUAACGUCGUUGAAUGGAUAUACUACGUCGGUUAUGAAAAAUAUCGUCGUCUGUGAUUGAAUUUCUUUUUAUUUAUAAACCCUAAUAGUCAUUGUUUAUGCAGUAUGCCAAGGGAAACCAGGAAGCUUCAUACCCCCAAGAAGCCAUUGAUGAAGUCCGGAAUGAAUGGGCAGAGUUUGUUUUCCAAAUUAUUAAACAGGGCAAUUAUUGAACACUUGAUAUUUAUGUAUAAUGUACCAAUUUUCUCUAUAAUAUGUAAUGUAAAAAUUUGUUGAGGUUUUCUUAAAUUAAAAAAAAAACAAACAUACAAAUUGCUUAACCGACGUGUAAUACUUUUCCAACGACCUAAUAAAGUCAAUAACCGUCGUAUUUUGUUGUUGCGUGUUUUAAACAAAUACGACGUAAAAAAAUAGUUAGACGACGUUCUUUGAACAAUUGAGUCGUUAAUGGUUUACAAUAUCUUCAAUUUCUUAAGGGUUCAGGGUAUAAUCGACGACGUUUAUGUAACGACUGCGGUUAAGUCGUAAAAUAUAUAUUUUACGUCGUAUAGUUAAAUAGCCGCCAUGGUUUCUCAUUUUAACGACGUCAUUUUAACGACUUAGUAGUCUAUUACAAUUUACAACGUCUACAAUUUAUUUAACACCGACGUGGUUUGUUGUAUGGUAAGAAUAUUUUAUUAUUUUUAUAUCAAAAUAUUCAAAAUAAAUAUAAAAUAAAUCAGAAAAUUGAAAAGUCAACUCCUAUGAAGUCAUUGAUAUAUUUUCUUCCACAUAAACCUUGAAAAAAUUCAUUUUGAAUAACAAAAAUUUAAUGACCAUCCAAAACAAAUUGUUUUGAUGAGUCAUAAAUCACUUCUAGUUUUAUGGGUUUAGGGNNNNNNNNNNNNNNNNNNNNNNNNNNNNNNNNNNNNNNNNNNNNNNNNNNNNNNNNNNNNNNNNNNNNNNNNNNNNNNNNNNNNNNNNNNNNNNNNNNNNNNNNNNNNNNNNNNNNNNNNNNNNNNNNNNNNNNNNNNNNNNNNNNNNNNNNNNNNNNNNNNNNNNNNNNNNNNNNNNNNNNNNNNNNNNNNNNNNNNNNNNNNNNNNNNNNNNNNNNNNNNNNNNNNNNNNNNNNNNNNNNNNNNNNNNNNNNNNNNNNNNNNNNNNNNNNNNNNNNNNNNNNNNNNNNNNNNNNNNNNNNNNNNNNNNNNNNNNNNNNNNNNNNNNNNNNNNNNNNNNNNNNNNNNNNNNNNNNNNNNNNNNNNNNNNNNNNNNNNNNNNNNNNNNNNNNNNNNNNNNNNNNNNNNNNNNNNNNNNNNNNNNNNNNNNNNNNNNNNNNNNNNNNNNNNNNNNNNNNNNNNNNNNNNNNNNNNNNNNNNNNNNNNNNNNNNNNNNNNNNNNNNNNNNNNNNNNNNNNNNNNNNNNNNNNNNNNNNNNNNNNNNNNNNNNNNNNNNNNNNNNNNNNNNNNNNNNNNNNNNNNNNNNNNNNNNNNNNNNNNNNNNNNNNNNNNNNNNNNNNNNNNNNNNNNNNNNNNNNNNNNNNNNNNNNNNNNNNNNNNNNNNNNNNNNNNNNNNNNNNNNNNNNNNNNNNNNNNNNNNNNNNNNNNNNNNNNNNNNNNNNNNNNNNNNNNNNNNNNNNNNNNNNNNNNNNNNNNNNNNNNNNNNNNNNNNNNNNNNNNNNNNNNNNNNNNNNNNNNNNNNNNNNNNNNNNNNNNNNNNNNNNNNNNNNNNNNNNNNNNNNNNNNNNNNNNNNNNNNNNNNNNNNNNNNNNNNNNNNNNNNNNNNNNNNNNNNNNNNNNNNNNNNNNNNNNNNNNNNNNNNNNNNNNNNNNNNNNNNNNNNNNNNNNNNNNNNNNNNNNNNNNNNNNNNNNNNNNNNNNNNNNNNNNNNNNNNNNNNNNNNNNNNNNNNNNNNNNNNNNNNNNNNNNNNNNNNNNNNNNNNNNNNNNNNNNNNNNNNNNNNNNNNNNNNNNNNNNNNNNNNNNNNNNNNNNNNNNNNNNNNNNNNNNNNNNNNNNNNNNNNNNNNNNNNNNNNNNNNNNNNNNNNNNNNNNNNNNNNNNNNNNNNNNNNNNNNNNNNNNNNNNNNNNNNNNNNNNNNNNNNNNNNNNNNNNNNNNNNNNNNNNNNNNNNNNNNNNNNNNNNNNNNNNNNNNNNNNNNNNNNNNNNNNNNNNNNNNNNNNNNNNNNNNNNNNNNNNNNNNNNNNNNNNNNNNNNNNNNNNNNNNNNNNNNNNNNNNNNNNNNNNNNNNNNNNNNNNNNNNNNNNNNNNNNNNNNNNNNNNNNNNNNNNNNNNNNNNNNNNNNNNNNNNNNNNNNNNNNNNNNNNNNNNNNNNNNNNNNNNNNNNNNNNNNNNNNNNNNNNNNNNNNNNNNNNNNNNNNNNNNNNNNNNNNNNNNNNNNNNNNNNNNNNNNNNNNNNNNNNNNNNNNNNNNNNNNNNNNNNNNNNNNNNNNNNNNNNNNNNNNNNNNNNNNNNNNNNNNNNNNNNNNNNNNNNNNNNNNNNNNNNNNNNNNNNNNNNNNNNNNNNNNNNNNNNNNNNNNNNNNNNNNNNNNNNNNNNNNNNNNNNNNNNNNNNNNNNNNNNNNNNNNNNNNNNNNNNNNNNNNNNNNNNNNNNNNNNNNNNNNNNNNNNNNNNNNNNNNNNNNNNNNNNNNNNNNNNNNNNNNNNNNNNNNNNNNNNNNNNNNNNNNNNNNNNNNNNNNNNNNNNNNNNNNNNNNNNNNNNNNNNNNNNNNNNNNNNNNNNNNNNNNNNNNNNNNNNNNNNNNNNNNNNNNNNNNNNNNNNNNNNNNNNNNNNNNNNNNNNNNNNNNNNNNNNNNNNNNNNNNNNNNNNNNNNNNNNNNNNNNNNNNNNNNNNNNNNNNNNNNNNNNNNNNNNNNNNNNNNNNNNNNNNNNNNNNNNNNNNNNNNNNNNNNNNNNNNNNNNNNNNNNNNNNNNNNNNNNNNNNNNNNNNNNNNNNNNNNNNNNNNNNNNNNNNNNNNNNNNNNNNNNNNNNNNNNNNNNNNNNNNNNNNNNNNNNNNNNNNNNNNNNNNNNNNNNNNNNNNNNNNNNNNNNNNNNNNNNNNNNNNNNAGAAUUGGACAUUUCACGGAGAACCUUGGGAAAGCAACUACUAAUGCUAGUAGAAAUGUUGAAGAAGAUGAUGGCCCAUAGUAGGUACAGUUUUGUGUCUGAAGAAAUUGAUAUGGAUGAUAAUGAUUUUGGUGAUUUUGGUUCGGAUCCGUAUGAGUUUGCCAAUGUGAUUGGGGAUGGAGAUCAACCCAGUGUACCCUGGUUGUAGAAAGUACACGAAGUUAUCGGCAUUAGUGAAGUUGUAUAAUUUGAAGGCAAAACAUGGGAUGAGUGAUGUCUGUUUUACAGAAUUAUUGAUACUUCAAGGCGAUUUGCUUCCAGAAGGAAAUACAAUACCAACCUCCAUGUAUGAGGCUAAAAAGACUUUGUGUGCAUUGGGGCUGAGUUAUGAGAAAAUGCACGCAUGCCCCAAUGAUUGCAUCUUGUAUAGGAAGGAGUAUGAGGAUUCAACUAAUUGUCCUACUUGUGGUAUCUCAAGGUGGAAGGAAGGCAAAGAUGCAAUCUUGAAAGAGGGUGUGCCAGCGAAGGUGGUGUGGUAUUUUCCCCCAAUUCCAAGGUUUAAAAGGAUGUUUCAAUCACAUGAGACAGCUAAGAGUUUGACUUGGUGGCAUGCUGCUAGAAAAUCAAUUGACGGUCAGAUGUCUCAUCCGGCGGAUUCCCCAUCUUGGAAACUUCUUGAUGAUAAAUGGCCUGAGUUUGGUAAUGAGCCGAGAAACUUGAGAUUGGCUCUUUCAUCUGAUGGAUUCAAUCCCCACAGUUCUCUAAGUAGCAGAUAUAGUUGUUGGCCGGUUAUCUUAGUUACAUAUAAUCUCCCUCCAUGGCUGUGCAUGAAACGAAAGUUCAUGAUGUUAACCUUAUUGAUUUCCGGUCCUAAACAACCCGGAAAUGAUAUAGACGUCUACUUGGAGCCUUUGAUUGAUGAUUUAAAAUCCUUGUGGGUUGGGAUUAGAGGAGUGUAUGAUGCACAUAAUGGAGAAUACUUUACACUCAGAGCUGCAUUAAUGUGGACAAUUAAUGAUUUCCCCGCCUAUGGAAACUUAUCUGGUUGUGUUGUUAAAGGAUAUAAAGCUUGUCCAAUAUGCGGCGAUGAUACACCUAGUCACAGGUUGAAAAAUGGCCACAAAAUUUGUUACAUUGGGCAUAGAAAAUGGUUACCAAUCAAUCAUCCAUAUAGGAGGCAACGUGCAGCUUUUAAUGGGAAACCUGAAUAUGGCAUACCUCCAGAGCCAUUAACCGGAGAAGAAGUGCUGCAUAUGGUUGAAAAUGGUGACAGAGUUUGUUGGAAGAAGAAAUCAAUAUUCUUUGAUCUCGAGUAUUGGAAAUACCUUCCUGUGAGGCAUGCCCUAGAUGUUAUGCACAUUGAGAAGAAUGUUUGCGAUAGUAUCAUUGGUACAUUGCUGGAGAUCCCUGGAAAAAAUAAAGAUGGGAUUGCUGCUCGAUUAGAUUUAUUGAACAUGGGGGUCAAAACUGAUUUGCAACCCGAGUAUGGAGAAAGACGUACUCGUUUGCCUCCUGGGCCUUGGAAUUUGUCAAGAGCAGAGAAGAGAGAGGUUUGCAAUUCUUUCUAUGGUAUGAAGGCCCCUGAAGGUUAUUCUUCAAAUAUUAAAAAUCUUGUAUCUGUACAAGAUUCAAGACUUCUUGGCCUUAAAUCACAUGAUUGUCAUACCUUAAUGCAACAAUUGCUCCCUGUGGCAAUUCGUUCUGUUUUGGAGAAGCCUGCAAGGUAUGCAAUAACUCGUUUGUGCUUCUUCUUCAAUGCUAUAUGUGCAAAGACUGUUGAUGUUUCCAAGCUAGAUAAGUUGGAAGAAGAUGUAGUAGUUACUCUGUGUUUGCUUGAGAAGUACUUUCCCCCUUCAUUCUUUGAUAUCAUGGUUCAUCUAGUAGUACAUCUUGUCAGAGAAGUUCGUCUAUGUGGGCCAGUAUAUUUUAGGUGGAUGUAUCCGUUUGAAAGAUAUAUGAAAGUGCUGAAGGGGUAUGUUCAGAAUCGUACUCGUCCCGAAGGUUGCAUUGCUGAGCGGUAUAUAGCUGAAGAAGCGGUAGAGUUUUGUACUCAGCAUUUAUCUGAUGUUAGUACAGUUGGAGUGCCUUCAAGCCAAAAGAUGGGAGUUUCAAAGCCAUUAUCAGGUUGCACAGUGAGCGUAGUUGAUCAGGACCUGUUGAAUCAAGCACAUCUAUAUGUCUUGGAGAAUACGGAGGAAGUCCUACCUUAUAUCGAGUACGUAUGAGUUUUAUUCUUUAAGUUUCCAUUUAAAAUUAUUUCUUAUGUUUAUCUUAUAUAUUUGGGACCGUAAUGCUUGAAUUUUUCGUGUCAUGUAGGCAACAUAUGAUCCACAUCAAGACUGCUUAUCCAAAAUUUAGAAAGAGAACAAAGUGGCUGCAGGAUAAGCACAAUAGCACUUUCAUUCAAUGGCUACGCUUCAAGGUAUAUGUUGUUGAAUAACGUAUUUCUCUUUUAAUUUUCUUCUUAUUUAUAUGUUAGGAUGAAUUAAGAUAUGAUUAAUUUGCAGGUUCAAAGUGAAGUUGAGGAAGACAAUCAUGGCGUAUCAGAAAAUUUAAGGUGGCUAGCAGCUGGUCCAAACAUGUCAGUGCCAUUAUAUAGGAGCUAUCUUAUUAAAGGUAUUAAAUUCAAUAUCAAGGCACAAGAUGAUGUGCGGACAACUCAAAAUAGUGGAGUUUAUUUACUUGCACAUACCAUGCAAGUUGCUAGUGCCAAGGAUAAAAACCCAAUUCUCUCAAAUAUGGGUUUCUAUGGUGUCAUUCAAGAAAUUUGGGACCUUGACUACCAAAAGUUUACAAUCCCAGUCUUUAGGUGUGAUUGGAUAGAUAGUUCUGGUCUUGUAGUCGACGAACUUGGAUUUACCCUUGUAGAUUUGAGUAAAAUUGGACAUAGGAAUGACCAAUUUGUUUUGGCUUCUCAAGUCAAACAAAUAUUUUUUGUUGACGACCCGAUGCAUCGUGGUUGGUCGGUAGUGUUAUCAAUGCCUAGUAGAGAAUAUAAUGAUGUUAUUGGUGAUGAAGUAUUAGGUGAUGUGAUAAUUGAGUGUGAGCCAUUUACUAGAGGGAUGCCAAAUGUUGACACAUUUGAUGAACUGGUAGGUGAGUUAGGCGGUCAAAAUAUUCGAGAUGGGUGUGAAGAUAUAUGGAUUGAAUGAUGCUUAUGUAAUUGGCAGUGUAUGACAUUAAUUUUGUAAUAUAUUGUAAUGUGAUUUCUUCACUUUCUACGUUCAAAUAAAACACGACGUUAUUGUGAAUCAGCAUAUUUACCGACGUCUUAAAGCAACGUAACAAUGAAGAACCACGACGCUAUUGUGAAGCAAUUAUUCAGGAUAUCACGUCGGUGAAGGAUAAAGAACCGCCAUGUAAUUCAAAAUAACACGACUCCAAUCCCAUAAUACCGACGUCUAAAAAACGAGAUAUAUAAUCUGAACGUUAAAAAAUACGACGUCAUCAUACAUUUUCCACGUCGCAAGUUCUUUUAUAAACGAAGAGGAACGAAAUUAAUUCCGACGGAAAUUCAUUAUAACCGCCGUCUAAUAACAAUUAAACGACGUUAUUUGUAAUACGGCUCCCAUCAUAAUCUACGCCGUCUAUAUGUUCUGUAAUACGGCUCUCAUUUAUUUGGAACCGACGUUGUUUAGACGUUCAACGUCGUCUAUAUUAUUAAGUGCGUCGUGAGUAAUGAAUACAUAUAAAUACAACGUCGACUAUAUAAAUGUAUACGUCGUAAAUAAUGACACUGACAACUAUUUCCACGUCAUCUUUUUUAGAAAAAUCGAAGUGGAAAAUUUAUUUCACGACGGUUUUUUGUAAAUAAGAGACGUUGUAGAACUUUAGCAGACUAAACACGUCUGUUUUUAUUGUUUUCCGACGUUGUUGUAUUUAACAACGUCUAAUAUUUAUGGUCGUUGUUUGUUUCUGAAAAUAGGACGUAUAAAUUUUUUAAUACGACUCUCAUAUAUUUGUAACUGACGUUGUUUAGUUUUUCAACGUCUACUAUAGAAACACAUACGUCGUAAAUAAUGACACUGACAACUAUUUCCACGUCAUCUUUUAUCGAAAAAUCGAAGUGGAAAAUUAAUUGUACGACGGUUGUGUUUAUAUGUGCGACGUAGUAGGUAUCAAUAACGUCGUCUUCUAAUGUAUUUAAAGACGUCAUAUUUUUUAUUGUCGUGAAAAUUAUAAUUAACGUCGGCGUAUUUUUAUUGUCGUCGUUGUAUGUCUAUCUUGCGGCUUUGUUCUCUUAAUAUGUGUCAUAUUUUCCCUUUUUAACGACGGUGUUUUUAGAGAAUUGGUCGUCUAUUAUCAUCCUCGAUUGCUUUUUUUAGAUCUUUUUGCAGUACAAAGACGUCGUUUUGUAUUUUUUGAUGACGUUGUAUUGUUUAACAACGACGGUUAUUUAGCGUCGUGGUUUUUGAGGGAAAAGAUGACGGUGGAUUCCACGACCAUUGAAAAACCAAAUACACGACGGUGAUUUACCGUCGUCUUUUUGCUUUUUUGUAGUAGUGUUUAGGAGCUUUGUAUAAAAUUUAAACUUCAAUUAUGCUCUCUAGUUUAGGGAGUCAUAAAUGCUAUAACUCUUUUUUUAUUGGUCCAUCUUUAUUAUAAAAUAAAAUAAAAAAUAGUUAGCAUUGAAUAAAGGUUCGAAAUACUCAAUAAAUAAAGCAGCAUUAAAUUAUAUGGAGCCACUAUGAGUCCUUUCUCUCUCCUCAGAUUUAGGAGCUCCUAGAGCUCUCCCUAUUUUAUGAGGUGGAUAGGAAGCAUAGUUGGAGUUGCAUUUUUACAAUUCCUCUCUAAAAUUUGUCUAAAGAGGUGGUUUAGGGAGCCCAUUGUAGAUGCUCUAAGGACUUAGAAUUAGGGUAAUGAUUAAACAGGUCAAGGUAAUGAUUAAACAGGUCCUUCAAUAAGUACGUUUAGUGUGGUUCUUUUCCUUUGACAAUUCACCAUUUUUUUGUUGUCAAAGUUUGGAAGGGGGAGGUGCCAUUGGGUUUAAGGUUCGAACUUAAGGUUACUGAUCUACAAACAAGUGCUCUUACCAUUGAGUUGUGGACCCGUUGGCUUGACAAUUCACCAUUUGAGUACUAAUUAUUAAUCCAGAAAAAGUCUUAUGUGCUGAGGGCUUGAGGUUGAUUCUUUGGAAUUAAUGAAAAAUAUUUCCUUCAACUGAUAAAAUGCAAAUUUACUAUCACACAGUAGCCAUAUAACAGCAAGAACAAGCAAUAUUACAAUACAUGUAGAAAUAUUACAAUGCAAAAGUUGAUAGUAAAGUUCCAACUUCCAAGAACAGUCUCUUCUUUCAUUGUCAUCUUUCUUCUCUCUCUCUCUCUCUCUCUUUCUCGCUCCAUGUAGGAAUUUAUUCUAACCAAUGCAUAACUUCUAUGCUUUCAUCCCCUAACAAUAUGGGCUUAGGUGAAAGAACACUAGGCUAGCUUUAGGGAACCAGAGGAGGGAGUGGCUUCCCAAGGAAAGGAUGUGGAGGAAAUGUUGGAAUGGGUGGAGGAAUUGGCUUCUUGAAAAUAGGAUGGGGAAAUGGUUUCUUGUAUACUGGAAUUGGUGGAGGAAGUGGCUUCUUGAAAAUAGGAUGGGGAAAUGGUUUCUUGUAUACGGGAAUUGGUGGAGGAAGUGGCUUCUUAUAGAUUGGAACAGGAGGUAGAGACGGCUUCUUGAAUUUCGGAAGGGGAUGAAAAAAUGGCUUCUUCACAAAUGGUUUUCCUUCCACAACUGAUACCGGCGGAUGACCCGGCUUCUUGAAGGGUGGAAUCUUGAAGACUGGAACAGGUGGAGGGAGUGGCUUCUUGAAGAUUGGAACUGGUGGUGGAAGUGGCUUCUUGAAGAAGGGCUUUGGUGGAAAUGGCUUCUUUACAAUGGGAAUCUUAGGUAGAGGGUGUUUCUUAAAGACAAACUUCCCUUCUUCAUUCAGCUCUGCAGCCUCUGUUUGCAGCUCUUCAAUUUGGACAUGUGCACAAAGAGAUGCAGAAGAAUGUUACGUAUCAGAAAAACAAUUAACAAAAAAAAUAACAAACCUAGAGAUUUCAGUAAGUAAUUCAAAAUAACGAGCAAUGAAGGGGUCUGUUUUGUAACUUCUGUUAUUGUAUUGUGCUACAUUGCGAGAGCUGUCAUGUAGCGUAAGUAGCUUCCUUCUAAAAGAAAAUUUGUAGUGUAAUCAAGUAGCCUAAAAGAACUAUUUGAUCACAUUAAGACUAAUAUGUAAUUACAUACACACACAUAUAAAUAUAUAUAUAUAUAUAUACACACAGAUUUUCUCCUAUGCGGACCUCUGGACGUUAUUACCGUGUGGAGGCUAUGUAUUUUCUACUACCUCUCUUUGUUCUCCUCCAUGUUUACAAUGGUAUCCGCAAGGUAAUAAUGUGCAGGGGUCUCAUGAAAGAACUCUAUAUAUAUAUAUAUAUAUUAUAUCUCACCUGAAUAAGCUCUGUCUAGUGCUUGUUCUCCAGCUUCCUCAAUAGUCUCUGCAUUGCUGUAGCAGAAGCUUACAGCAAACAAGCACAACCAGAGACCCAGAAGGGCCCUUUGGAAAGUAAGACGGGUCUGCAUUGAAAAACCCUGCAACACUAAAAUGGUAUAGAAGUAGUAAAUCCAACUUUUACAAGUUGGUUAAGCUGGCUUUGGUGCUUUUUAUCAGUUCCAGCGACCUUGUUAUUUAUAAUAAGUUAGAUGAACUGUUUAGGAGGCCCUUAAUUAUUAAUUGUGGGAUUGAUGUCAACUUCAUUAAGAUUGAAAAGGAUCUUAGUACAAAGAGGCAACAUGCCCACCGGCUUUGCAGUUCAAAUGGUAUUUAUUUUCAUUCACCGACUUUCCACUUCCCUAACUUCUACCAGCAUUUUGCUUUCCUGCUUGUUCAAGUUUGUCAAAUGGCAUUAAUGUUGAGUAAGACUAAUUGAGCCUUCUGAAUAUCAAAGGAUAUGCUACUAACUAUGAAGUCACAUUUUGGCAUUUGGGUACUAAUCCCAAGCUUAAUUUGUCAUGUCACGUUGGGGGAAUAAUAUUUAGUGAUCCUUUAGAUUGUAAUGACAUGUCUACUAUAACUUGUAAUCAAAACAAUAAGAAUGAAUCUGAAGGAGUGAGAGUCGGAAUCAGUCAUUUCCACGAUGAUUUUCUUCCAAUAUUUUAUUCACCUAAUUGAUAUAUGACAGUGACAUACUAGUAUCUUGUUGGAAAUACAGUUUUUUUUUUCUCUUAAGAAAUAAAAGAAAUUAAAAAUAUGCUUAAAUAUACAAACAAAAUUUUAUAACUUAUUCUGAUGUCCAUAGCAUAUAUACUCAGUAAAAAAAAAAUUACUACCAUUACUUGUUUCCUUAUAUUGCAGGACUUCAGAUAAAGCCAAUGAUCUGUAACUCUUUCAACUCUUAAGCAAUAUUAAUAAUGUAUGUUGAUUUUCUUGAGCUACCAAAUAUAAUCUAGACGUCUAAGCGUCCAGGUUCUCUCAAAUUGCUCAUUAAAAUUUUUAUCAAAUAGUGUGUGGGAAAAUAUGACAAGGAGGUGUGAAUGGAAGCAUUCUUAUUUUGAUACUAUACCCUAGGUCCCUAAUAAAUUAAUCAUGUUGUCCACCAAUUAUAACAUGUGAACUAGUAACACAAUGUUUUGACCAAAAAAAAAAAAAAGAACUAGCAACGCAAGGAGGUGUGAUGUAAGGGACACAUUGAGAAAAUUUUCUUAUAUAUAAGGUACUAGCUACGAGGUUAUAUUUUUAAGAAAUUCUUCGGUAUGACGAUUAUCACUUGAGCUACAAGUCCUUGCAUGUUACCAAUCUAUUUAUAUUAUAACACCUAUACCUAUUAAUUAAUACCAUACCCUUUUUUUUUAACAAUUAAUACUAUACAUGACUUAUGAAUUAUGACAUACACUCAUAUUAUAAUAUAUAUAUAUAUUUUUUAUUUUAUUUUUAAGAAAUUCUGGAAUUGCAUUCAUAAUUCAGCCAAAAAAGCCACUAGUCACAACGGGUCAUUACAAUAACGAACUAACAUCAAAAUUAAGACAAUUUGGGGCUCCACCACUAACGAUCAUGCAUGAUCAAACAAACUCUGGCAUAAGCAUCCCAAUUAAGAGUGCACACUCAGAAUAACCAAAAAUAGAUCAAGCUUGAAAAAACCAAGUCAUAACAGUAUAAAUAAAGACAGGAAAUUAGCUACACAUCAUAUCUAGGGUUCCCCCUCAAGGUCAGCCGCUGCAACCAUCAUUCCUCCUUUGCCAACGAUAAGUGUAGUCAUCGCCUCUCCUUCUCGACUUACCACUCGCCACGAGCGACUGGUUUUGUCUCUCCCUUAUCCACUCGGGCUCAUCACAGUUGCUAAUGGACUGGUCUCUUGAGAUUUUAUUGGGUUUGGUCUGGUAUCGAUUGUGAGCAUGGUCGGAGUUAGGGCUCUCUGCCUCGUGUCUCCCUCGCGCCGCCCACAUGCUGGUUUCACUGUCUGUGACUCUGGGUCCCUGCCGAUGUUUUUCUAAGCGUGCUAGUGUUGUGGUAAUUCUUUGAAUUUUUGCUCUCCUGUCUUUGUCUUUCUCCUUCGCAUGCUGAGGUUUUUUUGUUCGGCUUGGCUCGGUGGUUAGAGUGGAAAUUCUGGUCUCUAAUAUGGUUGUAUUAAGCUAGAACGUGUGGGGGCGGUAACCGUCAUACGUUCCGUGUUCUUAGAAACCUCUUACAGUACAAAACACCAUAUAUUGUUUUCCUUACUGAGACUCGUAUGACUGUUGUCCAGAUGGGGGGAUUGGUCCAAAAACUUGGUGUGGUUGGAGUCCUCUAUGUUCCCCGUGAAGGGUUCUUUGGUGGUCUCUGUAUUCUUUGGAAGCCUAGUUUAUAGGUUGUGUUGCUCUCAUCCUUUUCGGGACAUAUUGAGGCUCGGGUUACCUUUCCUAAUUCCUUUGUUACACGAAUUACCAGGUUCUAUGGUCAUCCUGACCCUACUCGACGGAUUCAUUUUUGGAAGUUUCUUUGUCGUUUGAGUCAGGUGGAUAUUGGUCCAUGGAUGUGUUGCGGUGACUUCAAUGAGAUUAUGUCUAAGGACGGAAAAAAAAUAGCCUUUGCCUCCCCUCCGUCGGUCAAAUCGAAUAUUUUCAACUGGUAAUUGACGCCUGUAAUCUGUUAUCAUUUAAUUUUGUGGGUUGUCCUUUUACCUGGACGAACAACCUCAAAGAUAACGUCAAUGUUCAAGCGCGAUUAGAUAGAGGCUUUAGUAAUUUAACCUUGUUUCAGCAGUAAGACAAUUUCACCAUCUACCAUCUUUCAGCAUAUUCUUCUGACCAUUACCCAAUUUUUCUCCUCCCCAACGUAUGGCCUGGUGUUGAUGUUUGGAGUUGUCGGAAUCCACGUCGUUCCAGUUUGAGGAACAAUGGACAACUGAAAAAGUCAAAAACUCAGUCAUAUGAAUUCCAAAAUUCAGUCUCUGCGUACCUCUCUGGCUUCCUUUCAAACUAUUGCCCCCUCUUAAUGUUAGAAUUCUCAGUUUGUAUGUGUAUUUUCAGAUUAGGAAGAGGUGCUCAUUCUAGAGCAUUUUGCUAGAGAGAGUGAAGAGAAAAAUAGGAAUGCACUGUUCUAUUGAAUUCAGCAAAUUCUGCAGCACACAUAGUGUGACUGACAGAGAGAGAAGUGUGAUUCUCUCUAACAGAAUUACAGCUGUCACCCUAUUAGGUGAUUACACAUGUCAUACCAAAUCUAAGCUAGAGAAUCCACCUAGACUAUGAUCUAAUGGUUCUCAUUACAUCAUUUAAAUAGACUUAGCAGGAAAACAAAAAAUAGAAGAUGACUUCAACUCUAGGAAAUCUGCAGAAGGAUUAUAUUUCAACACUCCCUUCUAAUCCUUUGGCUGAUUUCACUCCAAGCAAGCUUCUCAGCCUUACAAACUGAUCCUUAGGCAGAGCCUUAGUCAAAAUGUCUGCUAUCUGAUCUUCUGUCUUGCAGUACACCAGUUCAAUUUCUUUUGCUUGAAUGGCUUCCCUUAUAAAAUGAAAUUUCCUGCUGAUGUGUCUUGUCUUUUGGUGAUGAACUGGAUUCCUUGCCAUUGCAAUUGCAGAGGUGUUGUCACAUAGAAUUGGAGUCCCUUCUACUUGUUCUUCACCAAAAUCUUCAAGCAUAAAUCUGAGCCACUUAGCUUGUGAAGUUGCUUCUGCAGCACUCACAUACUCAGCUUCGGCUGUAGAUAGAGCAACUGUGUUUUGCUUGAUGGAAGCCCAAGAUAACAUGCCUGAGCCUAGUGUGAAGGCAUAUCCUGAGGUGCUCCUCAUAUCAUCCUCACUCCCAGCCCAGUCACUGUCACAGUACCCAAUUAGAGUAGCUGUUUUCCCCUUUUCAAAUUCAAUUCCAAAAUCCAAUGUGCCUUGUAUGUAUCUCAGCACCCUUUUAGCAGUUCCCAUGUGUUCCUUUGAGGGAUUGUGCAUAAACCUAGCAAGCAAGCUAGAUGCAAACAUGACAUAUGGUCUUGUGGCAGUCAGAUAAAGCAGACUUCCUACAAUCUGUCUGAAUUCACUUUCAUCUGCUGCUUCACUCCCAUCUUCUCUACACAAUUUCUCAUUCACCACUAAUGGAAUUGCCACUGACUUGCAGUCUCUCAUUCCAAACUUCUCAAGAAUUUUCAUGGCAUAUUUCUUUUGAUGAAUGAAAAUAUGCUUAUUAGUUUGUUCCACUCCCAUGCCAAGAAAAUGGUGCAACAGACCCAAGUCUGUCAUCUCAUAGUGUUGCAUUAUAUCUUGUUUAAAUUCUUCAAGCAUUUUAGGGCAGCUUCCAGUAUAUAUAAUGUCAUCUACAUAAAGUGAGACAAUGAUAAUACCUGAGGUGUCACUUGUUUUGAUAUAGAGAGUAGCUUCACUUAAGCUCUUCUUAAAACCUGCAGUGUUGAAAUAGGCAUCUAUUUCAUCAUACCAGGCCCUUGGGGCUUGUUUCAGUCCAUAUAGAGCCUUGUUCAACCUAUACACCUUGGUUUCCUUGCUCUCUUGAACAUAUCCUUGAGGUUGUUCAACAUAAACUUCCUCCUUUAGAAUGCCAUUGAGAAAGGCAGACUUCACAUCCAGUUGAAAUAGGUUCCAUUCCUUUUGUGCUGCAAGGGCUAUCACAGUUCUGAUGGUGUCAAGUCUUGCCACAGGGGCAAAUGUCUCAUUAUAGUCAAUUCCAGGCUUCUGUGAAUAGCCUUUAGCCACAAGCCUAGCUUUAUUUUUCUGCACAGUACCAUCUAGGUUCAGUUUGACCUUGUAGACCCACUUAACACCAAUUACUGGUUUGUUAGAUGGUCUGUCAACUAAUUUCCAAGUAUUGUUCUUCUCAAUCGUCUCCAAUUCAGCUCCAUUGCACAUCUCCAUGAUUCAUCCAAAUCUGCUUCUUCAAAGCUGUCAGGUUCUACAAUGCACAUGUUGCAUUGUGCCAUUAUGUCAUUAAUACUCCUCCACUUGUGAGGUGUGUGAUCAAACCUUUGAGUCUCAUCAAGCAUUUCUUCCCCUUGAGGUGCAAUUUCUUCUUCCAUCUGCAUUUGAGUAUCCAAAAACUGAGAUUGUUCAUCUAAUAGCCUCUGUUCAGUUUCUGCAGUACCUUGAUUUCCAUCUGGCAUAGGCAUUCUCACAUCUGCAUUGCUAGGAUUCUCCCACUUCCAUGAGGCUUCUUCAUCAAAAUAGACAUCCCUAGACAAGAUAAUCUUUCUAGUCUUAGGAUCAUAGAGUCUAUAGCCUUUUUCACACAAUCCAUAGCCCACAAAAAUGCAUUUGUGACUGUUUUCUUCCAACUUGUGUCUCAAAACAGAAGGAAUAAGUACAUGACAUAGGCAUCCAAACACUUUCAAGUGUGCAAUACCUGGCUUUCUUCCUGUGUAGGCCUCAAAUGGUGUCAUUUUCUUAAGAGACUUAGAAGGACACCUGUUGAGAAGGUAGACUGCUGUAUGGACAGCUUCUGCCCAAAACUCAUAUGGAAGACUCUUUUCAUGUAGCAUAGACUUUGCCAUCUCAAUCACAGUCCUGUUCUUCCUCUCAACAACUCCAUUUUGCUGAGGGGAAUAUGCUACUGUCAGUUGUCUUUGUAUUCCAGCCUCACUGCAGUAUGCAAGGAAUUCAUUUGACAUGAAUUCUCCACCUCUGUCACUUCUAAGUGAUUUCACUUUGUGUCCACUCUGCAAUUCUGCCAUUGCUUUGAACUUCUUGAAACAUUCAAAAGCAUUAGAUUUAUUUCUAAGAAAAUAAACCCAAGCCAUUCUUGUAUAAUCAUCAAUGAAUAACAGGAAAUAUCUGUUUUCUGACAUUGAUGCAAUCUGCAUUGGACCACAGAUGUCAGUGUGAACUAAUUCAAAUGGAAACUGAGCUCUCCAAGUAGAUUCUGCAGGAAAUGAGUCUCUAUGCUACUUUCCCAGCUUGCAGCCUUCACAAACUGCAAAAUCCUUCUCCAGACUAGGCAGUCCAUGAACCAUGUCUUGAUUUGCCAACAUCUUGAUGCUUUGAUCAUUAAGAUGGCCCAGCCUUUUAUGCCAAGUCUGCAAACUGUGAGUCACACUUGCUCUCAGCACCAACUGAGUAGCAGGUACCAUUGUGAGAGAGAAACACAUAUUGCUAGUCAUUGGAACCUUAGCUAUAGGAUUUUGCAGUGACCAAUCAUCAAAAAUUGUCACCAUUCCCUCUCCAAAUACUAAACAAUACCCAUGUUCCAUCAUCUGACCAACACUGAGCAAGUUCUCUUCUAAACCAGGCACCAACAUCACUUCUUGAAUGUGUUUUCUGCCUGUCUUGGUUUCUAUCACAAGUGUACCUUUUCCUGCAACUUGAAUUGUCUCUCCAGUCCCCAUUUUCACCUUGGAAGUUACAUCCCUUCGAAUAUCUAUCAGUAGCCUUUCAUCUCCAGUCAUGUGGUUACUACAGCCACUGUCCACAUACCAAGAAUUGUUCAAUUUCACAUCUGUCACAGCAUUGCAUGCAUAAAACAAUGUUCCAGUUUCUUCAACCUGAUUGGCAUAAUUCACUUUCUGCACAGGUUGGUUUCCAUGGCAAUCUCUAACCAUGUGACCAAACUUUCCACAUCCUCUGCAUUUUGGUUUUCCUUCAAACCAGCACUUGCCAUAGUGCAGUUUUUCACAGUGCUUGCAGGGUGUUUUAGUUCCUUCAUUUGAUGCAUUUGGUUUGGAAUUAGAGUUGGACUUGUUAUUCCAAUUCUUCCCAUUUUCCUUCCAGUUCUUUUGAGACUUGUUACCUCCAGAAGAACUUCCAUUCUUAGAGCUUUUACUCUCUAUGUUUAGGCUAGUAAAAGCCUUUUCUGUGGAGUUUUCAGUGUGCCUAUCCAAUCUGAGCUCAAAGUUCUUGAGAGACGCAACCACUUCUUGAAUUUGAAGAGUGUCAAGAUUCUUUGAAUGCUCAAUCACAGAACAUAUAGAGUCAUAAGAUCUAGGCAAGCUAAUAAGCAAUUUCUGCACAACUCUUUCUCUAGGUAACUCUUCACCAUAACUUUUCAUUUGAUUAAUUAAAUCAAACAGUUUAGCUACAUAACCAGAGAAUGACUCACUAUCCUUCAUACGAGUGUAUUCAAACUCUCUACGUAAGCCUUGUAGUUUCACACUUCGUACCUGUUUAUCGCCUCUAAACUCCUGCUUCAGAAUAUCCCAUGCACCUUUUGAGGUUUCCUCAUUCACUAUUCUGGGAAAAAUUUGGUCUGAGACUGCACCUUGGAUCAGUCCAAGUGCACGAGCAUCUUUCAUCAAAAUCUCAGCCGAUGUAGACUUCUCUUCUUCAGCAGCUUUAGAUCCUUCUUCCUUUCCUUUUUCCUUCAUUGGAUCUAAAGCAUCAAAGCCAUUUUCAACCAAAUCCCACAGUCCAUGAGAUUUCAGAAUGGUCUUCAUUUGAAUGCUCCAAAACUCAUAGUUUUCUCCAUUGAACACUAGUGUACGAAACUCAGAAGAGCUUGAUCCUGCCAUGUUAGACAUCAGACGCAGCUAGAAGGGCUUCGUGAAAUUUUGAGUGAGCUCAACGUCAGCUCAGCCAAGCACCAGCUCGAAUCUCACAGAUUCACGCCCAAUAAACAAUCGAACUAGGCUCUGAGGCCAUGUUAGAAUUCUCAGUUUGUAUGUGUAUUUUCAGAUUAGGAAGAGGUGCUCAUUCUAGAGCAUUUUGCUAGAGAGAGUUAAGAGAAAAAUAGGAAUGCACUGUUCUAUUGAAUUCAGCAAAUUCUGCAGCACACAUAGUGUGACUGACAGAGAGAGAAGUGUGAUUCUCUCUAACAGAAUUACAGCUGUCACCCUAUUAGGUGAUUACACAUGUCAUACCAAAUCUAAGCUAGAGAAUCCACCUAGACUAUGAUCUAAUGGUUCUCAUUACAUCAUUUAAAUAGACUUAGCAGGAAAACAAAAAAUAGAAGAUGACUUCAGCUCUAGGAAAUCUGCAGAAGGAUUAUAUUUCAACACUUAAGCCAUUCUCCAUAGUAAGAAAUUGGUUGCAAAUGAGCUCGACAAGUUACUAGAACUCGAUGAACUAUAUUGGCACCAACGUUCUCGUGUCAAUUGGAUGCAAGCUGGUGACCGUAACACUUCCUAUUUUCAUAAGAUUGACAAUCACAGAGCCAAAAUUAAUUCUAUGGCACUGAUUUUUUAUGCUAAUAAUGUAUUACAGAUUUUUGAGCCAAAACCCUGCAACAUUAAAAUGGUAUAAAAGUAGUAAAUCCAACUUUUACAAGGUGGUUAAGCUGGCUUUGGUGCUUUUUAUCAGUUCCAGCAACCUUGUUAUUUAUAGAAAGUUAGAUGAACUGUUUAGGAGGCUCAUGUGCUUCCCUUAAUUAUUAAUUGAGGGAUUGAUGUGAACUUCAUUAAGAUUGAACCGCAUCUUAGUACAAAGAGGCAACAUGCUCACCGGCUUUGCAGUUCAAAUGGUAUUUAUUUUCAUUCACUGACUUUCCACUUCCCUAACUUCUACCAGCAUUUUGCUUUCCUGCUUGUUCAAGUUUGUCAAAUGGCAUUAAUGUUGAGUAAGACUAAUUGAGCCUUUUGAGUAUCAAAGGACAUGCUACUACUAUGAAGUCACAUUUUGGCAUUUGGGUCAUGUCAUGUUGGGGGAAUAAUAUUUAGUGAUCCUUUAGAUAGUAAUGACAUGUUUACUAACUUGUAAUCAAAACAAUAAGAAUGAACCGAAAGGAUUGAGAGUCGGAAUCAAUCAUUCCCACGAUGAAUUUCUUCCAGUACUUAUUCACCUAGUUGAUAUAUGACAGGGACAUGCCAGUAUCUUGUAGGAAAUACAAUUUUUUUUCGCUUAAGAAAUAAAAGAAAUUAAAAAUAUGCUUAAAUAUACAAACAAAAUUUUGUAACUUAUUCUGAUGUCCAUAGCAUAUAUACUCAGUUUUUUUUAAAAAAAAAUUACUACCAUUACUCGUUUCCUUAUAUUGCAGGGCUUGAGAUAAAGCCAAUGAUCUGUACCUCUUUCAACUCUUAAGCAGUAAUAAUGUAUGUUGAUUUUCUUGAGCUACCAAACAUAAUGUAGACGUCUACGCGUAAAGGUUCUCUCAAAUUGCUCAUUAAAAUUUUCAUCAAAUAGUGUGUGGGAAAAUAGAACAAGGAGGUGUGAAUGGAAUCAUUCUGAUUUAAUUCUAGGGUUAAUACCUUUUUGGUCACUGAAUUUUGCACAAAAAUUCAAUUUGGUUACUAAGAAAAAAAUUUGGCCAAAUUAAUCACUGGACUUCUCAAAGUUUACAAUUUAUAAACAUUCCAUUAUAUGUUAUCAACCUAUUUAUAUUAUAACACGUGCCUCUAUUAAUUAGUAUUAUACCUUUUUUUGCGACUUAUCAAUAAUGACACACAGUCUUGUUAUAACACGUGUAGUUAGAUGCGGAAGAUUACAUAAUAAAUCUUAAUUGGUGAUGCUUUUAGGGAAGUAGCAUAGUUAGUGAUACUUUAAAAUCGAAUUAUUUCUUCAAUAUCUAUCCAACUGGGCCCCAUAAUAUCCUAGCUUGAGAAAGUUGAGAGACAAAUUGAGGAAAAAGAGGUUGGAUGCUAAAGCUUCCCAACAAUAUUCAGAGUCCCCAAAAUCUUUCCCGAAGUGUAUUUACUCAGUUAUGAAUGAACAAAAACAAUUACUAUACACAGUCAAAAACAAUUACUUCCAUUAGUAUUUUCCUUCCAGAUGCAUUAAUAGAUAUAGCUCUUGCGGGACUUGAGAUAAGGCAAGAAAAGUCCGGUUUAACAGCUGUGAUAAUAAGUCCAUAAUUCAAGUCUGCACGGUGGUUUGGUUCGCUAUCAUAACAAAGCUUAUGCAAAUUCAGUCCCAUUGAUGCUUAUCCCUAUUUAUACAAGCUCUACGUCGAGAGAGUAAUUGCUCACAUUCCUGUACUCAAAAUUGAAAUCUAAAUGAUAAUUAUAUUCCUCAAAUGCAUCUUAGAAUAUAGUUGGAUACAUAAACCAGAAAAGAGAGAAGAUAACUUCUACGAUUAGAAUGUAGUGAAUACUUGGAUAUAUCUUAUAAAGCAACUCCAUAAUCACAGAUUCACCAUAUAUCCUUGGGAGGAAUUGAAGAAGAUGAACAAGUUACAACACCUUCCUGCAUUCAUUAACCUUCCUGCAUUCAUUUAUUCUUAAAAGUAGCUACUCCAUCACAUUCGCCAUUUGCAACGACGACUCCUCGAUGUCAGCCGGCAAUGUUUUAUCUUCUUUGUUUGACCAAGUAUGCUUGUCUGCCAUCUGAUCAAGAAAGUGGAAAAUGGGAAAUGGUUAUGAUGGCUCCUACAAUAUAGAAGGAAAAUAAAAGAGACAAGUGGGUGUAUGGACAUGCAGACGACUGUCAGCAAAAUGCAUGUCGAACAAGGAGAUGACUGGAGUAUGAAUCUAGUAACAGUCAUGCUGCGAUACAAAUGGUAAAGGUUCAGUCAACUUAAGACAAAAAAUUUACUAACAAAAAACAAUCUACAAAGUUGACAAUCUGACAUUAUUAAUUGAUAUUAAAAGCAGAGAAUGCAUUUCAACUAUAACAGAGAAAAAAGCAAGUUCCGGUAGUCAUCUCAACAGUAUUUACUUAGCCCCUUCUAUCCAUUAGCAAGGAAGUUCCGACCAUGUAUUUGAACUUCUCCCAGCACUUAUAACUAAAGCCUCCAGGAUGGACAACAUUGAUCCAACAGAGAAGGCCAAAAGAAAGCAUAUGUUGAGACGAGAAAUUAUGGUCUCCUAUUGAUCCACCUAUUUGAGUAAAUUCAUAAAAAAGCAUUGUAAAUUUGUAACUAAACCAAAUCAAAGGCAGGCUUUUUCCAAAGGAACUGUAAUUUCAACCAUACCUAUGUUAGGUUACAAUAACUAUCAGAGGAAUUCUUGAGCUCAAUGUUGAGCUCCAUCGUACCAAAACUCAAAUUAUAUAACCCCCUCCAUAACAAUUAUCGAAUAAUUUAUAAAACUUAAGGAUAUGGAACAGCAGUUAUUUAAGUUAUAUUGUACCAUGUAACAGACAGGAAAUCUGUUUUGAAAAGAAUGAAAAAAUUAGUAUUUACUUUCAGAUGUUAUGCUUAGUUGGCACUAUUUAUCCGUCCUUCACUCUAAUUUCAGAUCUCUUUGUCGGCCUAUUUUUCACUUUCGACUUUAGCAUCUGUGCAGUUCAAGUAGCUGAACUAUAGGAUACUUUUAUAGAUUUGGUGCUCACAGAGGACCCUACUCUCAGGAUAUUCCAAACUAUGCAACAAAACAAGUCAAUAACAAUAUUGAAAGCUUUGAAUGAUUAAAAUAUUUAAAAGUCACCCAAAUUGAAAUAAAAAGUACUACUGCAGGAAAAUGAAGGAAACAGAGAUUUGACUGCAGGGAAGAAUUAAUGUAUUUGACUGCAGGGAAGAAUUAAUGUAUUUGACUAAAGUGAGGACUAUUUGGGUUCAAAUUUCAAUUUAAAAGGGCAUAGCAUGAAUUGGCAUAAACUCAACUCAAUGUACUAUGGCCCUCAUUAGUUCUAUACUCUUUUCUUUUUAUUUUCUAAUACCUGGUGAGCAGGAGUGCUGGCGAGCUUGAGCUUGAGGCAGUUUUUGAAACAAAGGAGGCUAAGAGUGAUAUUGAUAGCUGGAAGAACUGCAUAGAAACCCAAAUCCCCGUACUUGCAUUGUUAGAAAAUCAGUUCUCCUGAAUCCAACUUUCAAUACAGAUCAUUUUUAAAAUGAAUCGCAGAGAAAUGAUGUUCUCCAUUGCAAUUUCCAGAUUCUGAUUCAAGAAAAGCAAAAGCUGCAAUAAGGCAAACUCUUAAAAAUUCCAGCUAUUUCAAGACCAUGUCUCUGGAAACUGCCUAUAAAAUUAAAAUCAAACACAAAAUUGUGUCUAGAUCCAUUAUUUUUAAUACAUAUGCCACCAAAGUUAUUCCUUCAAACUAUUGGGAAAAAUCCAGAGAAUAUAUUACUUGUCCAACAAUCGAUCCACAUAUCAUUACAAUUGUAAUGGCGAAACACUUUCAAAGCAGAAAAUUAUGGGUCUUUCUUAAGAUUCCAAAUUCUUGAUGCCCAAACCUUUAUAUAUGCCUACUUGGCGUCACACUCAUAAGUCAUUGUGUAUUCUACUCGUGGUCAUCAGACCAUAAUCACAUCCCUCACUUUUACCAGCAUCAAUGAUCAGAACACAAUUGUGGACAAAAUCAACUGAAAAGAGUAAGAGCAUUCAAGUAAAAUCUUCCUUGUCGGGAACAAAACAACAAUACAUUGAUAGUUCUUUUAAAAAAAAAAUGAGAAUUACUCUUGAUAGUUGGUCAUUACCAAUUUAUAAUCCAAAAUAAAUAGCGAUCCGAAUUCUUAUCGUACUACUUCUAAUGGUAGCUACUUCUAAUGAUUCAGGAUAUGAGUGAUCAACAAUGCAUCAAUAAAAGUAGAAACACACUAAAGAGUUUAAUAAACAGUCGAAACACGUAUAACAUGACAAAACAAAACUUGUAUACAUAUAUCCCCUGCUUGCAAAAAACAUUUUCCAAUCUUAGUGAAAGCACUAAUGUUUCACGUUGAAAAACAAAAACAGCUACAGAAACACAAAUUAAAGAAUACCAAAAUGUUAGUAUUGAUCCAAUUUCCAGCUUGACUAUUGAUGAUUAAAUAUUUACACUUCCGGAGCCAGCUGAAUAAUAGUUUAGAAAAUAAAAAGUAAAAAGUCAUAUAUGUUCAGAAGGAGCUCCAUUUAAGUAAGACUAGUAAGGUUUAGCAUAAAAUACCCAAAUAGUUAAGCCUUCACUUCCACUUGUUUUGGUCCAUGCUCUUGAGGCAAAAAUCCAGGCCCUGGCCUCCUCUCACUUUCCACAGAAGAUCCAUACUUCUUCUUCUCGUACAAUGGAUUUGAGGUCAAGAUCCUCAUACCUGAAUUCCCAUUGAUCUCCAAAACUUCAGGCAACCCAUUAAUACACCCCUUCGACAUACCAACAUCAAUCCGAAUUGCUCUCUCUUCGCAAACGCCAUUAAUCCCAAACUCUUGAAUGGUAUGACCCAUAAUCAUCUUCUUAGCGCCAGGAAUUGUCGAUAAAACAUGUUCAAGAGCUGAACAAUCACACUUCUCCGCAAAUUCAUGCGAAAAAUUCCUCAACCAAACCACGGCAUUCCUUCCACGACAAUACUCGGGUGCAAAUCUGUCCUUCAAUCCAUGAACCCAAUCCCUCACCUCCGCAUUGAUCUUCUCCAGGCCAUAAGAAACGUGUGCGGCCAAAAGCCCGCCAUGGACGAAAACCGAAUCUCCAACAACCAAUACAGUCAAGUUCUUGGCCAGGAACCGGGACGAAAUGGGACCAUUUGGCCUCAAUGCUGCAACUCUAGCCCUAAACCCAUCUACAAACUCUUCCUUGACAUUCUCAAACCCUAGAGGGACCCCAUCAAAGGGAUCUUUGGGCUCUUCCAAGCCUUUACAAAGUGAUUUCAUUCGGUUCCCAAUGCAAUACCAAUCGGCCCAACCCCUAAACUCAUCCAAGCCCUUGUGAGUCGCAAACCUGAAAUCUCCUUCGACGUUCAUGAUCUCGUGGUUCCCGUGCAUUGUAAUCACCGUGCCGCCGCAUCUCGCAGCUUCUCGUCUCAAUUUCUCGAGAUAAUAAAGGAUUUUGAGCUCGUCGCCGCCACGGUCAAACACGUCGCCGAUCUGGACCAAGGUGGACGACCCUCCGACCCAUUUACCCGACUCCGGGUCGAUCAAUUUAGCGAGUCUCAGCGAUUCCUUGGUCUUCUCCAAGUCGCCGUGGAGAUCGCCUAUGGCAAUCAAGCGGUCCUGCGGGGGAUAAUAGGUCUGCAGAGGUGGGGGCGACGGAAGAGGAUCGUCGCCGGGGUUGCGGUGGUGAGGGAGGGCAUUUUGGUCAUUUUGAGGCAAGAGGAAGAGGCCGCCACUGACGGAAAAGUCGACGAAGGUAUCGACGAAGGAGGAGAGGAGAUUGGGAACGUCUUUGCAUGCGCUUGAGGAGGAAGACUCCUUAGCUGGUGGCGCGCGGUCGUCUUCCAUUUUUUCCGCGAGCAGUCUUUUCUUUACCGAGUCCAAGUGCAAGAUUGGUUUUUAUGGUGUAUGAAAAUGUUUGUGUGAAACUAUGAAUACUUGUCCCAAAGCUAUUGAAAUUGCCUACGAACUUCUAGGUAACUUUCCACUUGUAUAAAAGAAGAAAUUUAGAACAAUGUUGACUUAGACUAUUAAAAAUCAUCACAUAUGCAGUGAACAAUUACAAAUCAUCAAUAUGUGCUAAUGUGAAUUUGGCUAAUUGUUCAAUGCAAUGUGUUUGAGGAAAAGAAGAGGUUGCUACCAUUCCUCAAUUCAGACCUAAUAAAUUGAAUAUGUAAUAAUACCGUGCUUCCUAAGAAAUAUAGGGUUAUUUUGUUCAACUAUCCAACUCUGAGCCCAAAGAGGAUGUGUUGUGUAUACUCUAUUUUAAUUAUUUAGGCCCAAUUAAGUUUAAUUAUCCAAUUUCAUGAAAGAAGUAAACAUAAUAAUGACCACCAACGUAGUUAGGUCGAGUCCUAAAUCUAGUUCUAACACACCAAAUAAAAUAAAAAAUGUAUAUAUUUUUGUUUAAUAAUGAAAAAUAUAGGAUGAGAGUGGUGUGCCUCCUAGGUCUUGUUUGGUUCACAUAAAGCAAUUGGUGAGAAAUCAAUUUUUAUGUCUUUUUUUUUUUCUCGAUAGAUUAUAAAUGGAAUAUUAAUCAGAAAAUUUUAUUUAUCAUGUUUGGUUUGUGCAAAAAUUGGAAUCAAAUUUUGUUUAUCUUUCCAAUUAUACCCCUACAUUAGAAAUAUGCAAAAUACUUCUUACAAUGAAUAGAAAAAAUGGAAAAUAAAUCAAACCCAGAACUCAAAUUUUAUUCUUAUAAUAAAUAUUUUGAUGCUCCAAUGGAGGAAAAAAGAAGAAGAAAAAUAAACAUGAAUAAUGUUGAGUGAUUAAUGGAUAUAUAAUAAUACGGUUAAAAUAGACCGUCACAUCUUUUGUUUGUUGAGAAAUCAAAUGAUGCCUAACUUUGGGUUCUUUUUCUUCAAAUUGAAGUCAUUGGUCAUAAAAACAUGUGUAAUGAAUGCUUGCGUUGGUUUCCCAUAUAGGGAAAAAUGAAACUCAAAGUAGAUGGAGGUGUCUUUGUUUCCCAUGAGCUAUGAUAACCUUUUCCACUUGCUAACAUUGACAAGUAAAUAAUUUCUCAUUCCCAUACCCAUUUUUCUUCAAACCAAUCACCUCCGAAGUGCCACAACUCAGUUUUCUUUUGAUCCAUCUGGUGUAAAGCUUCGAGAGAAGUUAGAAUGUGUGUGUGUGUGAUCAAACAUGGUUACGUGAAGACCGAGUGAAAGCAUCGUAGCUGAAAAGCCGUCCAAAAAGAAAACAAAACUAAGGAAGCUGAUUACCAAAUUAAUUAAAAUAUUAAAAUAUUUAUUUAAGAUACGAAAUAAUAAAGCUAACGUCAUUCCUAUUUUGAAAUUCUGUUAUCGGUUGUCAUCUGGGAGAGACUUGCACAUCCCGGGAGAGGGAGAGGGAGAGAGAAAUGGCGGCAAAUUUUGUGGCAAAGCUUCUUAUUGCCGCCGCGGUACUGCUGCCGUUGGUGGUUCUCUGCAGCUUUUCCACCACUCUAACUCUGGAGAGAGCUUUUCCAACAAACCAGAGAGUGGAACUGAGUCAACUCAGAGCUUGAGACCGAGUCCGGAAUGGAAGGAUGUUGCAGCAGUCCUCUGGUGGUGGCGGUGUCGUCAAUUUCCCCAUUGGAGGGACCUUCGAUCCAUACAUAGUUGGGUAUAAUUUCUGCCAAAUUCAGUAAUUAAUCAGUCAAUUUCUUAAAUUUUUUUUGCUUGCAAAUGUGCAAAUGUCACAUGACAUGUUUUGCUAAAAUAUAUACAUAUAAAUUGUUAGUUAGCCCACGUCUUGGUUUUGAAUGAGCCAUGAUUAAACAAUAUAAUAUUUAUUCAUGAUAUGACAUAGUGGAGACAAACAACCUUCUAAUUCAUUGACUCAAAACCAAUAAUAGGUCAAUUUCUUCUUAGAGAUAUAUUUUUUUACACACAAGCAACCAUGAUAUCAUGGAAUUUUGAACCUGAGACUUUUUACACACAAGCAACCAAGAUAUCAUGAAAUUUUGAACCUGAAACCUCUAAUCUGCAAGACAAAGGACCUUUUGCACUGGGCUAGACUCCAUUGACGAUUUUAGAGAGUAAUCUUAAAGGGACAUAAUCGUAUCAUUACUUUCUAACAUUUUUUCAUUUUUUAUUAUUUUAUUUUUUGGAUUUUGGAUUUUCUUCAAUUUUACUUAUAUUUGACAUGGGUUUCAAACUUUCAGAUGAUUUAAUGCAAUGUUGCCUUGGUUUCCCAUGAGAAUGAAAAUUGAAACCCAAUGCGGAAGGAGGUGUCCCUUGGUUUCCCAUGAGCCAUGAAACUCUUUCCAAGAGUGAAUUUACUACAAGAUUUACAAGUACACUUUUGCAAGCACAAAAACACCAGAGAGUUGAUUCAAACACGCGCACAUAAAACUGAGAAAUGAAUGAACAUGAUCCUCAUGUAUCAAACAGCACUUAUAUAACGGUAGCAAAAAGAUUUACAUAACUUCCACUUCAGUCUGUCCUCUGCCAUCCAACAAACACUCAAGUCUACCCCCGAGUGCAAUCUUUAGCCAAAUGCCCCGGCUGCUUGCAUUUGAAACAACAGUGGGCCUUCGGUUUUGGACAAUCCCUACACAAAUGUCCGACCUCACUACAGUUGUAACACUCACUUGUUCUUGUCUGUUGAGCAUGCAUAGCUGCUCGGCCUUCUUUUUGAUUCCCCGUUCUCUGCCUCUUUCCAGUUCCACCUGAUGCACACAUACAUUGAGCUGACGCCUUCCCUUUUCCUCUGUAAUCUCUUUGUCUGUUUUGGUGUUGUAUGUACAGCUCAAUAGUCUUCUCAACUGCGAUGGCGCAGUCUACCACUUCAGUCAAGGUUUGGAGUCUCAAGUUAACCACUGAGCUUCUAAUGUCAUCAACCAAUCCCAACUCAAACUUUCGUGCUUUCUGCACCUCAGUCAUUGGUUGUGCGAAACGAAGCAACCUCGAAAAUUUAGCCUCAUAGUCACCCACAGACAUAGAGCCCUGCUCAAGACUCAAGAAAGAAGCCUCCAGCCUAUCUUUCCCAGGAAAAUACUUGGCAUAGAAAACCGUCUUGAACCCUUCCCAGUCCAUCAGUGAUACGUCUUCAGCUCUCUUAACUUCAGCCCACCAAUAUCGAGCUUUACCUUGCAAGAGAAAAACAGCCAACUCUUUCUUUUCAACCUCAGAGCACUCCAUUAUUUCGAACAAGGUCUCUAUAUUACCAAACCACUCAUCAGCUUUCAUGUAGCUCCUAGUUCCAUAAAAAGGUUUUGCACCCAGUUCUCUCAGUUCCCUGACCAACUCAACAAGUCUGGAUGAGUCGGCAUGUCCCGUAAUAGUUGGUAAAAUAGGUUCAGGUUCCAUAUCUGGUAUACCGGAAAAUCUCAACAACGGCUGUCAAGCCUCAUAUCAAAUUGAGGAUCACAACCAGUAUAACAACUUUUGUAAAGGGACUUCACCUAAAAAAUUACUGGAAGCGACCGGAAAAGCCGUCGGAAAGUCGCGGCUCGAGGGCCGAUCUUCACGGUGUCGAUCCGGCUUCCACGGUAAUACAAUGGAGAUGGCGUCAGCACGAAAAAUGUUCCUUGCAAGGAGAGCAACAAAACCCAACAAACGGUGGCCGUAAACGGCAGGAAAGCUGCUCAAACAGUAACGGGAACUGUGGCAAAGUAUUGACUUUCGAUCAAGUAUUCGCCUUGCAUAGUGACUGUCUGGGCUGGGUCUUGGUCGGGAUAGGUAGAAGGGAAUGAGAUGAAAGCUUUGGUUUAAGAAUCAGGGCGAUCGGAGGUCAGACAAAGACGGAAUCACGUCGGAAAGUUCCUAGAAUAUGUAUUUUAGUUUUUGGAUUCAAUUAGAACAUAACAAGUUAAAGCAGUUAUUAGAAGUACAUACCUGAGUUUGAUUUGAGAGUUGAGAAGAUUGGAUUGCUGUUGUGGUUUCUGCUCUGCUUCCACACAAACACAGAGAGAGAGAGAGAGAAGAUAGAGAAGGAGAUCUGCAGAUUCCCUACUGAGGGAGGAGGGCGCCACCAGUGGGUGGGGGACCGGAUUUUGGGGUCGGGCAGGGGGAUAAGAAAUCGGGGGGGGGGGGGGGGGGGGGUUUGGGUAAAAGGAGGGUGUGGGGGGAAGGAUUUUGGGGUUGAAAGGUGUGGCCUGGGGAAAGGGGGGAGAAGAAAAUCGGCGGUAGGGGGUGCUGGUUUGGGGAUUUUUUUUUUUUUUUUUUCUCUUUGUUUCUUCAAUUUUUCCAAAACAUAAUAUUUUAAUCAAUUUAAAAUUUUAAAAAAACAAAAAUGUGGAACCCGUAGCAUGUAGGCAACUAUCAGAAAUCAAAACCACAUUUUAAUAAAUUUAAAAAUUAGGAUAUUUAAUUGUAUAAAAAAUAAAAAAAAAGAUUAACAUGUCUUAAAUGUAUAACCACAAUGUAUUAAACUGUAAUUAACUCUUUUCGUUUUAACUCCGAUUCGCACAUAGUACAUGCCUACAAAGUCGUGAGAGUGAGCUCUACUAAAUGGAGAAAAGAAAACUCCCAAAACUCGUCGGAAUCAAAAGUCUGCCUUGUUGCUGGUGGUGGUGAGAGUAGCCAAUCUCCCUUUAAAAUUUCUUUGGACCCAAAAAAAAAAAAAAAAAAAAAGUCAACCAAAAUGUCAAAAUUCACCACUCUAAAGGAAAAGUAGUCAAAGUGCACUAAAAUUCCCAAAAAAUAAUAAACCUUCAAAAUUUAAUUGCAUGUGUUGUGCCUCUUUGUUUAAGACUCUAAGGUAUGUUUGAUAGGCCUCACUAGACUGGACUGGAUUAUAUAGCACUUGAAAACUAUGUUUGGUAAGAAGGAGGACUAACUUAAAUAAGAUUGUAGAGUCCUAACAGUAAAAAAAACCGCAUCGCUCGCUCUUCUAAUUUAGUGUGGCUGAAACUUGCUUCACAAAUUAGCGAGUUGGCAAAAUAAAACACGCUAGUCCUCCAACACCGACAACUUUCAACGCCUCUCUCUCGUUUCGUUCAAUAUCGACUCCUGCUCUUCUUCCAAGCUAUACUCAGGUAAGUUUUUCUGGUCUCUCGCUUUGCAUUACAAUUGAGGUAGGGCUUGCAGUUGCAGAGAGAUAUAGAAGGAGGUGAACCAAAAUAUAUUAUUGGGUUAUUGCCUUUCAGCGACAACUAUAUAUUUUGGGUGGCUUCAGGCUCUACCAUCGCCGUAGAGAUUGAAAGGAGGUUUCUUGGGUAAGUAUUUGGUUCUAGCCAUCAGCUAAAUGAAAUUUGAAUUUUGAGUCUUAGCCCCAAGAUAUUGUGGCACAUUUGUAUCUGCCAUUGCAAGGGCCAUGUCAAAAUCGGGUCUUGCGAUCCCAAGUCCAUGGAAUGGCAAAUCUUCUUAUGUUAAUUAUUGGUGUACAUUAGUUUGAUUAUGGGGGUUUCAGGUGUGGCUAGAGGAUGUGGGUGGCAACACUUGGAUGUGUUUGCUUGGUUUGCUAAACUCGAUGGCAACACUUGGCUUUCAUUUUACAAAUUUCAUUUUGGAGCAUAGGUAUGGAAAAAGGCAUGAAGAUGAGCUGCCCAAGUUCUGUAAUUUUCUGCCUUGUUCUCUUUUUGGGUUGUUUGUGAUUGAAUGAUUUUUUGUCAAAUUGCAUGCAGUUCCAAUUCGUAGAAGUUCCAAAAAGGGAGAAGCUGAAAAUAAUGAAAUCAGAAACAGAGAGAGAAGAAACGAAAAGGGAUGGUGAAGAGAGAGGAAGAAAAGAGAGAGGGGAGAGAGGAAAGAAGAAAAUGCUUCACUAAUUAAAUAUUAGAAUUUAUUUGCCUCUUUCCUUAAUGAAAUAAUGAAUUGACCAAAAAAAAUAAAUAUUAGAAUUUUAUUUAUUUAUAGAUUAAAUUUUUUAAUUAAAUUUAAAUAUAUUAAAUAUUUAUUUUUUAGUCCGACACAGCACCAAACAUAGGUCUUCAGUAUUUUUAUUAUCCAGCUUCUUAGUGCGACGCAUAACCAAACGUAGGUCGGCACUUAAUCCAGCUUAUGCUAAUCCUAGAUAAUCCGAUAUAGUAUCNNNNNNNNNNNNNNNNNNNNNNNNNNNNNNNNNNNNNNNNNNNNNNNNNNNNNNNNNNNNNNNNNNNNNNNNNNNNNNNNNNNNNNNNNNNNNNNNNNNNGACCUAUGUUUGGUGCUGUGUCGGACUAAAAAAUAAUUAUGUUAUUAAUUUAUCUCUUUUUCUGUUUUCAGUUUUUUUUUCCAGCCUUUUCUUCUUCUUUUCUCCUCUCUCUCUCUCUCUCUCUCUCUUCUUUUUGUUAUUUUCUUCUUCUUUUUACCUUCCUAUUUCAUUUAACUUUUUUUUUUCUACUUACCUUUCUUUUUCCACUGUGACCACCCAAAAAAAAACCUCUCUUUUUCCAACAGAAAAGCCCCCAAACCAUUCAAAACACUUUUUCUUUCUUUAUCUCUCGAAACCACCAUAUUUCUCCAAACUAACCCAAAACCUUCAUCUCCUUGCUGCAAAAAAAAAUAAGGAAGCUUGCUGCAUAAAAAAUAAGGAAGCUUGCUUCCUUGGCCUCCCUAGUUUUGAUUUCGGGUCUUUCAAUUGGCCUUUGGGCUAGCUAGAUUUGCUUCCGCAUCCCCUUCUAUUGUUGGAGGUCUUUAUUGGCAGAGGCUUGCUAGAUGACAGAGCCAACUCAUUGAUUUGAGCUCUUUCUCUGUCUCUUGAAUUCCACCAGGAAAACUUUUCCUCCUUCCCUUUCAAUUUGGCCAAUGGUUCAAUCAUAUUAUUGGAUAUUGAACUUUUUGGUUUUGUUGGUUUCCUGAGUUUAUGUCUAUAUAUCAAUCUGCCUUUUGACUAGCCCAAGCCAACUUGGAACGGCAACUAUAGCUAAUUGAGACUCAUCAGCAAGUUUCGAUUGGAACUGUGGUUGUGGGGUUUUGAAUUUGAUUCAAGCAGUUCGAACUUGCGUGUUCAAAAUAACACUUUAAAACCCACGUUUGGUAAAAGAGGGACUAAGAUUAAUGGGAUUAUAUAGUCCAUAAGUCAAAAAAACACCGGACUCGCUCGUCCAAUUUAGUGAGGAUGAAAUGCAGUUCGCAAAAUAGCGAGCGUGCUAUUUUGAAAGCGCGAGUUCGACCCACACAGCGACCUCCACGAGCUACUCUUGGUUGAUGAGUAUCUCCUCAUUCAUGUCUGGCAAUAUUGCAGUGACUAGCUCUUUGAACUCGACGGUGUCAUUUCCGUUAGCGACGAGGACGUGGAGCUAGUCGCCGGUAGGCUUGAAGCCCAGCGACCGGAGCAGGGUGGCGAGCUCGAGCUAGGUGAGGCUGUCGUCGGAGUCCAUGUGGAAUCUGUAUUCAACCUUUUAGUUAUAAUUCUGAAAACAUCUUUUUGAUGUUUUCAUUUUAAGAGAAUGGAUUCAACAAACAGAGCACCGCCAUCCGGUCAAACCUGGAGCUCCACCACCUGUACCAAAUCGAAAAUCAAAUGCCACCAUCAACAAUAUACAUACCAAAUUGAACCACCACCAUCAAACCCAACCAAUCUACCUAUCAAAACCAACAAUAUACAUACCAAAUUGCAGAGAGAUGAGAUGAGUUUUGGAGAGAGAGAACGAGAGAGGUAGGGGAGAGAGGGAUAUUUUGCAUAGAGAAUCGAGGUUCGAAGGAAGGAGGAGUGGGUGCUGCAGCAUGAAGAGAGUGAAAAAGAGGGAAGUAAGAAGAAAAGAGACAGAAGAGAAGAGGAAGAAAGAAACGGGCCUGGGAUCGGGAAGGAAGGGAAGAAGAAAAGAGGAAGAAAGAAAGAACAGGACAAAAAGAAAAAAGAAAGGAGAUUAAAAGAAAAAUCUAAAUUUUUUAUUCUUUAAAUUAUACAUUUUUUUUAAAAUAAAUUUUUUAUAAAAAUUUUAGCCUUUAAAAAGUAUCAUAAUUUAAAUAUUUUUUAAGUCAAUAUCUCCAAUUAAAUUUAAAUAUUACAAGAAUUAUUUUCUAGUCCGACACAGCACCAAACAUAGGUCUUCACUAAUUUUACAAUCCAGCUUCUUAGUCUGAUACAACACCAAACGUAGGUCAGUACUUAAUCCAGUUUAAGCUAAUCCGAGCUAAUCCAAGACAGUCCCAGGACUUAAUCCAGUCCAUGACAGUCUGCCGUAUCAAACGACCCCUAAUACCUUUAUAAGAGCAUCUAUAGUGGGCUCCCUAAACCAUCUUAUUAGACAAAUUUUAAGGAGGAUUUGAAAAAAUACAACUCCAACUCUGCUCCCUAUCCACACCUCCUAAUUAGAAAGACCACUAUAAGCUCCUAGAGAAAUGACUCCUAGUAGCUCCCUAUAAUUUAAUGAUAUUUUAUUUUAUAACCUUUAAUUAAUGCUAAUUAUAUAUAUAUAUAUAUUGACCAAUUAAAAAAGAGUUAUAGUAUUUAUGAGUCCCUAAACUAGAGAGUAUGAUUGAAGUUAAAAUUUUAUAGAGAGCUCCUAAAAUAGUUUUUGUAUGUUUUUAGAUAAAUUUUAACUAAAAAAAUAGAGAGCAUGAUUGUAGAUGCUCUAAACCUGCUGAAUCCGAUUAUUUUGAGUCCUUUUUCUCUUCUACUAUUUUCUUGUGAGAGUUUCUGGAUUAGUGUGGUAUUUACACUACUUGAGAAGGAACUUCAAAAUAUUGUCCCUACAUGGCACCUGAACAGAAGUUAGAAUGUGUGUGGAGUGUUGUGGUCAAACAUGGUUACGUGAACACCGAGCAAAAGCAUCGUAUCUGAAAAGCCAUCCAAAAAGAAAAACGAAGUAAGCUCAUUACCAAAUUAAUUAAAAUAUUAAAAUAUUUAUUCAAGAUAUGAAAUAAUAAAAGCUAACGUCAUUCCUAUUUUGAAUUUCUGUUAUCGGUUGUUAUCUGGGAGAGACUUGUACAUCCCCUCUCUCUAUAUAAACGAGGGAGAGGGAGAGAGAGAGAGAGAGAGAGAGAGAGAGAGAGAGAGAGAGAGAGAGAGAGAGAGAGAGAAAUGGCGGCAACUUUUCUGGGAAAGCUUUUGAUCACUGCCGCGGUACUGCUGCCUUCUGCGGUGGUUCUGUGCAGUUUCCCCGCCACUCUGACUCUGGAGAGAGCUUUUCCAACAAACCACAGAGUGGAACUGAGUCAACUCAGAGCUAGAGACCGAGUCCGGCAUGGAAGGAUGUUGCAGCAGUCCUCUAGCGGCGGUGGCGGUGUCAUCAAUUUCCCCGUUGGAGGGACCUUCGAUCCAUACAUAGUUGGGUACAGUUUUCUGCCAAUUCAGAAAUUAAUCAACCAAAUUUUUUUUUCUUUGUAUGAUUAAACUUUUUUCCUUGCAAAUGUCACAUAACGUGUUUUGCGUGUGUUAGUCCACGUCUUGGUUUUGAAUAAGUCAUGAUUAAACAAUAUAAUUCAUUUGAUGUCCACGUCUUAACAAUUUUAGUUGAAGAGUUGUAGUAAUUAAACAAACAUAUUAUAUCAUCAUUGACUCAAAACCAAUCAUUGAAUAGGUCUUUUUUUUUUUAAUACCUUUUUGGGUUUUCUUCUCUUUUACUCAUAUUUUUGUUUAAGUUAUCAAACUGGUAGAUGAUUUGGUUUUAGAGUAAUCUUAAAGGGACAUAAUCAUAUCACUACUCAGAGAUCAUUUUUUUUUUUUUUUUUUUUUUUUGGAUUUAGGCUUUAUUUCACAAGUGUGAAGUUGGGUACACCUGCAACAGAGUUUUAUGUGCAGAUUGAUACUGGAAGUGAUGUUUUGUGGGUUGGCUGCAAUUCCUGCAAUGGUUGCCCCAAAUCAACUGGACUUAAAGUAAACUCACCUCUUCAUUUAUCCUAAUUUAAAUCUUGUCAAGUUUUAAAAUAUCAUCAGGAGGGAAAACAUACUGCUGAAGUUUCUGAAUGAGUGAUAUGAUCCCUCUGGUUUUCAUGCAGAUUCAGCUGAAAUCUUUUGACCCUAAAAGCUCAUCAACUGCCUCAUUGGUGUCUUGUUCUGAUAAAAUAUGCUCCCUUGGACUUCAGACACAAGAUUCUAGCUGUGAUGCAAAGGAUAAGCAGUGUACUUAUGGGUUCAAGUACGGUGAUGGCAGUGGAACAUCGGGCUAUUAUGUAUCAGACUUGUUGCAUUUUGACACAGCUGGCGGUGGUCAGUCUGUCACCUCAAACUCUUCAGCUAACAUUGUCUUUGGGUAAUAUAUGAUGUAUUCUUCCCUAUAGUUAAGAACAACGGUCUUAUUUCCGUGCGUGAUUGUUUUUUUAUUUGAACAAAGCCACGAAUGGUGAAUUUUGAAACAGGUGUAGCACCUCAGCAACCGGGGUCUUGCAGAAAACAGAUAGAGCAGUUGAUGGGAUUUUUGGAUUUGGACAGCAGGAAUUUUCUGUCAUCUCACAGCUGUCUUCACAGGGAGUAGCACCAAAUGUAUUUUCGCACUGCUUCAAAGGAGAUGACACUGGUGGGGGGAUACUGGUUCUUGGUGAGAUCGUGGAUCCUAACAUCGUUUAUAGCCCGCUUGUCCAAAAUCAGUAUGUGUAAAGCAGUACAAGUAUAUCAUUUUAUAUUUUGUGAAACUAAAUGGAACUAUAGUGAGCUCUACAGCAUGACUAACAGUUAUAUUCACAUGCAUCAUUGCAGACAGCUCUUUUUUAGGCUGUAACCCAUGGCUAUUUUCUAGUUUGAAAUUUAUGACUUAACUACUCAUGUUGCCAGAACAGUACCGUUUAAUUGAAUACAUUUCAGUGGAGGGUGAAAAAUAAUUAUAUUUUGGAAAAAAUUCCAUAGAGAGAUAAAUAGAGCCCUGAGGAACUACUUGAAGAUCUUAACAUGUGAAGUAGCUCUUAAUUGCAGCAAAAGCUUGGCCCUCUCUCAAUUCUAUUUUGAAAUGUUGGAUGUUAUGCUUCCUUUUCCCUAUUCAUUUUGUAAGGCAUAAAUUUUUUUAAUCAUAUAAAGCUUGGCUGCUGUAACUUUAACUAUAUCUACUGGGAUGCUCGGAAUUUCAGGCCUCAUUAUAACUUAAAUCUGGAGAGCAUUAGUGUUAACGGCCAAACGCUAGCCAUUGAUCCAUCAGUUUUUUCAACAUCAAGCAACCAAGGAACAAUAGUUGAUUCUGGGACAACUUUGGCAUACCUUGCAGAAGAUGCAUAUGAUCCUUUUGUCAAUGCUGUAAUUUUCUGUUUAAAAAAACUUUACUGUUUAACUGAUCUAUUUAACUUCUGGUGAUUCUUGAUCUCUACUUUUAGUUUUUAAAGUUUCAACCUGAAUUAAGUCUUUGGGGAAAAUUAAAGCUGGAUUGUUGUUUGAUUUUAAUAGAUGGCUAAGGAAGUGAAACAAAAGGUGAAUAACAUGUUAUUUUGUUUCUUUGCAGAUAACAAGCGCUGUCUCACAAUCUGUGACCCCUGUUACCUCCCAGGGAGAACAAUGCUACAUAGUCACAUCCAGGUUCACAUUUUGAAUAUUUUAUCUAAGUGGAUUCAACGUUUGAGGGCUGCUAAUAUUUCAUUUCAAUUGUAAUUCUUAAAGUGUGUUUUUCUCCAUUCAGCAUCACUGAUAUAUUUCCUCAAGUUAGCUUGAACUUUGCUGGUAAUGCAUCCAUGAUUCUGAGACCGGAGGACUACCUUUUGCAGCAGAAUUCUGUAGUGAGUUUAUUUUUCUGUACUUCUUAUUUAUUUCUUCCCUUGAUUUUCAAGUGUUGAAAGCUUGUGCAGAUGUUUUCAUUUAGUCCAAAAUUGUGAUAAACAACUUCUUUUGUUGUACAAUUUGCUUCUGUCUACUCUUUAAGCUAGUUUUGGCUUUCCGUAGACUGUCUUCUAUUUUUUUAAGUAAUUGAACUGGCAAUCACAAUUCAAGGUAGUGUACCUCUCCAAUCACAUAACCUAAUGCAAUUUCCCAAAUAUUUGUAAUCCUAAUGCGUAAAACAAAUGCCUCCAAGCCGAUUAGAAAGAAUGUAUGAUAAGAUUAAAGCAUGAAGCUAGCUAAACAUUUCAGCUACACCAUGUUAGUGUGGAAGAAACAAUAUGUUCCGGAUUCUGUCAACUUUUUUUUGGUUUCCUCCAAAAUAGACAGACUUUGACGUCUAAAUCAUUUUAAGCAGGACUAGCUUGCAUUAGGCUAUAGGAAUCUCUAAGAAUGUUCCAUCUACAGAAAUAUGGUACAUUUUCCAAUUACAGUAUGUUCUUAGAUAUCUCUUCCUUGGCUCUUUCUUUCUCUGCUUCUGUCCUUGGCUGCGGUUUCUGUUUCAAAGUUUCGCAAACUGCACAUCAUUCGAACAAGCUUUACCCUUCUCUAUGAAAUCAAGUUUUAUCCUAUAACUGUGUAACUGUUUUUUUAAAUUUAAAUCCUGCAUCUUGAACUGAAAUAGGGAAUUUUUUUCUUCUCUUUGUUCCAGAGUGGUGAUGAAGUUUGGUGCAUUGGCAUCCAGAAAAGUGACGGUCAAGAUAUAACUGUAUUGGGAGGUAUGAUAAAUAAAUUCAAAUAUAUUAGUUAAGUUUGUUCAAAUUUAUCAGUCAUCAUUUCUCAUAUCAAAUUCUUUUUAAUGGCUUACUCUAGUAGUUCAGAAGUUUCAACCUUUCCAAAUGUAGUACAUUUUCUUAUCUGUUUAUUUAGUUUUGUGUUUUGUUAUUGAGUUCUCUUUUCACUAAAAGAACAUUGACACAAUUGUCAUCCUCUUUCGCAGACCUCAUCCUGAAAGACAAAAUCAUUGUCUAUGAUUUGGCCAAUCAAAGGAUUGGUUGGACUCAAUAUGACUGUAAGUAGGGAUAUUAGUUAUUUCUUAUUCCAAGUUCAUCACUCAAUUCUCCGACCACGAAAAUUAUAUUCGAAAACUAUAAAAAAAGUAGAAAAAAAAAAAAAAAAAAAAAAAACAGGAGAAAAGCAAUGGAGUUUCUAUCCUGCAUUCUGAUUGUAUGUGUAUGAAUGUUUCUCUCAGGUUCAACAUCAGUCAGUGUCUCUACAAAUACUAGCAAAGGAACUGCAUCUGUUAAUGCAGGGUCCAUAAACGUUAGCAGUUCAGCGUGCAGCGAGCCUUUCAAGCUUGUACCGAUAAGCAUGGUGGCUUUCCUUGUUCACAUAUCAGUCAUUUACAUUUUCCCAUUCUUAUAGCACCGAUAGGCGUUUGGUCUACAUGACAGGAUUGUUUCUCAGGGAUGAGAUUAGCUCAUUGCACAUAUUGUGCAAUAGGUCUCUUACCAUUCUUUGUUUGACAAUACUUUGCAAGCGAUUCUGUAGUUUUUCAUAAGUUCAGCAAGAUCAUACAAGCAGUUUUACAGCAGUCUGGCAGUUUGUUUGUAGCUGCUCACUGUGGAGCAGAUUUGGUCUUUUUUUUAAUUUCUGUUUUUUGUUUUUUUGGUCAAAUUUUUAUUUUUUGUUUUUGGUUGGGACUAUUAUUUCUUAAUUUGAGGCACAUUGAGGUACAGAUUUCCUUAGCUUGAUUGGCAUUAUUGUAAAUGGCAUUGAUAAAAUUAUUCAUUUCAUACAUUAUACAUACCAAAUUUAGACUAACUAUAGCAUCUUCAUAGAAGUGUUAGAUUUUCUGUAUAUGUUCAUAAUCUUUCACACAUCCUGAAAUAUAUAAAAGACAUACCUGGCGUCAUCUUCCUUGAGGACGAUCUCUGGAUUCAUCAAAUUGCAGCAGUAGCAUCACGAGCAAAGUCACGAAUGACUUAAGACUUAUGCUCUCUCUCAGAAACUAUUUUAGCUAUCUCUUUAUGAUGAGAUUAGGGUUAGAUAACAUAUAGGGCUAGGUCAAGUCGUCUCUACUCAUCACCGGGGGCCAACUUGACUAACACUCUAAGCCCAUCAAGCAACGGUUCAUGCAAAAGGAAAUAAAUAUGACCCUUUCAAUUGGCUACUUUCUGGUCUAGCUAGUUUUUGCCUAAAUUGUUCUAGCACUAACUCUUUUUUGAUUACACUUUUUGUGCUUCCUGUAUCUAUCAUGGCUGUUGUUUUAAAUUUAUUUUCUUUUGACAAUUCUAACUCAAAAUUAAUUGUUAUUAAUGAACUAGUCUUUUGUUUUUCUAUACUAGGGCAAUUAUUCUUUUGAUUAUUGUUAUCUAUUUCAACUGUAUUUAUUUCUAUUGAUCUAUUAUUGAAACAAGGUUUAUAAUAAACUAUUGUCUUUGUGUAAUAUUUUUCUACCACUAUUUUCUUACAUUGAUUAUAUUUUUGAGGUCAUCCUAAAUUAACAUAUUUAAAUUCUUCAUGCUCUUUUUGUUCUUCAAACAUACACAUAUAUUCAUCUGAUUCACUAUCGGAAUUACUAGAGUAAUCUAAUUCUGAUUCUAAGUCUAAGGCAUUAACACUAUAAAUACUUUCAUUAUCAGUUAGGUUAUCAUCUAGACUAUAGAUUGAUUCUAAGUCCUCAUCAUCUUCUAAUUGAAAUUGCUCAAUUAACUGUAUUUUUUCUCUAGGUUAUUUUCCAAAUUUGGGACACUUAGGUCUAAUAUGUCUUACUUCACCACAAAGAUAACAUUUACAUGUACUUUACAUUUUCUAAUCCAUGGUUUAUUUUUUAUUUUCCUAAAUUGUUUAGGGAUAUAUUUUCUUCUUCUAAAAGUUUUUGAAUGUUGAAUUCUAAAAUGUUUUAUAUUGUUGUUUAUAAGGUCUAUAUUUUUUAUAACUUUUUCUGUAUGGCUUAUUCUGCCUAAAUUUUCUAUAACAUCCAUACUAUUUAGGUAAAUCUAUGUUUUUACAACUCAUGUAAAAUUGUUUUCUAAUUUGUCUUUUUGCUUUUAUUUGACUACAUUCUGAUCGUAAUAUAUCAUAUACAUGUUGUAUUCUUGCUCAUAUUGAUACAUCUAAUUUCCGAGGGUGUUUUUGUCAUUCAUUCCAAAUUCUUUCUCCUAUUGGUCCUUUAAUUUUUGUCAUAUAAGUAUCUAAUAAAUUAAGAUCAUCAAUUCUACCUGUUCUACCUAAAUACUUGAAAAAGUCUGAAGUAUAUUCACUAAUAUAUUGCAAAUCACAAAUUUGUAGUUAUUCUAAAUUUCUUGUAGCUCUAAUUUGUUCUUGUUCAUUUCUACCAUCUAAUCUAUUAUGAUUUAAAAAUUCAUAUUUAAUUAAUUUAACAAAAGCAUCUAUAUUAAACAUUUCUUUUGCUGCUUGAUGUUCUCUUGGAUUUUUAGUUUUUCAUGCUUGGAAAUAAUAAAAAAUCAUUCGUCUAAAGUAUGUUCAAAGUAAUCUAACAUGUCUUUAUUAUUACUAAAAUCUAACAUUAAUGCUGCAUGUACACAUCCUUUUUCCCAUCUUUCUAUAGUUUUUUUCCAAUCCUGUGGGUCUACAUGAACUAAAUUUAAUAUAUUUCUUGCUAAACUAAUUUGUUCAAUUCCUUUAUAACGGAUUUUAUUUUUUCUUAUUCCAAAUGCUUUUUGUUGAAAAGCAUUUCUACCAGUUUCUUCAUUAUUUUCUCUGUAUGGUUCAUUGGUUUGUCUAAGAUUUUGUUGAUCUGUUCUACUUGCAGGCGCUACAAAUGGUCCGGUUGAACUAUACUGAUCUUCUACUGGCAUGCAUUCUACUUCAAUUAACAUAUUUUGAUAUUCUUUUUCUCCUAAAAUAUGUUCUAAUCCUAUAUUUAAAAUUAAAUCUUCCAUUUCUUUAUCUGAUAAUCUAUGUAAUCCUAAAUCAUAAGUUCUAUAUUUUUAUAUAUAUUCUUUUUCAUCUAAAUUAUCUAUGUCAUCUAUGAGUUUAUCAACUAUAUUAUCAAAAUUAUGCUCAAUCAUAUUUAUUUCUAAAUUAUCAAAUGCCUUGUGUAUUUCUUCUUCUAAUUCACUCUCUAAGUCUUCUAUAUCAUUUAUUUGUUUAUAAUUAGUAAAUCUUACUACUGCUUCACCUAUACGAUUUUCAAAGAUUUGUGCUUUAUCAGGUUGUUUAUUUUUUGUUACUUGUAGGUUGGGUAAAAUUCAUUCUGUUCAUUCUAAAAAACUAUUAUCCACUGCUUUUGCCUCUAUCAUAUUAACAUGUUUACUAUCAAAAGUUUAUACUAAAAUUUGAAAUUCUACAUUAAAUUUGUAAUUAUAACUAUCUGAAAUUUUUCCUACAUACAUAAGACUGAUACUUAAAUUUUUAUAUUCUCCUUUCAUAUUAUAAUUUUUUGUCCUUAUGCUAAUUUUAAUAUGUUUACUAAAUUCUCUAAUAUUCAUGACAUAAUUAGGAAUACAUCUUAUGACUGCUAAGUUUGUGCUAAGAUCUAAUUAUGCUAUGGCUAUAGCUGCUUGCUGAUGGUUAUCCCAUCUGUCCUCAUAUAUAUAUAUAUAUAUACUAGUGCUUUAGUUCCUACUUAUGCUCUAGCGAAUCCAACUAUUCCUAUCAUAAUUGUUCCACUGUGAAUUUGUUGACGAUGUGAUUUUUUAAGGUGUUCUAUUGUUGUGUUACUAAGUAAAUUAAGAGUUACUUCUUUAUCUAUACAGCUUACUUCAUGUUGACUGAUGCUACUUACAAUACUAUGUCUAUUUUCAAAUCUUCCUAAUUGAUAUAAAUUAUAUUUAUUUUUCUGAGAUUUUUCUAAGAAAUUCUUGUGCUUCUUGUGGUAUAUAUCUUCUGUUCUAACUAUUUCUUUUCCUUUUCUUAUAAAGAGUUCCAUUUACUAUUAUCAAAUGGAUUUAUUCUACUUUUUCUUCUAUGAGGAUUAUUUCCUAAGGUUAAAUUUUCCAAUUUAUCAACUAAGUCUUUAGGUAAUGUAGAAGUAGUAUUAUGUACUGCUUGAUUAAUUUUUGUUAUUUGUUCUUUUAAUUGAUCUACUUUUUCAACUAAAAUUUAAAAUUAAUUGGAUAAUUAAAUUAUUUUGUCUAAUAGGGAUAUUAGUACUCACUACAGAUGUUGUAAAGUCUGUGAGACCUAUUGGUUCCUUAUCUAGUUGACUAACUUCUUCUAAUGCUUUUAUAUAUUUAUUAUUAAUUUUGGAAUAUGUCAUUAAACCAAAAGUCUAUCUAUUUUACUAUGUAACUUUUCUACUUGUUCAGUUAAUGUCUUUUGUACUAACUGUAUUUUUUGCACUUCCAAUUUUAAUUGUGCAAUAAUUUCUAAUGACUGGAGUUCUAUUUGUUUUGGUUUACUAUCUAUAAGAUCUAUGAGUUCUUUUAUUUCUUUCUUACUAGGAAAUCUUUGGAUAUUCCUAUUAUUAUCUUCUAAUUGGGAUGUUAUAUAGUCUAAGUUUUGUCUAAUUGUUUUUAAGGAAUUUUUCUAAAAAUAUUCUAGUAACUGUUGAAUUAUCCUAUUAUUUUUGUCAUGUUCAAAUUUUACACCCUCUGCUUGACUAAUUUAAAAGGUCAAUAAUACUAUUUUCUAAGGGACUGUUACUACUAUGUAAUACAUGUUUGUGUUCUUUUUGUGGAAAAAAACAAACUAAUGUAUUAUUAUCUCGAGUUAAUUUUUUCUUUUGUUGUUCACUAAUUUCUAAAUUGAGGUAUUCUAUUAUAAAAUUUAUCUAAGUCUACAUUUUUCUUUUAAGAUGCCUAAAUGCUCCUGGAAAGCUUCUAUGGAUUCUGUAUAUACUUCUAAAUGAUAUUGAUUUCUUGUUAUACUAUUAUGUACUUCUAAUUUUCUUCUAGGAUAAUUAUCUACUUCUGGUGAUUUUAUAAAUUCCUCUAAAUUGCUAAUUUCUUUUUGGUAUUCUGCUUUCUGUUUCUUUAAUUCUUGUAACCUUUUUUUUAUUCUAAUAGGUGUCCACCAAAGACCAAACAUGCAAAUGGUUUACUGUUCUUAACUGGUUUAACAAAAUUUUAACAUAUUGUAAAACGUUGGUUUUUAUCAGUUGUGUUAAUUGACUUCUGUCCUCAAGGUACUUUACUGGUAUAACUAUAUUAUUAAGGAGCUAAACUAGGGUUCUGAUACCAUUUUUGAAAAUGGGUCUUAGUCAAGGUUUUUACAAGCCAAAAUAAUAACCAGACACCAUGCCUAGAACAUAGAACUGUAAAGACACAAACUUAAAGGGCUAUGGAGCAGAACUCAGACACUACUACAAAAAGCGAAAAAGACGACCAGAAAAUAACGACGGUCUAAGUGAAAACCGUCGUGGUUUUUAAAAAGACGACGGUUCUAAAAACACCGUCGUGUAAUACCACCUUAGACAACUAAAAAUGGAGAUUCAAAUGGCUGUUCAAAAACAACGACGUACCUAAUUAAACAACCGACGUCUAUUUGAAACAGAUUUCCGCAGUGUAAAAUCAAAGCAAACAAAUAACGGCAGAAGUUAUGAAUAGACCGACGUAGAAAGUAAAGACGACGAUUUCAAUAAAAGUCGCCGUUUUUACUCAUAAAAUAACACGACGAGGUUUUCGUAUAAGACGCCGUAUAAUUACAAACAAAUCCACGGCUUUAAAAUACAAAAUAAUCUUAACAGAUGACACAGAUUUGCAAUCAGAGAGACAAUUUUUUGGAAGUUGAUCAACGUCGUUGCAAAUUUGCAAUCAGAGAGACAAUUUUGAACGACGGUUAUAUUAUACCUAACGACGUUUAAAAACAAAUCAACGUCGCUCAACAAAUAUAUUACGUCGUCUUAGUCUUACUUAAGACGACGAAAAACGACGACAGUAGUACAAAAACAGUCGUUGUUUUUAUAUUCUUAUUUUAGUUAAAUCUGUCGUGUUAGUUAAAAACGACGGCAUAACAAAAAACCGUCGUUUUGUUUCAAACUGAAUUAAUUUAAAAUUUCUUCAGGAAAGCAAAAUCUAUUUAUAAUUUCCUCGGGUUAGUAAUAUUGCGUCGUGUUAGUUUACAAAUUCUAGAACAUUAAUUUCCCUCAUUUUAAAUUUCCUCGGGAAAGAAAAAUCUAUUUAUCACGCUUUGUAAUUGAAAACUAAAACUGAAAGAAUUCUGGAAAAAAAACUCUAUUUAUAAUUUAAAAAUAAAAUCCACGUCGGUUGUAUUACACUUAACGACGUUUAACAAAAUAAUCUACGUCGGUAAUUAUAAAUCUACCGCCAUCUUAUAGAAUAAAUUUUUAAAACCAACGGCGGUCCUUACCAAAAAACCGCCGUUUAAAUUGUAAAAUCAACGUCGGUAUUACCGACGUAUAUACAGAACUCCACGUCGGUACAUUAAUAAUCCCGACGUCUUAAAUUAUCUACCAUGACGCGAGUUAUUACUUAUGUACUUUAAUUUUUGAGUUUACUACGACGGUACCUACAACACUACUGUCGUAUUUAUUUACCACGUCCGAAGUUAAAUUUACCGUCGUAUUUUGAUAUUCUUAUUUUAUUUGUAAGCAACUUUUCGUCUACUUGACUUACACAUUCGUUGUUUUUAUAUUCUUAUUUUAUUUAAAAAUUAAAAUCCACGUCGGUUAUAUUAAACCUAACGACGUUAAAUUAAAUGAUUCCACGUCGAACGAAAAAUAUUGCGUCGUGUUAGUUAAAAACGACGUAGUUAAAUGUAACCGCCGUAUUAUUUUUUUGAAAUGGUUUUAUAUAUAAGCAACUUUUCGACUUACACAUGCACUGUUUCCAAACCCGAUUAAAAAUUUCAAUCUCCCAGAGAAACCUUUUCGUCUUUUUUCCUUGUCAGAGCAUUGUCAGAGUUUCUCAUCGUCUUCCUCUCGUCUUCUUCGUCGUCUUUGAAUUUAAACAUCGAUCAUCUUCCUCUUGCUUUCAUUGCACGCAAAAGGUAAGCUUUCAUUUUCACUAUUUUGGUUACUGUUUUGCAUGCUCAUACGUUUUUUGUUUGAAAAAUCUUUUUACCUUUUUUCUGGCCAAAAUCAUUUUACUUCUUUCCAAGUUUGAUAAAAUAUACAGACAAAGAGGGAAAGUUUCCAACUUUGAAGACAACUACCUCAACUAAAUAAGACGACGGUAGACCACGACGGUUCGUCAGUUGUUCUAGCGUCGUCUGAAAAUUGACAAAGUUGUUUUUAAAAUAAUAGUCUUUUUUUAUAUGCUUGUUUAAUUGCAGGUUUGAUUUCUCUGAACAAUGGUUUUUGUUUUUCCCUUAUUUGAUAAAAUAUAAAGAAAAAGAAACUAGGGUUGGUAUCUAAUAUAGACGAAAAAUAUCUUAUUGUUUUACGUCGUGUGAAUGUUAAUACCACGACGGUGUAUUACUAUUGACGUCGUAUGGACAUAAAUACCACGACGUUAUAUAAAUAAUAGUUUUACCACGACGGUGUAUUACUAUUGACGUCGUGUGAACAUAUAUACCACGACGUUAUAUAAAUAAUGGUUUUAAACAUUUAUUACGUCUGAGAUUAUUUCAUUGCGUCGUCUAAAAUCAUAUCAUACGUCGUAUUUUUUUAAUACCGUCGUUUGUGUUCUUAAUGUUUUCCUGAAAUAUUUUCACUUGCAGUUUUGUCUGUUAAAAUGGUUUCUCAACAACAAACUAAGGAUUCUGGCUCCAAGAAGCUUGGAAUGGUAGCUCCUCAAGACAAGUCUUCGAAGGAGAUGAAGUCUUCGAAGAAGAUGAAGUUUGCUUCAUCAUCUGCUGAGACAGAACCAACCAGCCAGACAACAAUCUCUGAUGAUUCAAAGACUGGUCGAGGUAUGAGCACAAUGCCUCGUGUUGUGAAGAGAAAGCUUCAGAAACUGAGGCCAAUUGUUGAGUACAAUAAAAGGGGGAAAGGUGUUGGCCAAGCACAUAUUGAGAUGCAGUCGUAUAUUGGUGUCUUGGCACGCUCCAGGAUCCCACUUGUGGACAAGAAAUGGUCCCAAAUCCCCAAGGAUAUAAAGGAGCAGAUUUGGGAAGCAGUUGACAUGGCUUUUGUCGUAGGCCAAGGGGGCAAGACCUCUGUUUUAUCUUCUGCUGCCAAGAAAUGGAAGGAUUUCAAGUCUACACUAACGAGGCAUUAUAUCCUUCCAUACACCAAUGACAGGGAGAAAUUAAGCCAACCCCCUGAAACAUAUAAAUUCAUAGAGAAAGCACAAUGGGAUGCCUUUGUAGCUUCAAGGCUAUCCAAAGAUUUUGAGUCUGUGCAUUCUCAACAUGCACAGAUUAGGGAGAAACUCGAGUACAAUCAUCGAUUGUCUCGAAAAGGAUACGCUGGAUUGGAGGAUCAAUUGGAGGAAACCAUGCCUGGGGUAGAAAUUGAUCGAUCUACCUUAUGGAAGAGAGUUAGACAGGACAAACAUGGUAACAUCCCUGAUCCAAAGGUGGCAGAGAAAGCAAAAUUAAUUGUAAGCCUACUCACUCUGUUUUAAAUUUUUAUUAAACUGUGAAUUAUUCUUAUUACGUCGUAUGUUAUAUUUUUCGUCGUGUGAAUGAUAUUUCCACGUCGAAAAGUUUUUAAAAACGUCGUUAACGGUCUAAAUAGGAAUCACUACUCUGUUUUCUGUAAUUAUAGCAUAAGACGUCGGUGGUUCAUUUUCGCGUCGUGUGAAUGAUAUUACCACGUCGAAACGUUUUUAAAAACGUCGUUAACGGUCUAAAUAGGAAUCACUACUCUGUUUUCUUUAAUUAUAGCAUAAGACGUCGGUUGUUUAUUCAUUUCGUCGUUUUAAAUAAAUAACCACGUCGGUAUAACUACCGUCGUGAUAAGUUAUAAUAACGUCGGUUUAUACGUUAUUGCAUCGUGUGAAAUUAUAUAAUACGUCGUUUGUACAUAAAUAACCGUCGUGUGUUUUUUUGUUUAUCUUUGUUUUAGGAUGAAUUGCAGAAACAAGUCUCGGAAGGCAAAGUCAGAGUAGAUGGCAGCAAUGAUGUGCUGACCAUGGCUUUGGGCCCCGAGCAUCCAGGCAGGGUGAGGGGAGUUGGUGCUGGUGUUUCCCCAAGGCAAUAUUUCAAUUUGCCCAAACCACAGAGGGUGAGCUUUGACGACCGUUUGAAGGAGAGUUUAAGAGUUCUCCUUCAAGAAGAGACUAAAAAGAUGGAGGCUAAGGCAAGGGAAGAGGCCUUAAGGAUGGAGGCUAGGACAAAACAAUUGGUAGAGGCUGAGAGGGAGCAUUUCCUGAGUCAGCUUUCCCAAUUAAUUCCCAAUUUUGAUCCAAGCAUGCUUAAACCAAGAAUUAGCCAAAGCCCCAAAAAUCCAAUGUCUGACAAAGCUAGCUGCUCUGGAGGUGAUGUGAGAUCCCUACAUUUGGAGGAUGAUACUGCCAAAAUGGGGAAACAUCAGCCAAAUGAAGAGAAGGAAGAAGAAAAAAAAGAUGAAGAGAAGGAAGAAGAAAAGGAGAAAGAAGAUGAAGAAAAGCAUGACGACAAGGUAUGUUCACAUAACUUUGCCUUUUUUAUUUGUUUUUCAAAAUUUCAGACGUCGAUAUUUUUAUUUAAUCCGUCGUUUGUUUACAAUUUAGACGGCGGAAUUUUUUUAAGACGUAAUAAAAUAUUUAAACGACAGUUUUUUCACCGUCGUCUAAAUGGUUUCAGACGACGCUAUAUUCAUAAAACCGUCGUCUUUAUUGAAUUACCACGACAGUUUUUUCACCGUCGUUUAAAUACUUUUAAGACGACGUUUUAUUCCUUAAACCGUCGUCUUUAUUGAAUUACCACGUCAUUUUUUUUAUUUCUUUAAACAGGUUAUUGAAGUUGGUGAUUAUUCAAAUAUGGAGGCGCCAUCUUCUUUAAAAACCCUUUGUCGUUUUGCGGAAACGACACUCCUGCCUGAGGAUAAGACACUCCAAUUUACAAUUGAUAAGGAGGUGUUUGGUGGUGAGCGCAAUACCUUCCUCCUGCCUGAAGAUAUUACACAAUUUGCAGGCAUGGAAGAAAUUGGAGCUACUGUAUUGGCUGUAUAUAUGAGGUUUGUACUUCUAAAAUAAUACCUCGUUGGUUUAUAUAUUGCGUCGUCUUAACUAACUAACCACGUCGUCUUAACUAACUACCGUCGUGAUAAAUAUAUUAUAACGUCCUCAUCUAUUUCAAUACGUCGUGUGAAAUAUUAUAAUACGUCGUUUUUUUAUACAUAACCGUCGUGUUUUUUUGUGCUGACUUGUUUAUAUUAUUUUAUGUAUUUAGGUACUUACACGAUGUUUUGAAACAAGCCAAUAUGUGCAGCAUGGUUGGCUUUAUUGACCCUGCUACAGUUAGUGCCAACUCUGGCACAAUAACUGAAAGAUCACGACUGGUAGCAGCUCGACUUCAGAAGACAGACGGUGAACAGAUUUUCAUGAUGCCUUACAAUCCAGGGUUAGUCUCCUUAGGAUUUUGUUUUUAUGAUUUUCAAUAAAUGACAGCUUAUAAACUAACCACGUCGGUGUUUUAUUUUAUUUAGUCGUUUGAAACUACUAACCACGUCGGUAUUUAUUUAUCGUCGUGAUAAAUAUAUAAUGUCGUCGUUAUCUACUUUAUUUCGUCGUGUGAAAUACUAUAAUACGUCGUUUUUGUAAAUAACCGUCGUUUUUAUAUUAAUUUUGUGCAGCCGUCAUUGGAUCUUGCUGAUUGUAAGUGCAAAGAAGGAGACCGUCUAUUUUCUGGAUCCUCUGCCAGGUCAUCGUGUGGUCGACGAAGAGGCGAAAAACAUCGUGAACAGUGCUUUAAAAAUAUAUAAUACCCACAUAGCCCGAGCAGGACGUAAAAAUGUAAUUUGGAAAACUCUCUCAGGCACACCAAAGCAACCCAGCAAUGUCGAAUGCGGGUAUUAUGUGAUGCGCUUCAUGAGGGACAUCAUCAUGGAUCCUUCCUUGGGGUUUGAGAAUAAGGUAAGAAGAAAUUACCUUCAUACAUUUCACGUCGUUUUUUGUAUUAUCAACGACGGUCAUGUAAAAUUAACGUCGUUGAAUGGAUAUACUACGUCGGUUAUGAAAAAUAUCGUCGUCUGUGAUUGAAUUUCUUUUUAUUUAUAAACCCUAAUAGUCAUUGUUUAUGCAGUAUGCCAAGGGAAACCAGGAAGCUUCAUACCCCCAAGAAGCCAUUGAUGAAGUCCGGAAUGAAUGGGCAGAGUUUGUUUUCCAAAUUAUUAAACAGGGCAAUUAUUGAACACUUGAUAUUUAUGUAUAAUGUACAAAUUUUCUCUAUAAUAUGUAAUGUAAAAAUUUGUUGAGGUUUUCUUAAAUUAAAAAAAAAACAAACAUACAAAUUGCUUAACCGACGUGUAAUACUUUUCCAACGACCUAAUAAAGUCAAAAACCGUCGUAUUUUGUUGUUUCGUGUUUUAAACAAAUACGACGUAAAAAUAUAGUUAGACGACGUUCUUUGAACAAUUGAGUCGUUUAUGGUUUACAACAUCUUCAAUUUCUUAAGGUUCAGGGUAUCAUCGACGACGUUUAUGUAACGACAGCGGUUAAGUCGUGGAAUAUAUAGUUUACGUCGUAUAGUUAAAUAGCCGCCAUGGUUUCUCAUUUUAACGACUUAGUAGUCUAUUACAAUUUACAACGUCUACAAUUUAUUUAAUACCGACGUGGUUUGUUGUUGUGGUAAGAAUAUUUUAUUAUUUUUAUAUCAAAAUAUUCAAAAUAAAUAUAAAAUAAAUCAGAAAAUUGAAAAGUCAACUCCUAUGAAGUCAUUGAUAUAUUUUCUUCCACAUAAACCUUGAAAAAAUUCAUUUUGAAUAACAAAAAUUUAAAAUGACCAUCCAAAAUAAAAUUGUUUUGAUGAGUCAUAAAAUCACUUCUAGUUUUAUGGUUUAGGGUUUAGAGUCUAGGGUUUAGAGAUUAGGGUUGUUAUUUAUUGGGGUUUAUUUUUAAAGUAUAAUUUUUGGGUAGUCUAGGUUAUAUGUUAGGCUUUAAAACCAUAAAACCUUUUAUAAACUUAAUUUUUUAAAUUGUAUAAUUUAGUUUUAUGGGUUUAGGGUAUUAAUUUUUAACGACGGUGGUUGGGUCGUGGAAUACAUAUUUUACGUCGUACAGUAAAACAUACGACAUGGUUUACGCUUUAAACGACGUCAUUUUAAUAUGUAAGUCGGUUUAUAUAAUUUACAACGUCUUUAAUUUCUUAACACCGACGUGGUUUUUCAGUCGUCGUUAUAUAAAAAUUUCAAAAUAAAUUUAAAAUUAAUCCGAAAAAUGAACGGCCUUACGUUCUUUAUCCGAAAAAUGAAGUUUCCGUCGUGGAAGAUUAAAUUUACGUCGGUACUUGUAGAACUUUCGCCUUGGUUUUUCUUUCGACGUUUUAAAACGCGCGCGCUCUAAAAAUUUUCGCGCGACCUAAAUUUUUUUAGAUUUGGCUCUUAUUCUUAUACUUCGAUCCCUGAAAUCUAAAAUUUCAGAUUUCGCGCGACAUAACAUUUCGCUCUCUCACUUCUGCUCUAAUUAAAAGUUGCACUCUCCAGGCUCCGUCGAAUCUGUGAGCUCGUCCAACCUGUAAGUACAAACCCUAUCUUCCCCUUGUAAAUUCAUUGAAUGAUAUUAGGUUGUUUUGUUAAAGGGUUUUAUGUGUAUGCUUUGCAAUCUGUUAAUAACGUGCUUAUAGGUAUGGGUUCAUGGAUUUUCUGUUUAAUGGGUUCAUGGAUUACAUUAUCUGUUAUGUUGAAUUGGGAAUGGAUUUAUUGUUUUCAUGCUUGGUUUCAUGUAUAUGUUGGUUUCUUGCUUGGUUUCAUAUAUAUGUUGUGUUCUUAAUGGGUUUUGUGUUCUUGAAAAUAAACUGAGCCACGACGAAUUUUAAGGCAUACGACGACGAUUACACGACGGUUUUUUUAAACUACCGUCGUUGUAUUACUUAUACACGACGGUUUUUUCAUAAACCGUCGUUUGUAUUACUUAUAAUAGACGACGUCUGUUGAAAAUCCGUCGUCUAUAUAUGCCAAAUACGUCUGUUUUUGUUUAAAACCCGUCGUCUCUGUUGUGUAUUACUUGCGAUUAGAUCAUUGUAUAAUCUGCUAUAGUGAUGGUCAUUGCCUGUAUUUUCACUUUAUUAUAGAUAAUAGGUUAUAGUGUCGGAGAUGGAUAAGUCAUGGAUGCACUCGGAUAGAAGAUCGAAGGCAUAUGAAUUUGGGGUGGAAGCAUUUUUGAACUUUGCUGUAGAAAAUCUUCUAACUACAACACAUAUCCGUUGUCCAUGUGUUAAAUGUGUUAAUUUGAAGUUGUUUGGGGUUGGAAUUAUAAGGGAUCACUUAUACUUUAAUGGAAUUGACCAAAGCUAUAAGAAUUGGACAUUUCACGGAGAACCUUGGGAAGCAACUACUAAUGCUAGUAGAAAUGUUGAAGAAGAUGAUGGCCAUAGUAGGUACAGUUUUGUGUCUGAAGAAAUUGAUAUGGAUGAUAAUGAUUUUGGUGAUUUUGGUUCGGAUCCGUAUGAGUUUGCCAAUGUGAUUGGGGAUGGAGAUCAACCAGUGUACCCUGGUUGUAGAAAGUACACGAAGUUAUCGGCAUUAGUGAAGUUGUAUAAUUUGAAGGCAAAACAUGGGAUGAGUGAUGUCUGUUUUACAGAAUUAUUGAUACUUCAAGGCGAUUUGCUUCCAGAAGGAAAUACAAUACCAACCUCCAUGUAUGAGGCUAAAAAGACUUUGUGUGCAUUGGGGCUGAGUUAUGAGAAAAUGCACGCAUGCCCCAAUGAUUGCAUCUUGUAUAGGAAGGAGUAUGAGGAUUCAACUAAUUGUCCUACUUGUGGUAUCUCAAGGUGGAAGGAAGGCAAAGAUUCAAUCUUGAAAAAGGGUGUGCCAGCGAAGGUGGUGUGGUAUUUUCCCCCAAUUCCAAGGUUUAAAAGGAUGUUUCAAUCACAUGAGACAGCUAAGAGUUUGACUUGGUGGCAUGCUGCUAGAAAAUCAAUUGACGGUCAGAUGUCUCAUCCGGCGGAUUCCCCGUCUUGGAAACUUCUUGAUGAUAAAUGGCCUGAGUUUGGUAAUGAGCCGAGAAACUUGAGAUUGGCUCUUUCAUCUGAUGGAUUCAAUCCCCACAGUUCUCUAAGUAGCAGAUAUAGUUGUUGGCCGGUUAUCUUAGUUACAUAUAAUCUCCCUCCAUGGCUGUGCAUGAAACGAAAGUUCAUGAUGUUAACCUUAUUGAUUUCCGGUCCUAAACAACCCGGAAAUGAUAUAGACGUCUACUUGGAGCCUUUGAUUGAUGAUUUAAAAUCCUUGUGGGUUGGGAUUAGAGGAGUGUAUGAUGCACAUAAUGGAGAAUACUUUACACUCAGAGCUGCAUUAAUGUGGACAAUUAAUGAUUUCCCCGCCUAUGGAAACUUAUCUGGUUGUGUUGUUAAAGGAUAUAAAGCUUGUCCAAUAUGCGGCGAUGAUACACCUAGUCACAGGUUGAAAAAUGGCCACAAAAUUUGUUACAUUGGGCAUAGAAAAUGGUUACCAAUCAAUCAUCCAUAUAGGAGGCAACGUGCAGCUUUUAAUGGGAAACCUGAAUAUGGCAUACCUCCAGAGCCAUUAACCGGAGAAGAAGUGCUGCAUAUGGUUGAAAAUGGUGACAGAGUUUGUUGGAAGAAGAAAUCAAUAUUCUUUGAUCUCGAGUAUUGGAAAUACCUUCCUGUGAGGCAUGCCCUAGAUGUUAUGCACAUUGAGAAGAAUGUUUGCGAUAGUAUCAUUGGUACAUUGCUGGAGAUCCCUGGAAAAAAUAAAGAUGGGAUUGCUGCUCGAUUAGAUUUAUUGAACAUGGGGGUCAAAACUGAUUUGCAACCCGAGUAUGGAGAAAGACGUACUCGUUUGCCUCCUGGGCCUUGGAAUUUGUCAAGAGCAGAGAAGAGAGAGGUUUGCAAUUCUUUCUAUGGUAUGAAGGUCCCUGAAGGUUAUUCUUCAAAUAUUAAAAAUCUUGUAUCUUUACAAGAUUCAAGACUUCUUGGCCUUAAAUCACAUGAUUGUCAUACCUUAAUGCAACAAUUGCUCCCUGUGGCAAUUCGUUCUGUUUUGGAGAAGCCUGCAAGGUAUGCAAUAACUCGUUUGUGCUUCUUCUUCAAUGCUAUAUGUGCAAAGACUGUUGAUGUUUCCAAGCUAGAUAAGUUGGAAGAAGAUGUAGUAGUUACUCUGUGUUUGCUUGAGAAGUACUUUCCCCCUUCAUUCUUUGAUAUCAUGGUUCAUCUAGUAGUACAUCUUGUCAGAGAAGUUCGUCUAUGUGGGCCAGUAUAUUUUAGGUGGAUGUAUCCGUUUGAAAGAUAUAUGAAAGUGCUGAAGGGGUAUGUUCAGAAUCGUACUCGUCCCGAAGGUUGCAUUGCUGAGCGGUAUAUAGCUGAAGAAGCGGUAGAGUUUUGUACUCAGCAUUUAUCUGAUGCUAGUACAGUUGGAGUGCCUUCAAGCCAAAAGAUGGGACUUUCAAAGCCUUUAUCAGGUUGCACAGUGAGCGUAGUUGAUCAGGACCUGUUGAAUCAAGCACAUCUAUAUGUCUUGGAGAAUACGGAGGAAGUCCUACCUUAUAUCGAGUACGUAUGAGUUUUAUUCUUUAAGUUUCCAUUUAAAAUUAUUUCUUAUGUUUAUCUUAUAUAUUUGGGACCGUAAUGCUUGAAUUUUUCGUGUCAUGUAGGCAACAUAUGAUCCACAUCAAGACUGCUUAUCCAAAAUUUAGAAAGAGAACAAAGUGGCUGCAGGAUAAGCACAAUAGCACUUUCAUUCAAUGGCUACGCUUCAAGGUAUAUGUUGUUGAAUAACAUAUUUCUCUUUUAAUUUUCUUCUUAUUUAUAUGUUAGAUUGAAUUAAGAUAUGAUUAAUUUGCAGGUUCAAAGUGAACUUGAGGAAGACAAUCAUGGCGUAUCAGAAAAUUUAAGGUGGCUAGUAGCUGGUCCAAACAUGUCAGUGCCAUUAUAUAGGAGCUAUCUUAUUAAAGGUAUUAAAUUCAAUAUCAAGGCACAAGAUGAUGUGCGGACAACUCAAAAUAGUGGAGUUUAUUUACUUGCACAUACCAUGCAAGUUGCUAGUGCCAAGGAUAAAAACCCAAUUCUCUCAAAUAUGGGUUUCUAUGGUGUCAUUCAAGAAAUUUGGGACCUUGACUACCAAAAGUUUACAAUCCCAGUCUUUAGGUGUGAUUGGAUAGAUAGUUCUGGUCUUGUAGUCGACGAACUUGGAUUUACCCUUGUAGAUUUGAGUAAAAUUGGACAUAGGAAUGACCAAUUUGUUUUGGCUUCUCAAGUCAAACAAAUAUUUUUUGUUGACGACCCGAUGCAUCGUGGUUGGUCGGUAGUGUUAUCAAUGCCUAAUAGAGAAUAUAAUGAUGUUAUUGGUGAUGAAGUAUUAGGUGAUGUGAUAAUUGAGUGUGAGCCAUUUACUAGAGGGAUGCCAAAUGUUGACACAUUUGAUGAACUGGUAGGUGAGUUAGGCGGUCAAAAUAUUCGAGAUGGGUGUGAAGAUAUAUGGAUUGAAUGAUGCUUAUGUAAUUGGCAGUGUAUGACAUUAAUUUUGUAAUAUAUUGUAAUGUGAUUUCUUCACUUUCUACGUUCAAAUAAAACACGACGUUAUUGUGAAUCAGUUAUUCAGCAUAUUUACCGACGUCUUAAAGCAACGUAACAAUGAAGAACCACGACGCUAUUGUGAAGCAAUUAUUCAGGAUAUCACGUCGGUGAAGGAUUAAGAACCGCCAUGUAAUUCAAAAUAACACGACUCAAAUCCCAUAAUACCGACGUCUAAAAAACGAGAUAUAUAAUCUGAACGUUAAAAAAUACGACGUCAUCAUACAUUUUCCACGUCGCAAGUUCUUUUAUAAACGAAGAGAAACGAAAUGAAUUCCGACGGAAAUUCAUUAUAACCGCCGUCUAAUAACAAUUAAACGACGUUAUUUGUAAUACGGCUCCCAUCAUAAUCUACGCCGUCUAUAUGUUCUGUAAUACGGCUCUCAUUUAUUUGGAACCGACGUUGUUUAGAAGUUCAACGGCGUCUAUAUUAUUAAGUGCGUCGUGAGUAAUGAAUACAUAUAAAUACAACGUCGACUAUAUAAAUGUAUACGUCGUAAAUAAUGACACUGACAACUAUUUCCACGUCAUCUUUUGUAGAAAAAUCGAAGUGGAAAAUUUAUUUCACGACGGUUUUUUGUAAAUAAGAGACGUAGUAGAUUUCAAUAACGUCGUCUUCUCAUGUAUUUAAAGACGUCAUAUUUUUUCUUGUCGUGUAAAUUAUAUUUAACGGCGUAGUAUUUUAGUUGUAGUCGUUGUAUGUAUAUCUUGCGGCCUUGUUCUUUUAAUAUGUGUCAUAUUUUUCCUUUUUAACGACGGUGAUUUUUGUUGAGUUGGUCGUCUAUUCUCAUCCUCGACUUUUUAACACGUCUGUUUUUAUUUUUUCCGACGUUGUUUUAUUUAACAACGUCUAAUAUUUAUCGUCGUUGUUUGUUUCUGAAAAUAGGACGUAUAAAUUUUUUAAUACGACUCUCAUAUAUUUGUAACCGACGUUGUUUAUUUUUUCAACGUCUACUCUAUAAACACCGACGUCGUAAAUAAUGACACUGACAACUAUUUCCACGUCAUCUUUUAUCGAAAAAUCGAAGUGGAAAAUUAAUUUUACAACGAUUGUUUUUAUAUAUGCGACGUAGUAGGUAUCAAUAACGUCGUCUUCUAAUGUAUUUAAAGACGUCAUAUUUUUUAUUGUCGUGAAAAUGAUAUUUAACGUCCUCUUAUUUUAAUUUUCGUCGUUGUAUGUCUAUCUUGCGGCCUUGUUCUGUUAAUAUGUGUCAUAUUUUUCCUUUUUAACGACGGUUUGUUUAGAGAGUUGGUCGUCUAUUCUCAUCCUCGACUGCUUUUUUAGAUCUUUUUGCAGUACAAAAGACGUCGUUUUGUAUUUGUUGAUGACGUUGUAUAUUUUAACAACGACGGUUAUGUAGCGUCGUGGUUUAUGAGGGAAAAGAUGACGGUGGAUUCCACGACCAUUGAAAAACCCAAUACACGACGGUGAUUUACCGUCGUCUUUUUGCUUUUUUGUAGUAGUGAGAGGUCCUCUGAACUCAAAGGUUCCCUGACAGAAAUCCAAUUAUUGUUAUGGAAAAUAUCAAACAUGACCAAGUGCUCAAACAAAGUAUUGAUCGUUAGUUUAGCAAAAUAAUAACAUAAUUAUGAAAAGUGUUUUCCUGUAUUGGACAAGAAGUUUACUAAAAAAACCAAAAAUAAAAGAGAAAAAGACUUACUUAAUUGCUUAUGUUGCUGGAACUACUGUUAUCACCGGGUAUUAACAGUGGUCAGAGAUAUUAACAGUGAUUGACGGUAUUGACAGUAUUAACAGUGGUCGGAGUAAGUAAGUAUAAUAAGUGAAUAAGAGAAAGUAUAUUAACAAAGGGAGUUUUAUUUAUUGAAACUGAAGGAGGAAGUAAUGAGAUUUUUUCUUCUCUAGUAUUGUACUUCUUUCUUCGGAGUUACAAACUAUAUACACCAUUUUCAUCGACUUCUACCAUUGCUAAGGAUGAGACGAAAAGUUGUUCUCUAUCUGAUACUCUCUCUCUCUCUCUCUCUCUCUCUCUCUCUCUCUCUCUCUCUCUCUCUGAUACAAAACAUUAUAUCUGGCAUUGUCGCUUCGUAGUAAUAACAGUCGGACAUAUGCAAAGUGACAAAGUCUUCACAUGGCCUGCUUGCUUGAAAGACAAAAUCUUCACAUUCUGAUGGCGGAUGAAAGGGCUGUAGGACUUGCAUGUCUCGAAAGCUAAAGAUAAUGGGCUCUUUCGUCAUUUUGAAAAGUUUUUGGGUGUUUUUGAGAGCUGGCUGCUUAUGUUGGGUUUUUUGCUAAAUUUUGAUUUAUACUUUUGUUUUAAUAAUUAAAGCUAAAACAGAAAGAAUAUAAAAAACGUAUAUUAAUUUUGAAAAAAAAACUGAUUGGCGCGCAUGUGAGAGUGUUAAGGUCUAUUUUGCUCCAACCCUAAUCUCCUCAAAACAAAUCAACAUCGUUAAAAUUAAAACUUCCACUCUCUCUCCCCCUCUCUAACUUGUUAUUGGAAAAUUUAAAUUCCAGUAGAAAUCCAGGCUCCCUAAACCUAAAAAUCUGAUUCCUUUCCAAUAGCACGAACAUUCAGAUUCCACCUCUAUUCUGUUGUAUUGCUUCUGCUUCCGCCAUGAGAGCAGAUUGACUAAAGCCCUCCCUGCCUUCAACAGCAAACCAGCAUGGUUUCUGACCACCCAACCUGCCCCACCUUUUGAUGUUGAUGUUUCCCCAGACUCUAUUUUUUUGACAAGUGCCUGUUGGUUCAUUGGGGCAAAACGUCGAACAUUUGGGGGGCAAUGCUUGCCUAGACUUCCAGCAGUCCGGGGCUCAAGAAAUUUGGCUCAGGCGGCGGUUUAUGGCGUUGGGGGUCACUUGACCACCUUGCUUUGACGACUUGGCUGACUGCUUAUUGCCGAAAUAUCCUAAGGACAGAGCAGAGCAGAAUUGGGGGUUCUGAUUCAAAAGUAAUUUAACUUUGCCCUCAUUCCUCCUUAUUCUUUUGUUUCUUUUUCCUCUACUUUGCUUCAGCUAUUGAAUAAUUAAUACCCACUUCGAUUUUUGAUAUCUUCAGGGUUAGCUUGAAUAAGAUUAUAGUAUUAAUUCCUGGUUAUGUUGAAGCAUUGAUUGUCGUAGCAUUAUAGGGUUCACUGGGAUUUCCUAUUUACUACUUAGUUCAUUGGUUGAUGAACUUCAUAAUUUACCCUCAGUGCUUUGACGGACCCAGGAUCCGAACGUCGUAGGGUCAUAGUGUAAAUAUUCCAAAGAAAAUUUAAGAAUGGGUUAUUUUUCUUAUCUAUUUUUUCUCUUCCAAAUUUUAUUCAUUUCUUGGACAAAUAUACUGUGAAUGAUUUCGAUUGGUCAUUUUUUUAUGUAUGUUUUUGAGUAAUUUCAAUUCGUAAAAUUUCAAGCCAAAAUUUUAUUGUUUAGACUUUUUUGAAUAUUGGUUUUAGCACUGUUAGAAAAACAAGCCAAAAUUUUAUUGGGUCAGAUAUUUUGCCUGCACAUCUAGUUCCAAUCUGUUGGUUAUUGCAUUUUGUUCUAAUUACAAUGAAGAAAAACAAGUUUUUAUUUUUUUUUUGUAUUUUUUUUGUGUGUGUGUGUGUGGAGAAAUUCUUAAGUGUUAAAUAGUGGUGAUAAAAUCAUGUUGUGGUCAUCCUUAGAUAAAAUUACAAGUAAAGCUCAGCAUUCAUGGAUUCUAAUUUCUAAGCCAGUCAUUGAAAUUUGGGAGGAAGAAAUAAUAAUAAAUGGAACAAAGUUGAUUGACUGAUUCCAACAACAAAAUAGGUUAAAAAAGAUUAAAAAGAAAACGCACCAAGUAGGGAAUGGAGGAGGGAUACGGAAGGGUUUUUUAUUUAAAAAAUUUUCCUAGGCCAAAACGACGUCGUUUUGCCUAGGGUGUUUUAAAAAAAACAUAAACGCGCUGCUUCUUCUUCCUCCUCUGCGCAGCUUCCUCCCUCUUCCUCUCAGGCAAAAUAUCAAGCACUUGGAAGGCAGUUCAAGGGGUCACACAGCCAGCUCAAGUGGACUUCCAAGCCUAUUUCCAUGGCUUCCAUGGGGUCGUUUGACCCCAGUGACCCCACUGUGGGUCCGUCUAUUUAGGUUUAUAGUUUGAGACUAUUUCCCAAAAGAAGAAAAAAAAGGUUUUCAAGUGAAUGUGAAUGAGGAUCCUAGUUUAAUAUACAGCCUCAGCACCCAAGAGUUAAAUCUCUUUUCUCUUCAUGAAUGAUUAGAAGUUAUUGUUGCAGGGGAAAGCUCCAGUGUUCGUGUGUUGCCAAUGAAGUUUGUAAGUUUCUUUGUCAAUAUUUACAUACAUAUGGAUUAUUCAUAUAUAAAUAUUAAAAAAAAAAUUGUGGGGAUUAUUUUUUGUACGUUAUUUUUAUGAUUCUGUUUUUUGUUUUGUUUUUGCAGUCCUGCUUGAGCAAAGGUGGUGGUUACCAUUUCCCACCAUGUCACAUACUCAACAUAUGUGGUUUUAGCAUUUUAUUGGAUUGCCCAUUAGACCUUUCAGCUCUUACAAUCUUCUCCCCUAUUCCUACUAGUUCAAAAGCUAGUUCCUUCGAUGAAGAGAAUCCCAGUUGCCCAAACCGUAGUGAGUCUUCAGAUUUGGAGGAGCCUAUGGUUCGGAAGAGACAAAAAGUCGAAAAGCCCCUGGAUGCUGAUGAUUUAAUUUAUGCAGAGCCUUGGUACAAAACUGUCAAGAACUUGCACCUGUGGAAUGUCUCUUUUAUUGAUGUGGUAUUGAUAUCAAGUCCAACGGGUAUGCUAGGAUUACCAUUUCUUACUCGAAUGAAGGGUUUUUCUGCUAAGGUAAAUACAUUAAGGAAUUAGUUGUUAACUUUGAUUUCUGACGUUUCUGCCAAAUUGAAUCUGGUUUUAGUAGUUUUUUUUUGUGCUUAAAAUGUGUCAGAUAUAUGUGACUGAAGCAGCAGCAAGACUUGGACAGCUUAUGAUGGAGGAUCUUGUUUCAAUGCAUCUGGAAAUCAGGCAGUUUUUUGGACCUGAGGAGUCGUCUUUUCCCCAGUGGAUGAAGUGGGAAGACCUUACGCUUCUUCCGUCUUCAUUGAAAAAUGUAGCUUUAGGCAAAGAUGGGGGAGAACUGGGUGGUUGGCUUUCCUUGUACAGGUAAAUUAAUAUUCCACCCAAAUAGUUAAUGUUGUUUGUUUCAUGAUUAGAUUUUCUUGACCAAAAAAGAAGAAGAUUUUCUUGGUGGAAUAUGCCAACUGCCAGAAAGUUGUAUCUAAUUAAAGAGUCUUGUUACGCAUGCUGUUGCACUUGGACAUGUUUCCUCUAGAUAGAUAACCUCUAUAUAAAUUGAUGAUCUGGAAUUGCUGUCAUCAUCAGCUUCUCCAUUGGCAGGUGAUGUAGAAGAAGCUAAAUUUCUUUGACAUUUUCCUAACUUUGAAUCAAUGAAAUUUCCUUAGGGUGUUGGUCAAGGAAAUGUUCUCUUGUCAGACAGUCUGACAUGUUAUGUUACUAGACUUCAGUCUGAGCUAUUUUUCAGGUGGUUAGUAGGAUGUGGUUCAAAUUGACAUAUCUGGAUGUAACACUGUCUGACUAAUAUACUUGGUUGUUUUUUACCCCUCAUAUUGUCUGAAAUAUCUAUGUAGCAAGUUUCUCUAUAUGAGAAUGUAAUAGAGAUUGCUUCUACUUCUCAGUGCAGCUGAUGUGAAGGAUUGCAUGCAGAAGGUUCUGAGACUUAAAUAUGCAGAGGAAAUCUGCUACAACAGCACAUUGAUCAUAAAGGCAUUCAGUUCGGGUUUAGAAAUAGGCUCUUGUAAUUGGACAAUAAAUGGUCCCAAGGGAGGCGUUGGCUUUAUUUCAAGUUCCAUCUUUGAUUCUGCUCAUGCAAUGAAUUUUGAUUACAAUGCUCUUCGAGGGAAUGAUAUAAUAAUAUAUUCAGAUUUCUCAUUCUCGGAUGGUACAGAAGAUGUUGAGAGUGGCUAUGAUAACUCCAUUCCAACUACUUGCAAUCGGUCAUCUCUCAGGUAUUACGCUUACAUAGCAUUUGCCAUCUUUAUUUAUUUAUUUAUGAGGUUUGAUAAAUUUUCCAGAUUUGUUCUUUAUUGGUAUAAAGGUUUUAACUUUUCUAAGUCAAUAUCCUCAAAAUGUGAAAAUCAAAGCUUUAAACUAUUGGAAUUGAUGCGUGCAGAAAUUAUGAAAAUGAUUGUCAAGAGUUGGCCAAGUCCUUACUUAAUGUUGAUGAGGGUUUGGAGGAAAGGGACAAGCUAGCUUUUAUAUGCUCCUGUGUCAUUGAUUCCGUAAAAGCUGGAGGUUCAGUCCUUAUUCCCAUUAGUCGACUUGGAAUUGUUCUGCUGCUGUUAGAACAGAUAUCAACUUCACUAGAUGUUUCAACUUUGAAGGUAUCUAUAAUUUUUUUUUGUCUUUUGCUUACUUGCUUCAGUGUUUUAAGUCCUACCAGAAGUAUCAAAAUUAACUAAUUGUAUUUCUCUAGAAGAUGAUGCUUAACAGGAGUUCUAUAAAAUUUUAGAGGUUAUUAGUUACAUGCUGAGACAUAAUAGUCUUCAAUACAGAAAUGUGGCAAAGUGUUACUUUUAUGGCAUAUAAUGGAGCAUAUGUGGAAUUCUCGUCUUGUUUCAGGUUCCUAUGUAUAUUAUUUCUUCUCUAGCUGAAGAAUUCUUGGCUUUCUCCAACAUCAUACCUGAAUGGCUAUGCAAACAGCGGCAAGAAAAGGUAAAAAUAUUGAGCUUAUUAUUCAUCACAUUGUGCUUGGAGAUUUCAUUUAAUUGUUAGAAUUGCCAACUUAAGACAUUGCAGUCACUCUUUUUUAAUUGGUCUUGCAGCUUUUUUCUGGUGAGCCAUUGUUUGCACAUGCCAAGCUUGUAAAUGAGAAGAAGCUUCACGUGUUUCCGGCAGUUCAUUCACCUAAAUUAUUGUGAGUUCCACAUUUGUCCUUAUUUUAGAAUAUUUCUUCAUGGUCACUGUUGUGGAGUCAAUGUUCAGAACUUAUAUGUUAGGGGGUUACAGGAGUUACCAUAGUUAAGGGUUUUCAAUGACAAUACAUUAAUGUUUUAGCUAUUAUGUUGUUAUUAGCCUUUAUUAGGAUAUAAUGGGUUUUCCGUUUCAUUAUAACCACUAGGAAGAUAUCUUAAUAGUUUGUGUAUAAAUAUUGGUUGUAAUAUCUCAAAUAUUAUAAUUGAAUAUACAAUUUUUACACAUUGCCAACAUUGAGAGUCGUUGGCGCUCCUCAUUCCUCACCCUUAAGGGUGUUUGUUUAUGUAUAGUGCUUUUUCAUCUCCUCUUCUCAAAGAUGAAUAUGUUUUUUUUCUUUCCACCUUAGCUGUAGCCGCACUUUUCUUUUACCACUGCAACCUUUUCUUCUAUUAACCAGUUAUUUUUGUCUCCAUCACGCCGUCUUCAUUGCGGAUUGUCUCCUCACUGGCCUUUAUCUCUCUCUCAUGUUGUGCUAUCCUGCAUUGUUGUUCUCUUGCACAGCCACUGCCUAUCCCUCUUGAGCUUUUUGUUCUCAUAAGCUCCCUUUUUUUGUCCACUUCUUUGUCUCAUAAGCUUUUUGAACUUUUCCUUGCCCUCUUGGUUUCUCUCUUUCUCUUGAAAUCUCUGUCCCCUUCUUUGUCUCUCGCGCCGUCUCUCUUGCCGAGCUGUCUCUCUUCCCUCUGCGAGCCUUGUCAAUGCUCGCCGAGCCUUAUCCUAGUAUGCAAUUGUGGUUUCUUUCUCUCAUGUAUUUCUGAUGGUUUCUCUAUUGUGGUUUCCAUACUUUCCCCUUGUUUGUUGAUGCUGCCUGUCAUCGCUCACCGAGCUGUCUCUCUUUCCUCCGUGAGCCUCGUCAACGCUCGUCGAGCCUUCUCUGUCGUGCUACACUGCCGCAGCCACUGUUUCUUCCUCUGUGUUGUUGACUUGGUAUCGGCCACUCAAGCCCUAUCACUGUGUUGCUGCCUUGGUAUUGGCCUCACGCUCUAUCUAUGCUCAACCUCUUUCUUUGAUUUUACUGUUGGUCUCUGUCUUCUUCAAUGCUCUCUUGCACUGCCUUUCUUCUUCUUUGUUACAAGGGUAUUGUCUUCUUUUCUUUAUAAUUCUUUUAUGUUAUUGGGGUAUUCUCUUCUCUUCUUUUCAAUUGCGUUGUCUCUCUCCCUGUCAUGGGUUGUCUCUGGCCUCUUGAGUUUCCUUUCCUUUUCAUGGGUUGUCUCUUGCAUCUUGUUCUCUCUCCCUCUCUUGACUACUUUCUCCUUUUGAUGGGUGUUACCUUUUCUCCUCUCUUUUUUUCUCUCCUUUUUCCAUUUUUAUUUUGAAAGGAUUUUAACUCUAUGUGUUUUGCCCACACUCUCUUUCCCUUUCUCUGUCUCACUUGGUUUCCUCCUUUACUUCUUAUUAUUGUUUUUCGGGUCAAUCAUCCCUCUUUAUUUUAAUCUAUAUGGGCCUUUGUCCUCUUGUGAUAUUUUUUUUUUUAUUACUUUGUUCCCCCGUGGUUUUCUUCCCCAUCCCCAUACCUUAUUGUUUCCAUGGUGCUUUGAAAUUCAAACUUGCCCAUGCUCUCGUUUUCUUUUCUCUGUGUCCCAAGUUGGUUUCACCUCCUAUCCUCUACUGUUGUGCUGCAUCCUCUCUUAACCCCUUUAUUCCCUUCAAAUAUUCCUUCUUUUCUUUCUGCACCCAUCCCUUUCUGCUUUCCAUGUGAUGAAUUUUCUUUUGUUUCCAUUCCUCAUCUUUAUUAUAUUCCUUCUUUUCACGUCUUAUUUCCAAACUUGUCACCUCUCCAGCGUCAAGUUUGCGGGGGAGUGUUAGAGGGUUACGGGAGUUACCAUAGUUAAGGGUCUUCAAUGACAAUACAUUAGUGUUUUAGCUGUUAUGUUGUUAUUAGCCUUUAUUAGGAUAUAAUGGGUUUUCCGUUUCAUUGUAACAACUAGGAAGAUAUCUUAAUAGUUUGUGUAUAAAUAUUGGUUGUAAUAUCUCAAAUAUUAUAAUUGAAUAUACAGUUUCUACAUUAUAUACCUUAGCCUAAAUGAGAUUUGCAUAGAUUAAUGGCUUUUGAUUUGGCUGAUUUUAUCAAGUUUUGUGUCUAUUAGCCAACUAUCACUUUAAUCUCACCUCUUUUGUGGACAAAGUUUGGGAUGAAACUCAGUUAUUUUUUUCGUUUUCAUUAAUAACCAAAAAAUGGAAAGUUGGGGGCCUUGAUUAUAUUAUUAUCUUUUCCUUUCUUCAUUCCUAAGCCAAACAUGGGGAAACUAUCUGCUUCAUAUAGACCAAAUGUUGUUGCUCACCUAUUAUGAGAUUUGUCAUGAUUAAAGGUGGAAGGGGAAACGACAGGAAGCAGUGUAUUUCCUGUCCUUCUGGGGUUAUUAAUCAGAAAUCAAUGUAUGCCAAAAAAAGAAAAAAGAAAAGAAAAGUAAGAAUACUUGUGAGUUGUGAUAAAGAUGCACAAUUGACAUUUGUGAUAGAAUGAAUUGGCAGGAACCAUGCAUUGUUUUCUCUCCUCACUGGAGUCUACGGCUCGGUCCUGCUGUUCAUUUGCUCCAGCGUUGGUCUGGGGAUCAAAACUCUCUACUCAUUCUUGAGGUGCUACUAUAUACUUUCACUGGCUGUUGAACUUCACAUGUGUACAUAAAUAGUUCAAGGAAGUUCUCAGAAAAAAAAAAAAAAAAAAAAGGUUCAAGAAAGCAUCUUUACCUUGUGUCUGGAUGGAAACUAUAUAUGCUUAAAUUGUUACUGCUUGAUUUGCAGAGUGGACCGGAUGUUGAUCUGGCUCUCUUGCCUUUCAAGCCAAUGGAAAUGAAGGUUCUUGAAUGCUCAUUUCUCUCUGGCAUAAGGUAGGGUUUGUCUUCUUUUCUUGAAACUGACACAACAUUUUGAUUUAUUCAUAUUAUUGUAAUGUGGCAAUCUUAACAACAACCAAAUACCAUAAUAAGCACCAACCCAUGUGGAUUACACUCCAAAGAACGUUUGAAAGUAUAAAUGCAAACCAUAGGGAUCAACCUCAUGAAAUUGUGAAAUGAUGGAUGAUUGGAGUGGAAACCACUGGUUUUAGUGAAGGUUUGCUGGGCGUAUAGAGUUCUCUGACAUGCUAUGCUAAUAUCGUAAAUGUAUCGGCAGCCUUUGGUCUCGAAAUGUGAGUAACGUGUGAAGUUGUGGCACUGACAGCUGUUUGCAUGUUUGAAAAUGAGUAUUAUUUUUCCAGUCAGAAGGCAUAUCAGUUAUAAUUUUUUGUUUUCAUUUUAGAAGGGCUUUUGUGUACAAGUUAUCUGCUUUGUAACUACUAACUUGUCUUGACACUUAGCAGGCAACUUUCUACCCAACAAAGAACACAAAUUUCAACCAAAAAACAAGAUUUAGCAUGUAAUUUUCUAUUUAGGUUCUUAAUAUGUUAACUCCCCUUAUCACUCUGUUGAACAACUCCUCCUUUGAAAUGUUAAGCAACUUCUGAAUUCAUCUUAACUACUUCUAUCGGGAUAUUUGCUUUUUGUAGGUUGCAGAAUGUUGAACCGUUGCUGAAGAUAUUGCAACCAAAAGUUGUUCUGGUAGUUCCAUUUUGUUCCCUUUGUAUAAUCAAUUUUUAUUCUUUCCUUGUUUAUAUAUUAGAUUUCAUCUCUUUAAUAAGUCCCCUGUUAUUUUCUGCUCAAAAUAGCUACCUAAAGAUUUGAAGCAGAUUAGCUCUUUGAAAUCAAAUUCAUGCUCGACCUUUCACUACUGCGUUAAUGAAACGUUACGUAUACCAAGCUUGAAGGACAAUUCAGAACUAGAGAUUGCAACAGACUUAGCUUCCCAGUUUAAUUGGAGGAACUUGAAACAAGAAAAUAUUAAUAUGACGAGGUUAAAGGGAGAGCUUUGUGUAGAUCAUGGCAGGCAACGGUUGUCCACUGGCAAUCAAGAGUCCUCAGAGAGUAGACCGCUGGUACACUGGGGUUCAACUGAUUUGGAGAAGCUUUUGGUUGUGUUAUCAAACAGGGGCAUCAAGGCAACGCUUGGGGAUGCAUUUGGUUCUGAAUCAGAAAGUGCUUCUCUAGUACAUGUCCAUGAUCCCAACCAAGCUCUUAUAGAAGUCAGAACAACAAGCACUGUUAUUAGUACUGCUGAUGAAAGUUUGGCUUCCAUUAUUUUUGAAGCUAUAGGUAGCGUUCUAGAUGGCGUUUAGAUGAAGAGAAUUUCACUUGUUUCAUGCAAUUCUUAUCGGCCAUGUUUGGUGACUAGGAUUGGACUGGCUACAUGCAUAGUUUACUGUAUGUACUAUGAGAUAUUGCUACUUUUCUUUGCAGAGGCGACAGUGAAGGCGGCCAGAAGGAUUUCUACCUUACUACCUCUCUUUGCUUCAGCAGCUGGACAAAGGAUUAGCUUCCAUAAGUCCUUUCCUUUUUUCCAAAAAUGUUUCUAAUGCUUGCCGACAACAAUUGGUCCAAUUUUUGCAAAUACAACAUAAAGUUACUCUGGAAAGGCAUCUUGGAAUAAAUAAUAUCCUGAAGUGGAAGGACUCUUUUAAUACCUAAGAUUUCCUGGACUGCUCAGAGGAAAUUCUCUUCUUGGAAAGGUAACUUACUGCAGCUCCUAUUGCAAAUAGGGCCCCUAUUUCCAUCCUUUCCACAGAUUUCCUCUAAUAUUGCUGGUAAUUUGUCUUAAUAAUUUGUCUCGGUAAUUUUUCUGGAGAAAGGAUGGACAUAGGGCCCCUCCUAUUGCUUGGAAGGAAAUCUGUUAACCUUGCAGCUCUUGCAAAAUUGGGUUGGAAUGUUCUUAAUUGCCUCAAAAAUGGUGAGUUCAACUUGUAUGAAAAAUUUAUUUGUUUCAUCACUCCUUUUUUGCUGCUCCUAUUAAAUCUGGACAUUCUGCAACCUGGAAAGCAAUUUCGGAGGCUAGAGAUCUACUUUGUAAUGGUAAUGGUGAGCUUAUCUCUUCCUGGACUCAUAUUUGAGUCCUUUUUCCUGUAUUCCAUCUCCUUGAUGUCUCUCAGCAGAGUAAUGUUGAUUAGGACCUAAAGGUUUGUAAUUUAUUCAAGAUGGUCUGUUGGAAUGAGGAAGAUCUUAGAAAAGUUGUGCUUUAUCUUUUGGUCAAAAGAAUAUUGACUAUUCAAUUCCUGCAAGUUUUGUUGUUGGGUUGUAAGUUGGAUUGCUUAGACAGAAAUUCAACUUGCUGGAAUGAAAGCUCAAUGUCCCCUGUGAAAGCUCAAUUUGAUAUUCGAUUCAAGCCCUGUGAGUUUUUUAUCAAGUAUAAACCAAGUAACACCAUCAGUUGUGAAUUUACAUAAUUCAAUCAUGAAGACAUGACUUAAUGACAAUCCAAUUCCCAUAUCCAAAACUCUAAUUCAGUCUCACUGGAAAGGUGCAUGGGUUGAAUUGUUUGGUGCCAAUGAGCUUCUAAGAUCUACAAAAUAUAAACAUAAACAUAUUAAAACAUUAGGCAAUUAUACAUACAUCAUUAAAUCACAUAAAAACAGAAACUAAUAAUUGAUUCAAUCGAUUCAUAAAACUACAUCUCUUGAAUAUUUGGCUUAUACUUUAAAGAGGAGAUUUCAUUGGACUAUAACCAAUUUUGAGCAAAAAUUAAGGCUUCCACAAACGUAGGAGUCAAUGAAGCACGAAAGGAAUUGAGUUCUUGACCACUCGUGCUAAAGUAUGAUUCCGAAACUACUGUUGAUACCGGAAUGGCAAGUACAUCCUUUGCAAUAAGUGACAAUCCCGUAUAUUUAACCCCAUUCAAUUUUCACCAUUUCAAAAUAUCAAAGUCGAGAACCAUUUUUUCAAUAAGAUUGGUUCAACAUCACUUUAUUUAGAUUCUUUUACCCAAUUUUCCACCAAUUGCAUUCUUUUCCUUUCCCCUUAGUCAAUGCUAGUGGUACUAGUAUUAAUAUCUUCACUCGUAGCGCUAGAUUCAUGAGUGAGUGUUGGUUGUGAGAUAUUAUACUCUUCAUAGAGUUUUAUUAUAAUUUCACCUCAUUCUUCUUCUUAAUAGCAUUCUUCUUAAUAGCAUUCUGAUCUUUCAUAUCGACUCUUCAAGAGAAAUUCUAAGUUGCCCAACUUGACUCGAGGAUCAAGCACAAGUGCUACCAACAAAAGUUGGUUCACUUUAUCUAUGUUACCCCAAUACUUUUCAAUUUUUCUCUUCAUGCUUUGUGUCAUAUCAUUCAAUACCUUGGCUUGGAAGUGUGGGUUUCAAUUUCCAUCUUAUAAUCUCCAUGGCCAAAUCCUCAAUUUCACCUUCCAUUGCAAUCAAGUCAUGAAAGGUGGCGUGAGAAGCCGAAUGUAAAGAAAGACUCGUCUUCAAUGUGGCUUCAUAAAACUCCUUUAGAAAGUUGACAAAAUAAGAGCAUUACUCCAAUCUUCAUCAUUUUGUUAAACUUGGCAAAUGGGUCAUAUUUGCUGUUUGUGUUAACAUGCUUUUUUUAAUGGGUUGAUGUGAUACAACCCUUUAAGUUAACAGGUGAAAAAUAACCGACACGAACACAACCUAUUACAAUUUGAGAAUGACACGACACGAAAAAAAAACACACACACGCACAAGCGCAUGCAACCUCUCUCAACUUAAAAAAUAUACCUACGUGCCAAUUGCCUACCCCAAAUUUCUAAAAAAUACCCAAUUUCCAAUUCUUCAACUUUGUUAUGGUAGGUAGGACAUUCUUUGUGCUCGCAAUGUUUGUGGGGCUAGGUAGCAAUGAUGGUGAGACGAAGAUGAGUGUUGGAUUUGGGGAAGGAGCUGGAGAUGGUUUUAUUUUUAACAUAUUUUAUUUUAAGUUUUUUAUUGAUUAAGUUGUAUUAAAAUUAUAAAAAUAACCCUCUUAACUGGUGAAUACCAGCAAACGAUAGCUUAACGGGUGGCUAACGAAUCCACCUGUUUUCAACAUGACCCGUUAAGCCUGAUCCGAGUAAUAUUUCGUGCGAAUUUGUUUCAUGUUAAUGGGUCGGGUUUAUUCUAUUAAAUUAAAGAAAGAGACGAAACACACGUAAUGUAUAAGUAACACAUUGUUUUUUAACUAAAAACCGAACAGUUGUAAAUGGUUUCUUGGCUUAAUUUUACCUGACUUACUCUUUUUUCUUCAUCUCUUUACAAAUUUCUUAUAUUAAAUAUAGAACCACUGCCCAGCAUCUGGCAAACUAAGCUUCAAGUUGAAUAGUUAGUUACUUGUGGUAAAUUGUUGAUCAAGUUUCUUAUAUAACGGGAACACUUCUCUUGUUCCCUGUAGACAAAGUAGGAUGAUGAACCAUACAGACAAAUAUUCGAAUAAGCUAGUUUCGACUGCAAAGUUUGAUUCUUUUUGGUGCAUAGUCAUAUAGUAAUACAGUGCUUUGCAGCAAACUGGGAAAAGGAAACUAAUACCUCCUCGAGUGACACGGUGAACCAUACAAAAUAGGAUCAGGAUCCGGGAACACACAUUUUUGACACACAUUAUGACACACAAUCUGUAUCAUUAGAUUAAAGCACAUUCAAUGGUUUAGAUUUAAUGUAACAAAAUAUAUCUAAAUAACCAGCGAUAAAAAAAAGAAGUCCAAACUGCCUUACAAAAACAGCAUAGUAACAGCCCAUUCUUUUCUCUUGCAAGGUUCUCACGAGAUGGUGUUCAAAAACUUCAUUCAUACUACUAACUAUUCCUACAGUAGACCACUUGUCAUUGCCAUUCACCCCAAUGUCAUCAACCUUGUAGCACAUUGACAUGUAAGAGCUUCUUCCGAGAGUUGCUGCACUUGUGCCAAUUCAAGAAUAAUGAACACCAAAAUAUAUAUCCUUAUUUCUUGUUCAUAUCUAGACAAUCAAAAUUGACAAAAACAAAGCAAUAAAUCCAAAGAAAACUAAGCUAAAGUAAUUUUAGGGAUGAAAAAAUAUGCAAUUAAUCCUUAUUUCACUGCUGGGAUUGCAAAUUAAAAUUUUCUUGCUGCACAUAAAGACAAGAACAAGAUUGGGUUGUUUCUUUGGUUCAUGCACCUACAUGUGCAUUUGGGACAAAAUACAAUGUAAAAGAGGUUGUUGUGAACAGACAAAAAAAAUAGGUCCAAACCCCAUCAAAGUGUGAGAAUGUGAAGGUAAAGAGUCCCACAUUGGAAAGUUG
rnacentral:lncRNA from 1 species